UUUCUUUUUUUUCUUUUCUUCUUUUUUUAUUAUUGUGAUGUGAUGUUUUGUAUCUCUUUAAUAUGCUGUUUUUUAAUUUUUUCUUUUUGUAACCCUUUAAAAUUUAAUAAAUAUUAUUAAAAAAAAAGAAAGAGAACCACUGGCCUAGGGAAAGUCCUGAGGGCCAGAUGGAGCAGUUUAGAAGAUCGCAUUUGACCCCUAAGUCUGAGGUUCCCUGCCUCUGCUUUCUGUCAUUAGGGCUGGCAUUUAGGGUUGGUGUUGUUUGGCAUCUGCUACUGUCUCCCAGAGAGGGAUGAGGGUGGCGCUGUGGUCUAAACCACAGUGCCUAGGGCUUGCCAAUCAGAAGGUUGGCGGUUUGAUGGGGUGAGCGAUGGGGUGAGCUCCCGUUGCUCGGUCCCUGCUCCUGCCAACCUAGCAGUUCGAAAACACGUCAAAGUGCAAGUAGAUAAAUAGGUACCACUACGGUGGGAAGGUAAAUGGCAUUUCUGUGUGCUGCUCUGGUUCACCAGAAGCAGCUUAGUCAUGCUGGCCACAUGACCCGGAAGCUGUACUUGGCCAGUAAAGUGAGAUGAGCGCCGCAACCCCAGAGUCGUCCGCAACUGGACCUAACGGUCAGGGGUCCCUUUAUCUUUUACUGUCUCCCAGAUCUCUUAGGGUUGGUUUCACUCUACCUGAUCAUAGGGGUCAGCCUCGCCUCUUGCCUAACUGUGGUUUCGAGUAUUUUAAAAUGGAUUAGGCAAACUCGUGAAGUUGUGAAGAUGGCUGGUGCAGAGGAUGUAGGCCACUGACAAUUAGCUGUUGGAGGCAAGAGCAGGAGAGGACAAUGGCCUUCUUUCAUAUCCUGCCUGUGGGAUUUCCUAUGCUCCUAGCUUUUAAUGUCAUGGCAACAAGGAAAGGUGUCACUUCAUAAUGACACCUUGAGAAGUUCAUAAGGCCACUGUGAUAGGGCCUACAUCCAUGAUGUUGUUAGUCAAGCCAAUGCUAUUGCAAACUUGGGGGAAUGGUGAUUUAUUAAUGGAUGGGUGGAUGAUAUGGGUAAGGACAUGGCUCCAUUUCCCUCCCCACACUUGAAUGGAACAGGGUUUGUAACAAUAGCAAUAGUCAUGUUUCAACACCCAGUAGCUCUUCCAUGGUCUUGUCAUCUGCUGAGUUGUGGGCCAGGCCCCGUGGUCUCAUUUGCCGAAUGUCUUAGCAAGAAACAUCCAUCCAUCAUGACCUCUGGGAGCAAUCUACUGCCCUGGAGUCCUCUAUGCCUCAAACUGACUGAGAUGUAUAGGCCAGACAGAUGAGAAUGAAAUUCGCUGAGCUGCUGCUUGCGGCGGGUCAGGUUCAUGGGUGGAGGUUGUGUCCUUCCAGGGCCUCUGAAACCUUCCAGCACCAGUAAACACCUUUGCAAAAGCUGAAUGGAAGGAAUGGAGAAAAAGACAGGAAGACUAUCUCAUGCACUCCUGUCUAAGUACUGGUGUAGAAAAAUAGCUAACGAAGCUGAAAACCACAACCAAAUAAACCAAAUGAAGACAACCUAAGAGAUAUAUAUAAACCUUGUUCUGAAUUUUGCCUUUUAGUCUCCUUUUAAUUCACUUCUCCCGUUAUUCCCCUCCUUCAAAUCCCUUUUUUCCUUUCUGUCAAAUACAGUGGUACCUCGGGUUACAGAGGCUUCAGGUUACAGAUUCCACUAACCCAGAAAUAAUACCUUGGGUUAAGAACUUUGCUUCAGGAUGAGAACAGAAAUCGCAUGGUGGUGGUGCGGCGGCAGCGGGAGGCCCCAUUAGCUAAAGUGGUACCUCAGGUUAAGAACAGUUUCAGGUUAAGAACGGACCUCCAGAACGAAUUAAGUUCUUAACUCAAGGUACCACUGUAAAGCAUUUUUCUUUCUUCCCUUCACUGCCUCUUACCCUAUUUCCUGAAUUUACCCUAUUUCUAUUUUAAUAAUUGUAUCCAAGUAUUCUUUUGUAAUUGUAUCCAGGUAAUAUUAAAUUGUAUCUAGGUAUUUUUCUCAUAAUUGUGUCUUUGUAAAUGUGAAUCCCUAAGGUGACCCUUUUGCAAUUGUUACAUUUGGCGUCUUUGCAAAUGGAACUGACCCCUUUGUAUCCUUGUGCCUUAUCAGCAUACGUUCAACUUCUCAAUGAAUGUAACUACUUCCAGGAAAAUAAGAAGUGGAACCCAUGUAUUCAAAUUGCACCACUUUAUUGUAACCAUGAAAGUAUAAAUGUUGUUUUUAGCCUCAAACUAAUCACUUCCACUCAGCUUCCCUUCCUUCUUCUGUAAAGUGCCAGAGGACCAGAUCCAUUUCCUUUGACCCUGUAGGGAGAAAAAUCCAACUGUUGGAUGACACUCUCAUCCUUAUUGCUAAUCUUGAAAAAACGGAUUACCAUAUCAUUUGCCAUCUCUUCCUGGAUUUCUAGGUAUUACCUAACUCAUGUGGAUAGUAUUUACACGCCACCUUGUAUCUUGCACCCAAACCUCCCUUUUGCACCCUGCACCCAUGUACCUCCCCCUUACCUUGUAAUUUGACGAAUUUGUGACAAAUAUGUUAUAAGAAUUUAAGGUCUCAAAUAUAUACAGUAUAAACCACAUGUCUGAAAACAGUACAGGAAAUCAGUCCUGAAACCAUUUUGACUCUCCCUGUUGUUGUUUAGUCAUGUCCGACUCUUCAUGACCCCAUGGACCAGACCACACCAGGCACUCCUGUCUUCCACUGCCUCCCGCAGUUUGGUCAAUUAGUUUCUCCCUAAUUGACCUCAAAUGUUUUGAAAUGGGAAAACCUCCCCAUUGUCUCUUUGCUGACAAACCCUGUCUUAAGGGCGUAUCUGUGUUUGAAUAGGGUGAGCCUGUGACCUGGAUUCAGGAACUGAGUAUUUACCAUCCCAAAAGAGUAGCCAGACUGCCCAGGUAAAAGCAAUCAGUGACCAUUAUCAGGUACCCUGGCAAACAGGAUUUCUGCUGUAGACCACCUCCUUCUGUGAUGUAUGUAUGAUGUUUCAGGGGGGUGGUCUUGGGCUACAGGGUGGGCAAUUUCAAAAGUCUAUAUAAGAGCUUGCACACCAAUGUUCUGGGUCCCUCCUGCCUCCUGCAUGUGGUUGUGAGCCCCCUGUAGCAACAGUUAAUAAAGAUCAGGCUUCGCUUCUCAAUAUUCUCUGGUUGGUCUCUGUUAUUUUCUCCUACCGAUAGGGAACCUACAUAAGGUCUCUAUACGGGCUCUUGGGUACCCUAUAAGGGAGAAAGAACAAGUUUUUCUUAUAACAAAUAAGACCACCCACAAUUGUGACUGUAUAAAAUUCUGGACUUACCUUUGGGUUCCUUGUACCUUUUGUCACCUUCGUGUAGGGAACCUGAUGGCAACUGAAUAAAGGAUCUUUGCUUUUAAAAAGCUGCUUGCUUCUUUCUCUCCCUGUUUGGACAUUCACCCGUCUUCUCCGACUGUAGUGGACCCCUUUGGGGCCCCAAACCAAAAUCCUAUGUUUUUUUUACCUCAGUACUGCUUCUCCAUGAUCACUGCAGAUGGUGACAGCAGCCACGAAAUUAAAAGACGCCUGCUUCUUGGGAGAAAAGCAAUGACAAACCUAGACAGCAUCUUAAAAAGCAGAGACAUCACUUUGCCAACAAAGGUCUGUAUAGUAAAAGCUAUGGUUUUCCCAGUAAUGAUGUAUGGAAGUGAGAGCUGGACCAUAAAGAAAGCUGAUCGCCAAAGAAUUGAUGCUUUUGAAUUAUGGUGCUGGAGGAGACUCUUGAGAGUCCCAUGGACUGCAAGAAGAUCAAACCUAUCUAUUCUUAAGGAAAUCAGCCCUGAGUGCUCACUGGAAGGACAGAUCCUGAAGCUGAGGCUCCAAUACUUUGGCCAUCUCAUGAGAAGAGAAGACUCCCUGGAAAAGACCCUGAUGUUGGGAAAGAUUGAGGGCACAAGGAGAAGGGGACGACAGAGGACGAGAUGGUAGGACAGUGUUCUCGAUGAGUUUGACCAAACUGCGGGAGGCAGUGGAAGACAGGAGUGCCUGGCGUGCUCUGGUCCAGGGGGUCACGAAUAGUCGGACACGACUAAACGACUAAACAACAACAAAGGAUGCCCAGCUCUCCUUACAAUGAAUGCUCACAUUAUUUAAGUGAUGUUGCUAACAAAGAUUAGUGAGGAGAGAGCUUAGCCACGAGCCCAGGUUCAGACAACAAACAUGUUAAACUUAAUCAAGAGGGCCAGAGAGGGGCAAAAUGGCUGUAAAUUCCAGUAGUUUGCACAUUUGUAUGGUCCUGGCAAGCCAUUCUUUGGCUUAUCAUUUCGACUAAACGACUAAACAACAACAACUGCUUCUCCCCAGUCAUGCUCCCAAAUAUCCUGUUCCCACCUUAUUCUAGUUACUAUAUUUUUAUCCUUCAAGGAGCUCAGUCUGAUGUAUUAUUGGGGUCUCAAAGGGACUCCUUAGAGUUGGAGCCACUGACCUGAGGGAUCCCUACUCAACCCUAUAGCUCACUGGGGGACUUUGGGGCAGUCAUACUCUCUGGGCCUAGCCUGCCUCACAAAUCUUACCAACCUGAAGAUGCUUCUGCUGCUGUUAUAUAAAAAAAGGACAUCUCAGGGCUUUCUUACCCCUGUGAUUAUAAUCUGUUGCAACUUUCUUCUCGUUUUUUAAUUUUAAAUUGUUGCAGCCUCCCCUGGGACUUUGCAGGUAGUAGUUGUAGUAGCAAUAAUUAGAAUAAUAUGAAGACAUAAAACAAUAGAAUUGUAGAGUUGGAAGGGAUCUUGUGGAGCUAUCUAAUCAAAUUCUUUUCUCGGUGCAGCAAUCUUGCAACUCCAGCAUCCCUAGCAGGUGGCAGUUUAAAUAUCUAGACGUGGUUGACAGUACCACACAGUUUUUUCUGGGUAAGAUUAGAAGCUAUCAUUCUCUCUCUACAGCCUGACACUUUCAAAGGGAGAGAAAAACUCAUGACCUACCUUGCCGUUGUGCCAUCAAUAACUUAAUGGUCAGACUGUUCUUACAAUUGAGCCUGAAAAUAGAAUAAUUACAUUUUAGCUCUUUUGCAAUUUUGGCUGCAAUCCCAACCACCGUCUCUUCAUCACCUCAGCAACGUCCGACUCUCUAUCUUCUCCUUCUUUAAUCUGUGCCCCCUCACUAUAUCGUUUUCCUAAUCUUUACCUCAUCCACUAUUUUCCAUUAAACAAUCUAAGCCAUUUGUAGCUGGCCCCAUCUAUGCUCCAUUAAAGUGGACUGGUGGAGUGUUGGAUCUCUGAAAUCAUUUCUUAAAGAGUUAGUUUGGAUGGCUAUUAUUUCCUAAAUGUUCUGGAAAAAUCAAGGGACGGGCCUUUUGGGGAAGGGAUUUGACUCAGUGCUAGAACAUCUGCUCUGUAUGCAGAAUGUAUUAGGUUCAAUCCCUGGUGGUGUUGUGGUCUAAACCACUGAGCCUACGGCUUGCCAAUCAGAAGGUCGGCGGUUCGAAUCUGCGCAACGGGUUGAGCUCCUGUUGCUCUGUCCCAGCUCCUGCCAACCUAGCAGUUCAAAAGCACACCAGUGCAAGUAGAUAAAUAGGUAGCACUGUGGCAGGAAGAUAAACAGCGUUUCCAUGCACUCUGGCUUCCGUCACGGUGUUCCAUUGUGCCAGAAGCGGUUUAGUCCUGCUGGCCACAUGACCUGGAAAGCUGUCUGUGAACAAACAUUGACUCCCUUAGCCUGAAAGUGAGAUGAGUGCCACAACCCUAUAGUCACCUUUGACUGGACUUAACCAUUCAGAGGUCCUUUACCUUUAUCUUUACACUUACCUUCAGUUAAGACUAGGAAUGUCCCUAUGCCCUUUUAAAACGUGGCUCUUUUUUGGGCGGGGGUGCUAGUGGGUUGUUGUUUUCAUUUUGAUUAUUUAUAUUGUGAUUUCAUGUUGGUCUUUUCUGUGAACUGCCCUGAGACCUCUGGGUAUAGGGUGGUGCAUAAAUUCUAAUAAUAAUAAUAAUAAUAAUAAUAAUAAUAAUAAUGUCCCCUGUUUGAUACCUGGAAGACUGCUGCCCGUCAGUUCAGGCAACAUUGAGCUAAAUGGACCGAUGGUCUGACUUGGUGUAAGGCAGCUUCCCUAAGGAAUGUGAGAAGUGGAAACGAAAGGUAGUCAUCAUUUAACAUUUACUCAGAAUAGACCUAUUGGGAAUUGAUUGCCAUACAUUUGCCAUGGGACGUGGGUGGCGCUGUGGUCUAAACCACUGAGCCUCUUGGCCUUGCCGAUCAGAAGGUCAGCGGUUCAAAUCCGUGCAACAGGGUCAGCUCCUGUUGCUCUGUCCCAACUCUUGCCAACCUAGCAGUUCGAAAGAACGCCAAAAAGUGGAAGUAGAUAAAUAGGUACCACUGUGACGAGCAGGUAAGCGGUGUUUCCGUGCGCUCUGGAUUCCGUCAUGGUUUUCCAUUGUGCCAGAAGCGGUUUAGUCCUGCUGGCCACAUGACCAGGAAAGCUGUCUGUGGACAAACGCCAGCUCCCUUGGCCUGUAGCAAGAUGAGCGCCACAACCCCAUAGUCACCACUGACUGGACUUAACCGUCCAGGGGUCCUUUACCUUUACCAUGGCCAUUAAUUUCAGUGUGUUGACUCUGAAUUAAAUUUGGUUUAAUACAACUCCAAGGCCACACUUGAACCUUACAUUUAAAGUAUCGUUAUUGUGAUGGCCUGGGAAUCCGAUUCAGAGGCUGAACCGGAGGAAUCCCAGCCUGCACAGGAGUCCCCGCCUCCAGGGCCGGCUGAACUGGGGCAGGGCCUUGAUUCUGAAGUGCCUGCACCAGUGCUGGAUCCUCAGGAGCAGGCAACAGGUGAAUCCACUCUGGCUCCGGAGGUGGUUGAGGACACAGUGCCUACAGGUGCGCCUCUCCCAGCCCUGUCAGGGGAAGGUGAGUCUCCCCCUGGGUCCAGUAACCCUCCAGCCUCUCCUGAGCUGCAGAGGCUCAGGGCAGAGAGGCGGAGGGAACUGGUUUCUCCCAGGAGGAGUGCUCGCCUUAAGGCCAGGAGAGGCGGGUCUCCUGGGGGCCGGGACCGCCCCUGGCCUCAGAGAAGAUAAAGGCCAGUCAGCCCGGUCCCAGGUUGCGGGAGCAACAUCAUUGAAGAGCUGUUUCGGCCAGCACCCAGUCCUGUUCCUCCAGAGUUCCUGUCCUUGCCCGGCUCCCCGCUUUGGACUCCGCUUUGCCCAUGGAGGACUGUCUGCUGACCCUCGACUCAGGUCCUGGACCUCGCCCCACGGUAACCUCCCCCCGGGACCAGCACAAUUAUACCACUUUUAAACUUCUGGCUUUCCCAUAGAUUCCUGGGAAUUGUAGCUUGCUAAGGGUGCCGCGAGUUGCUAGCAGACCCCGCCAUUUCCUCCGCAGAGUUACAGUUCACAAAGCAAGUUAGCAAUCAGUCCAUCUUCCAGGGAACUGAACUCUGGGAAAUGUAGCUCUGGAAUGUGGCCCCCAGAAGAUUGCCCAGAAGGAAAUGUGGACCUCGAGCUGAGAAGGACUCUCCACCAUUGUGUUACAUGAAGAGACUUUGGUGGGAAGGACUCGGAGAAGCUUUCACACACACACUGUCAGUUUGCAUUUCUUAGUGCAGAAAGUAUUGAUCUGAUAUGUAGAGAUCUUUCCUUUUCUAAUUAAUUCAAGAGGGUUCUGGAAGCUUCUCUGUGUGACAGAAGCAAGCAGAAGGUUCCUGAUGUUUGGGUUAUUCCUUCAGAGUAGCUGAGUACAGCUAGCUUAAACUGGCUCUGUUUUCUUCAAGUUAAUAAAAAGCCAGGAGGAGCCUAGGUUUCACUUUCUCUUUCUAACUGUUUUCCUUCUGGUGUGGUGUUCUGUAUAUAGCGUUAAGGUUUAGUCUUAUUAUAAGUUAUUGUAAGUUUAAGUUAAGUUUGCUGCAACUGGAUUUUUUAUGGACAGUGCCAAUCCUGAAUGUAUUGGAUUUGUGACAAUUAUGCUCAUUUGCCUUCAGUAGCAUUAAAGCUCCGCUGGAUGAAAUAUAAUUGCCUUUGGUCUAUUUUUUGGGCAACAUGUUUAAGUUUUUACACUGCUAACUAUACACCCUGUGGAACGCCCUCCCAUCAGAUGUCAAAGAAACAAACAACUAUCUGAAGUUUAGAAGACAUCUGAAGGCAGCCCUGUUUAGGGAAGUUUUUAAUGACUGAUGUUUAAAUGUAUUUUUAAUAUUUUGUUGGAAGCCGCCCAGAGUAGCUGGGGAAACCCAGCCAGAUGAACAGGGUAUAAAUAAAUUAUUAUUAUUAUUAUUAUUAUUAUUAUUAUUAUUGGAAUCUGCUCUGGAUCAAUAUUGAGUAGAAUCAGGGGAGUCUUACCCAUAGACAUUAGUGGCGCAGGGCACCAGAUUUUGGAGGGUGCCACAGGCUGAGUGUCAGGCAAGGAGAGUCAGGGCGCGCUCCCUUCCCCACCCUGGGGCAGCCCACUCCUCUCCUCUCAGCCACCCAUUGGAGCAUGCUGCGUCCGGCUCAGGGAAGCCCCUUUGUGUCCCCUCCCACCAGGGCUGCUGCCUGGGUGCCUGAUGGGUGCGAUUGGGGGCAGGCGUGGGGCACUCCUCUCUGGCCAUGUCGCUGCCUGCGUGCUUCCCUGCGGAGUCUGCGAGCGAAGCAGAGAAGCGCCCUGUGCGAUCCUGGCGCCGAGCGAGGAUGGCACAGCCGGGAAGCCACUUGAUCUGCUUGCUGGCCCUCCAGUGGCGCAGACUUCCCCGGACGGGGGCAGGUAAGGGGCACCGGGCGCUUAGAGGGAGGCUUCAUGGGAGGCCAUCUGGGCUGCGAUCUGGGCCAUAGCUGUCAACUUUCAGAUUUGAAAAUAAGGGAUCAGCAGCCUCGAAAAUAAGGGAUCAGCAGCCUCACCUGUCCUGGGGACAGUCUACGGGAUAUCUAACAAUCCGGGAUAGCAGUGGGAAGCAGUGGUAAAUGGUGCUGGAAUAAGGGAAUUUCCCACAAAAAAAGGGAAGGUUGACAGCUAUGAUCCGGGCGCCUCUUACUUACGUGCCUCGCUGAGCGUGCGCUGGACCACAUGAUGUGAACCAGCUGGACCAAAGUCCCCCCCACCUUAAUAAAAACUCUGGGAAAUGGGUGGGUGGGUGCUGGAGAGAUAUUUGCACCACGGCACCGGAUAUGCUUAAGACGGCCCUGAGUAGAAAGCCACUUCCGACAUAAGGAGGAGGUGGUGUUGCGGGCUCACGCCCCCAACAAUCAUGUGGGGCUGGCUGCAGCCCCACGCGACCAGGGGAAUCCUCGGGCCGCGUCAGCCCCAGAGCCAGCCAAUCAGCUGGCUCUGGGGGCGUGGCCUGGGACAUUUAAGCCUGGCGUGGCCCCGGGAUCUCCCCUUUUCGUCCCAGCUCCAGAUUUGGUUUUAUUAUAUAGAUGUGUUGGGGGGGAGGAGCGCCAUCACCUCCCCCAAAUAUUAAAGGGUAACCUGGUAAAGGAUUCCGGGGGGCGUUGUCUCGUCUGAAACCUAUGGAGGCCAGGGCCCAAAGCACGCCCCCGAGCGGUGACCCCUGGGGGAGUUCCUAGUGAUGUGCAUCCCAGGGCUCCUGCUGCUGGUGUUAACCCUUUCCGGUGUUCAUGCUAACAGUCUGAAGCUGGAUAGUCUGAUAGGACCAAUGCCUAAAGCCAAUACCACUCUUACCUGUAACCAAUAAAGUUGUGGCCAAUUUUUGCCCAUUAACCUUAAUCAAUGGUAUCCUGUGUCUUUAUUUAUUCCAAUUGGGGGGAGGCGGGAAUCGCCACACAAUUCAAGGACACACACACACAUCUCCACAAGUGGCGCAGCCUAGCCAGGUUGGCAUCCUCAGUCUCAUCUCCACCCAUCCUUCUGUGACUGACCUGUGGGGGCUCCCUGCGUCCCCAUGGCCUGGCUUGGUUGAUCUUCAGUACCGAUUCCCCACUUGGGUCCAGCCAGGUCCUGCGGUGCACUUUUCGGCCCAGGAAGGGCAGUGGUAACAGUUGCCUAAACUGCCAUCCCAAAGCCCACCACAGGUACCGCCGCUUCACCAUAUCCCCACGACACGUGGUCCAAGGCAUGCUUCCCUGUCCUCUCGGUGUGCUCUCCUCACUCGCGCCUCCUUCUUUUCUUGCUCUCUUGAGCUCCCUCUUCCUAUGGCCACCUGGAGCUGGAACAGAGGGGCUUCUGUGGAAAAUAUAUAUCCGGCAGUUGGGAACACACAGAACACUUUAGAACAUUCUGGAACCCCCAUCCCCUCUUUGGCUGUGUUGAGAGUUCAUAAAAAACCCACAGUUUUUUUUCCAAUUUGGGGGAAUUUAUUCUAAGUUAAACUACAGUGGUACCUCAGGUUAAGAACUUAAUUUGUUCUGGAGGUCUGUUCAUAACCUGAAACUGUUCUUAACCUGAGGUACCACUUUAGCUAAUGGGGCCUCCCGCCGUCGCUGCACAAUUUCUGUUCUCAUCCUGAAGCAAAGUUCUUAACCCAAGGUAAUAUUUCUGGGUUAGUGGAGUCUGUAACCUGAAGCUUAUAUAACCCGAGGUACCACUGUACUAAUAACUUUUUAAAAAUCCUAGUCAAUAUCUGUACUGAACUUACAGUCAUUUUUACAGAUUCAAUUUUUUAAAAAUGUUUAUGCCACCACACUUAUGCUGACCACUAAGAAAAUAUCUUCCGCAAUAGUUAGCGGAUCGUCUGAUUUUAAAUUUUUACAUGGUUUUUGGGGUAUGUGUGUGUGUAUGUGAAUGAUCAUAUUACAGUGGCUAACAAAACCUGAAUGCUAAACUGUUAUAGCAAAAUGUUCCAGCUUCUGCCUUCGUCAGUUGCUCUGAUCAAAAUGAUGCUGUACCUAAGGUGGCCUUUACUAUCUGUCUUAUCUGGGGCCACAUCCAUGCCAUACAUUUAAAACACUAUGAUAGAUAGUCAUGGCUUUCCCCAAAGAAUUCUGGGAAUUAUAAUUUUUUAAGGGUGUUGAGAGAUGUUGGGAGACUUCCCUCACUGAGCUGCAAUUCCCAGUCUGGUUUAAUAACCAAUCUCUCUUCCAAUGGGACUCUAGGAAUCGUAGCUCAGCGAGGGGUUUAAGGGUCUCUUAAGGAUGCUCAUCUUAAACAGCAUCUUAAAAAGUAGAGACAUCACCUUGCCAACAAAGGUCCGUAUAGUAAAAGCUAUGGUUUCCCCAGUAGUGAUGUAUGGAAGUGAGAGCUGGACCAUAAAGAAGGCUGAUCGCCGAAGAAUUGAUGCUUUUGAAUUAUGGUGCUGGAGGAGACUCUUGAGAGUCCCAUGGACUGCAAGAGGAUCAAACCUAUCCAUUCUUCAGAAAAUCAGCCCUGAGUGCUCACUGGAAGGACAAAUCCUGAAGCUGAGGCUCCAAUACUUUGGCCACCUCAUGAGAAGAGAAGACUCCCUGGAAAAGACCCUGAUGUUGGGAAAGAUUGAGGGCACAAGGAGAAGGGGGCGGCAGAGGACGAGAUGGUUGGAUAGUGUUCUUGAAGCGACCAGCAUGAGUUUGACCAAACUGCGGGAGGCAGUGGAAGACUGGAGUGCCUGGCGUGCUCUGGUCCAUGGGGUCACGAAGAGUCGGACACGACUAAACGACUAAACAACAACAAAGGAUGCUCAGCUCUCCUUACAGUGAAUGCUCACAUUAUUUAAGUGAUGUUGCUAACAAUGAUUAGUGAGGAGAGAGCUUAGCCAUGAGCCCAGGUUCAGACAACAAACAUGUUAAACUUAAUCAAGAGGGCCAGAGAGGAGCAAAAUGGCUGUAAAUUCCAGUAGUUUGUACAUUUGUAUGGUCCUGGCAAGCCAUUCUUUGGCUUAUCAUUUCGUGCAAAGCAGGCAUUAUGUGUGUGCUUUCACUUGGAAAAAACAAAAACGACUUAAAAAGCAAAACAUAAUCCAGAGUAGUAAGUAAAAUUAGUUUUUUUUAAACGCACAGUAGUAAAAAAACAAAACAAAACUAUAGGUAUUCGUAUCAUGACACCUGCAUUUGUUCAAAAAGCAAAACCCUGGAGACAUUUUUCCAGGUGCAUACCACCAGGUAAAAGUGCGUGAUGAUCAAACUGUGAUCAGGCAGUCUUUCCAUUUGACUGACAGCUUCUGAUAAAUUAAAGUAAUUGCUGGUGUUUUGCAUUCCUUUACAUCAGAAGUGAUUCAAUUACUUAGCAAGUUAACUGCCUAAAUAUUUUGAAGUAAUUUGCAAUAACUAGUCAGGCGAGUAAUUGGAUAUCAUGUUAUCAAAUUACUAGGCGUUUUUGUAGAGUCAAAUGCAUGAAGUAAUAAUAAUUAAUAAUGAUGAUACCAGCAAGGAGACCAUGAUGGUGUUUGGACUGUAAUAUGGAGCAUUACAAACUAGAAUAUCACCUUGCAGAUAUCUUGACCGCAGGAAACAAGCAGGGAUAAAGGCUGAAAAUACAUGAGGCGUUCUGGAUGUCAUUACUGCAAGGGAGACGAGGCCGAACAAAAUGGCGGUGCAGAGGAUCUUUGAAUAGGACCCCCCCCCCUUUCUUUUCUUUGAUUCUUUGCCAACCUUUCAUGGCCAGUGGGGACAUUUGCAAUUUUGAGAAAGUGCUGUAGGUGCCAGACACAAAAUGGCUGCUUUGAAGGGUGGGGCGGUAUAUUUCUCUCCAUUAGACACAAGUGGCCAACAGAUAGAUAUACAGUGGUACCUCAGGUUACAGAUGCUUCAGGUUACAGACGCUUCAGGUUACAGACUCUGCUAACCCAGAAACAGUACCUCAGGUUAGGAACUUUGCUUCAGGAUGAGAACAGAAAUCGCGUGGCGGCGGCGUGGCGGCAGUGGGAGGCCCCAUUAGUUAAAGUGGUGCUUCAGGUUAAGAACAGUUUCAGGUUAAGAACAGACCUCCAGAACAAAUUAAGUUCUUAAUCCGAGGUACCACUGUACUGCGUCCCAUGUUUUGUUAGUCCCAAAAUGGAAAACGAGCGAGGUCCCAGCCAAAGAAGAAUGGCAACUUAAGUUGACAGAAUAUGCACAACUCACAGACUUAAUGUAUAGAAUAAGAGAACAAGAAGAACCUACGUUUAAAGAAGAUUGGAAAACGUUAAUUGGAUAUAUGGGAAAUAAUUGUGUACAGCUGAAAAUGCCAGCAGCAUUAAGAUAAAUUCAGCAGUUUAAAUAAGUUUUGAUGGAUGCAAUAAAGGAAUACUGAAUGGUAUAGUUUUUGUAAAAUAUGCAGGGAUUUAUGAUAUGUAAAACGAACCAUGGAAAGAUAAGAAGGGAAGUCGUUGAUAUCUUAAGGAUGUAAAAUGAGUAUUUUAAAUUACACGGUUCAAUUUAUCUUCAUCUUGCUUUGCCUUGGUGUGUGUGUGUGUGUGUGUGUGUGUGUGUGUGUGUCUCACAUGCCAGGUGCAGGCCAGAGAAGCAACAAAUGCAACUGUGACCUUUGUUUCUACACAGACUCACACAGAUCUCCCCAUUCUUCCUCCAGUCAAGCAAGAGGCAUGAUCAGAGAUCAAGGAUACAUUACAACCAGGCAACACAACAACAACAAACAUUUCGGGUGGAAAACAGAGACAGUGAAAGGUGUGGAGCAUUCUGAGGGCCAGACAGAGAGUCACGGAGGGCCGCAUUCGCCCCCCCCACCUUAUUUUUUCCAUUUCUCUGAAGAACCAACCUCAAUCAUCAAAAGCAUUCGAAAGAAACCGCAAUCAAGAUGAAAAGAAAAUAAAAACCCCCGAAUUUUCUCCACUUCCUUCUGAUCCAUUUAAUUCUCGAGAUACGCUACCGCAGAACAAUUUCAUGGAGAAUUACUCAGAGAAAGGGCAGCUUUGUUUUCUGCAUCAGCAGUCCUGCCAUUCUACUUCCAGCCCCCUCCCGAUUUAUUUGUGUUUCCCUUUGAAGUCCCAAAUAAACCCACAGAAGGAAAAAAUAACAAUGAUUUGUGGCAUAGUAUUGUGGUAUCAUGUAUAAGUCUCACAUGGGGUGAGGCAAGCUGGGCUUAAAUUUAACCCAUCCUCGCCACCCUUCUCGAAAUAGGUUUGUCUACCUGAUGUGCAGAAUUCAACUAAAAAGCCUGAAACGAGGGUGGGGAACAUGUGGUCCUUCAGAUAUUGUAGGACUCCAUCUCCCAUCACCCCUGACCCUUGCCAUGCUGUUUGGGGCUGAUGGAAGCUGGGGCCACUUAAGCUGAUAAAAUAUGUGCAGCUUGCAGAUUUAACAUAUAGAAUAAGAGAACAAGAAGAACAUACAUUUAGAGAAGGCUGGAAAAUGUUUACAGUGGUACCUCAGGUUAAGUACUUAAUUUGUUCCGGAGGUCCAUUCUUAACCUGAAACUGUUCUUAACCUGAAGCACCACUUUAGCUAAUGGGGCCUCCUGCUGCUGCUGCGCCGCCGGAGCAUGAUUUCUGUUCUCAUCCUGAAGCAAAGUUCUUAACCUGAAGCACUAUUUCUGGGUUAGCGGAGUCUGUAACCUGAAGCGUAUGUAACCUGAAGCGUAUGUAACCCGAGGUACCACUGUAUUGAAUAUAUCAGGGGAAAUUGUGUACACUUGAAAACAUUGGCAGCAUUAAGAUAAAUUCAACAGUGUAAACAAGUUUUGAUGGAUGUAAUAAUGGAAUACUGAAUGGUUUAGUUUUUGUAAAAUAUGCAGGGAUUUAUGAUAUGCAGAAUGAACCACGGAAAGAGAGGAAGGGAAGUCGUUGAUAUUUUGAGGACGUUUAAAUGUGUAUUCCAAAUUGUAAAAUAUAAAAUUUAAUUACACACACACUCGUGAAAAUCUCUCAACCUUACUUUGAAACACACCAAAGUUAAAAUGCUAAAUUAGAUUAAAAUUACCUUAAUGUUCUAAGCAUCUGAGUAGGCUUGUCUAAACAGGAAUGUUUUUUGCAGGAGCCAGAAAAAGUACAGUGAAAGUGCCUGUUUGAUCUCAAUAGGCAGGGAGUUUCAAAAUGUAGGUGCUGUCACACUAAAAUGAUCGAGUUCUUACCGCUGUGGAACGGGUAUUAUGUGUCACCUGUAGUAGUGCCAAUUAUGCCAAUCAAAGCAGUUGUGUGGGCACAUGUGGGGUAAGGCAAUUUUGUAGGCCAUCAAGGGCUUUAUAAACUAAUUGCACCGCCUUGAAUUUGGCCCAGUAGUAAAUCAGCAGCCAGUGCAGAUCUCUGAGCGCCGGUGCCAUAUACAGUGGUACCUCGGGUUACAGACGCUUCAGGUUACAGACUCCGCUAACCCAGAAAUAGUACCUCGGGUUAAGAACUUUGCUUCAGGAUGAGAACAUAAAGUGUGCUCCGGCAGUGCAGCAGCAGCAGGAGGCCCCAUUAGCUAAAGUGGUGCUUCAGGUUAAGAACAGUUUCAGGUUAAGAACGGACCUCCGGAACGAAUUAAGUACUUAACCCGAGGUACCACUGUACUGACAAGGCCUCACCCCUGUCAGCAAUUGUGCUGCCGCAUUCUGAACUAACUGCGGCUUCCGGAUCAAGCGCAAGGGAAGCCCCACAUGGAGCGCCUUGCAGUAAUCCAUUCUUGAAGUAAUCAAUGCACAAACUACUGUGGCAAGGCUUUCCCAGUGCAGGAAUGGCCGUCAUUGUCAAACCAGCCUCAGUUGAUAAAAGGCAUGUCUAGCCAGAUGGGUGGGGUAUAAUAAUAAUAAUAAUAAUAAUAAUAAUAAUAAUAAUAAGUGCCACUGGGCAGUGGCGGGUCUUGGCAUCUCAGAUUUCAGUGGCGCCCUGGGCAAUGCCAAAAUCCACUGCCCCCAUCUCUCGCUUUCAAUUGGAUUUCAUAGUUGCAGUGCUUGCUGCAGUGCCCCCAAAGCUCCAUGCGCUGUGUGACUCAAGUGGUUGCGCUCCUAUAGAUCUGCCUUUGCAAAACUAUGAAACUGCUCCUUGGGGGGGAGUGCGACCCCAUCCAGGGUAGGCAACUGACCAAUUUCUUGGACACGGGAACGACUCACCCAAAGGCCUCUGUCUUGUCAGGAUUCAAGCUCAUAUUGUCCCCCCCCCAUCCAUUUCACCACUGCUUCUUCUUUCUUCUUUGGCGAUCCCUUGUAGCCGAAUAAGAUGGCCUUUCAUGAACAGUUUUAACAGUGAGUCUGUAAGUGACUGUGGAGGCCAAUUCUGGAUCCACAUGUCCUUCCACAGUGGGGACAUAGGUUUCCGGGUGGGAGUUGAUCACAGUGAGGGUUUGCCAAGCGUGCCUCCCUCUUAGCAUGUUUCUCCCUUUUGUCCUGAGUUUGAGCGUCUUCAAAGGCCAUGACAUCUUUAGAAAAGGCUGUUCUCCAAUUGGAGCACUCACAGGCCAGUGUUUCCCAGUUAUCAGUGUUUAUACUACAUUUUUUAAAGAUUUGCCUUGAGACAGUCUCUAAACCUCUUUUGCUGACCACGGGCGUUAUGCUUUCCAUUUUUAAGUUGGCCACUGUUUCCAGGCGAUGGCCCAGGGACUGCACAGCCUCACCUGAUUCAGACAUUAUGGAGGACUAGAGCUGUGUCAUCAGCAUACUGAAGGUACCUUGAGUGGCUGUGUUCAUUAGGCUUGAUAUUCCAACAGGUCUGGAGAGAUCGUUUUUUUUUGCUAAUAAAGAGUUAACUCCAACUUGCACUGUGUGAUUUAUUGCUGGCUCGCUUCUUGGGAGAAAUGUGAUUUUGUUUCCAUUUUCAUGAGCAAUUGCCCCAUUUGCACUUCUUGAGCCAACGCAUGAACCAAAACACAGCUGUUCUUCAAAAUCUGCAUGUUUCCAAAUUUGUGGUGAGAGCAAACAGUUGUACAAAAAUGCAUAUAUUAUGGAUAAAAAAGCAUGUACUCAAGCAAAAUGUAUCGUAUUCAGGGAAAUCACUUGCAAAAAUGUGCACGUUACCCAAAGCUGCAUACAAAAAUGUUUUUACAGUAGUACCUCAGGUUACAUACGCUUCAGGUUACAGUCUCCGCUAACCCAGAAAUAGUGCUUCAGGUUAAGAUCUUUGCUUCAGGAUGAGAACAGAAAUCGGGUUCUGGCGGCGCGGCGGCAGCAGGAGGCCCCAUUAGCUAAAGUGGUGCUUCAGGUUAAGAACAGUUUCAGGUUAAGAACGGACCUCCGGAACGAAUUACCGUAUUUUUCGCUCUAUAAGACGCACCAGACCACAAGACGCACCUAGUUUUUGGAGUAGGAAAACAAGAAAAAAAAUAUUCUGAAUCCCAGAAGCCAGAACAGCAAGAGGGAUCGCUGCACAGCGAUCCCUCUUGCUGUUCUGGCUUCUGUGAUAGCUGUGCAACCUGCAUUUGCUCCAUAAGACACACACACAUUUCCCCUUACUUUUUAGGAGGGAAAAAGUGAGUCUUAUAGAGCAAAAAAUACAGUAAGUACUUAACCUGAGGUACCACUGUAUUGGGAGAACUUUGCACUAGCAUGCCGACAAAUGUUUAUGAGGAUUUUAAAAUGAAAGAAAAUCUCAGAUUGUGAAAUGUGAGAAACUGAGAGAAACCAAAACUGGCAGAUUCAUCCAGCUCUAGUUUGGCCUAAUGUGCUGUCUGAACUUGAUCAAUAUCCGAAGACCCACAUGCUCCCCAGCCCCUCUCCAAGGAUUCAGACAAGGCCUAACUGGGGAUGAUGAUCAUUGCCUUCCUUCUGGGGGCAUGAAUGCCGUCUCAGCCCAGCCAUGUGCUACCCCAUUAACUCUUCCCAUUGGAAAGACAAUGGGGAAAUAUGACUUGUAAAGAUUUCUUGCAAGAAAAUCAUUAUUGUAAGGCAAGGCUUCCCUAUUUCUCAGCUCUACACACCAGCCGUGGCAGCCGGUAAGUGUUUUCAGCAGGGCAAUGUAUUUUCAACCUCAUUUGUGUGUCAGCCUAAAUGGAACACACUUUAUUACCUUUAUCCCUGCAUCUCAAUAAAGGGGGAAAAUGCUUUGCCAGUUGAGUGGAAAUGCAAGCGGCACCCUUUCAGUGCCAUGUGCUCAUACGUAGGUCACUCCUGGACAUCUGCUUUAUUGAGCAGUUUGCAGGAAGGAUAGAUGAGCCUUCCUUCUGAUUUCUUUUUGUACAGGUGUUAGACAAUGUUGUGUCAAGCAAGGGGAUCUCCCAGAGUUUCCAGUGCAGUUUCCCGUUGCUUUCCAUAUUACACAAAGUCAGAUUUCACGUGUGUGGUUGUUGUGGUGGUGGGCUGAAUUUGCUGCACAAUCAACUUCAGUUGCCUAAUCUGAAUUUGCUGGUUUGUCAUUGAACCCCACCUGAAAAUAGCAACUGUCUGGAAGUACCUACAGACGCAUUCCCCCAAACUGAAUUUCCUAGGACAGAGCCAUAGGAAGCCAUAGAUCAGCAGGGCUCUCAAAUUUCAUCUUCGAAAAUAUAUUAAUAUGGCUUAAAAAAGACUGGCUUAAUCUCUCACCAGGUCUAUGUUUGACUGCCCUCUGUUGGAAAAAAAAUCUCUAAGGGAUACACACACAAUUUUAGGCAGCUGAGAAUGCUUUGGAAGAGGGAUUACAUCUCAUUGAUGCCCAUCCCAGUUUGUAUUUUUGGUUUUAUUUGUGUGUCUUGUUUCAUUUGUCAGCUUGGGCACCUCCAUUUUGCAGGAGGAGAAUUGGGACAGACAGACAGACAGACAGACACACACACACACACACACACACACACACACAGAGAAAGAGAGAGAGAGAAAUAUAUACAGUGGUACCUUGGGUUACAGACGCUUCAGGUUACAGACUCCACUAACCCAGAAAUAGUACCUUGGAUUAAGAACUUUGCUUCAGGAUGAGAACAGAAAUCGUGUGGCGGCAGCGCAACGGCAGCGGGAGGCCCCAUUAGCUAAAGUGGCACCUCAGGUUAAGAACAGUUUCAGGUUCAGAACGGACCUCCAGAACGAAUUAAAUUCUUAACCUGAGGUACCACUGUAUUACCAAAUAAAUAGGCUUGGGAGCAGGUCAGUCUCAAGACAUUUUUCUGCCUGAGGCAGAAAUGUCGAAGGCUAUGGAGUUAUGUGACCCCCGAGCCAAGGAGAUAAGUAACUAUACAACCUUUAGAAGACAUCUGAAGGCAGCCCUGUAUAGGGAAGUUUUAAAGUGCUUUAUUAUGUUUUUAUAUAUGUUGGAAGCCUUGGCUUGGGGAUCACAUAACUCCAUACCCUCCAACAUUUCUCCAAUGAAAAUAGGGAUGUCCUAAGCAAAAGAGGGACAUUCCGGGAUCAAAUCACAAACUGGGAUGCCUUCUGUAAAUCUGGGACUGUCCCUGGAAAACAGGGGCACUUGGAGGGUCUGCGUUUAGACUCCGGGAGACAUGCAAGUGCCUGUGCCACAAUUCUACCUUAAAGUUUCCUACCUCCUCCUCCCCCCAACCCCAUCGUUGAAUAUAUAAUUUGUUUUAAAUUCUUUCCGAGACUAAUGGGAUUUAGCUCGGCCUUGAAGCCACAUUUAAGAGGAGCGCUUUUAAUGGAAGAAGCAGGAAGUGGCACGGCAGAGCCCCGCAAAGCAAAACGACUCUUUGUACUGCUUUUGCUGGAGGUUCCUCUCAGCUCUUGUAAAUUUAAUAAAGAUGUCACCCUAAUAUAAAUGGUUCUGCUUGAGAAACAUCCCUUCCCUUAUCUCCACCAAACUUCCUGCCUCAGGUUUUCGGCCUCCUAGGGGCUGCUUUAAUGUUCUUGCGAUACAACGCAGCUCUUAGGAAAGGGAGCCAAGGGAAUGCACCAGAUCCAACUCAACUGGCCGCCCCAUUUGGAGGCCAAGAAGACGCUUCAGUGAAAGAGGAAAAAGUUCUAGAACUGAAGCAUAAGGACACCUGUCCUCCUGAACCCAAGCAGAGAGGGGAAGGCUGAUGAAGGCCAUUUUUUGUUUAUUUAGCUAUUCUGUUAUUUAAAAGAAUGAAGAAUUUAUUUUAUUAGAUUAUGUGUUCUUCACAACAAGGUUCCAGGGCGGUUUACAGCAAUAAAAUAUACAGUGAGAAAAAGGAAAACAUCAUUUAAAAACAAUAAAACAAGUGUAAAAUAAAUAAAAACAGGUGUGUGUCUGUGUAUACAGUCAUACCUCAGGUUACAGACGCUUCAGGUUGCAUGUUUUCGGGUUGCACACCGCGCCGAACCUGGAAGUACCAGAAUGGGUUACUUUUGGGUUUCGGCACUCGCUCACGCGCAGAAGCGCUAAAUUGCGCUUUGCACAUGCGCAGAAGCGCUGAAUCGCAACCCGCGCAUGUGCAGACGUGGCACUGCAGGUUGCAAACGUGCCUCCUGCACCGAUCACAUUCGCAACCCGAGCGUCCACUGUAUAUAUAUCUCAAAAUGGUUCUAAUACAGAUGCAAAUGGCUAUUAGCCAUUACUCCAUGGUCAUUGAUAGUAAUGCUUCUGAAUGCCAGGUGCUGAAAACAGCAGGAGAGGAAAGUGUUCUCGUGGUUGAAUCCUGCUUGCAGUUUCCCCACAGGCAUCUGGUUGGCCACUGCAGAACAGGAUGCUGCACUCAAUGGGCCAUUGGCCUGAUCCAGCAGGCUCUUCUUAUUUUCUUAGAUGCAGACCAGGAUGAAGAUUUCUAUUGAAAAGGCUUCUUGAAAGAGGACAGUCUUCCCCACCUUUCAGCAAAAGCAUGCAAUCCCAGCACACACUUUGAUGGGCAGACAGGGCAAGGCAGUCACUGUGGGAAUGUUCAGGGUAGCAGGAGAGGAUAUAUUGUUUAUUAAUAUCCUUCCUAACUUGUGCUAGCAAGUUUCUUUAUGUAGCAGAGUUACAAUCCCCUUUCUUACAUGCACAGCAGAUAACUGGUUGCAGGCUUGUGUAAGCCUCUCACUAUUAUACAAUUCAGUCUGUAUCAGAUCGAAUUGUAUGUUCCUGGUAAGUUCCCUUGAAUCCCUCUUAAAAGAAUAAAGACACGACAGUCUUAUUCAAAGUCAAUAAAAGAAGUUUACUCACAUCAGUUUACAGUUGGAUUCCUGAAGGCAGACUUAGUUACAAAUAUGUACAUGUGGAUCUACCCCAUAUGGGGGAAUAAUCCCAUUUUAGCUAGAGCAUUCCUAGCUAAAAGCUGGUCAAACGGAGAAGGAAGUGAAAAAAGAGAGAGGUAUGCUGUGUGACUCGUCCUUUUGUUACCUGGACAGAUAAGGUCACAACCACCUUCUAUCACAUGCAAAAGAAGAAUGCUGCAGCCAGGUGGAACAGGAAGUUUUGACUGGCUGGACCAAACGUUCCCCUGCAUUUCUUCUCUAGCAUUACAAGGAAUGUUGUACUUGACUGCUCUCAGCGGAUUACAUCGGAUUGCUGGAGGCCAUAUACACCUGGACAUGAGUAGCUGAGAAUCACAAGUGGGGAGAGUCUUGCUGCGCUCAGGUCUUCCUUGUGAGUUUCCCAUGGACAUGUGGGAGAAUAAAAUGGCCUUCACUUGACACCUAGAAUCUAGGAGAAAGGACAUUAGAUGCUGGCAUUUGGUCUGAACUCCACUAAACUACCCAGAUCCAAAUCACACUGACGCAAACACUCCUUGAGUGUUUUUGUCUGGCUGGAAUGUUCAUGAUCUGGCUCCCAGUACGUUUCCGAGCACAAUUCAAAGUGUUGGUGCUGACCUUUAAAGCCCUAAACAGCCUUGGUCCUGUAUACCUGAAGGAGCGUCUCCACCUCCAUCGUUCUGCUAGGACACUGAGGACCAGCACCGAGGGCCUUCUGGCGGUUCCCUCGCUGCGAGAAACCAAGUUACAGGGAACCAGACAGAGGGCCUUCUCGGUAGUGGCACCCACCCUGUGGAACACCCUCCCACCAGAUGUCAAAGAGAAAAAUAACUACCAAACUUUUAGAAGACAUCUAAAGGCAGCCCUGUUUAUUAGGGAAGCUUUUAAUGUUUAAUAGAUUAUUGUAUUUUAGUGUUUUGUUGGAAGCCGCCCAGAGUGGCUGGGGAAACCUAGCCAGAUGGGCAGGGUAUAAAUAAUAAAUUAUUAUUAUUAUUAUUAUUAUUAUUAUUAUUAUUAUUAAUCUCUUAUGAUGCCUCUUGCUUGCCUGGAUUGAUGAUAGAGGGGGAUGGGGAGGAGAAUAUUUGUAGAAACUAGCCUACUGGUGGGCAAAGCUAAAAUGUGCAUUUGCUGCUCUGUCUGCUUUUCCUUCUGAGCCCCACUUGCCCUUGUCAUGUGGCCCCCAGAAGGUUUCUGAAAAGUGAAUGUGGCCCUGGGCUGAAAAAAGUUCCCCAACCUUGCUCUAAUUGGAGACCAUUAUCUGAAUGGGUAAUACUAGGAUAGAUGAUACCAGAACACCCUGAAAGUUGUCGAGCUUUUUCUAAGAGAGGCCCCAAAAUUGUUGAGCUGCUUUUUAGGAAACCACCAAAAUGGUUGAGCUUUUUUUAAAGGAAAACCUGACAGCUGUUGAGCUUUCUUUUACACACACGCUCAAUUUUCUGAUUGACUUGCCUAAGAUCCAGGACAAAGCACCACCUUUCAGAAUUUCACCCCCGGAUGUCAAUUCCGCCUUUGAAAUCCUGGCAGCCCCAGUGAUACUGAAGGAAUGGCAGAACUGCAGGAAUUCACACCUCAGGGAUGGGAAGCUGAACUAAAAACUCAAUUUUGCCUGCAGACUUUUUUGCUCUCACCUGCGAUAAUCUCUCUCCACACCCCAAUAAGUCAUAGAUGAAGUGGAGUUAGAUUCCUGAGAAAGAAAGUUGACUGUUGCAAACUCCUUGUUGCGCCGACGUCUCCAACCGAUCCAAUCCCAUGUCGGCAGCAGCCAGGCUGCCUUGGGCUGGGUGUGUUUGUCUAAACUUUGGGGUAAUAAAAAAGGAUGCAACAGAUUCAUCAAGAGUUAGGGAACUGUCGCUGGAAAGAGACAUACCCUGCGCGAUGGGGAGAAAUCCAUACCCUGCUCUAAUGAGCACACCGAACAGCAGAACAAAGCUAUUUAGAUCCUGUCACAUUUUAUCUCUUCUGCUCCCCAGUUUUAUCAGGUUAAUGCAGCAGAGAAUAGACUGAGAGAGCAAUAGCAAAAAGAGGCAACGGAGCCAGCCUGGGCAAGUCUCAAAGCUGGGCCCUGCUGCACAGGCGGACCAGAGUAGGGAAGGGGGAGAAAUCUGAUUCAGUUCCCCUCUGAAGAUGCAUUUACCCAAUUUGUGCUUUCUGAAACAACAGACAAACCAAAAUCCAUCCAUCGGAAUCUGCAUUCCUCUGAAUUUUUCAAAUUGGUUCUUCAGCUAAGCAUAGUGUACAAAAAUGUGUGGCACCCCCCCAUGGUGGAUUUGUUGCACCAGGGCAACUGAUGGAUUUAAUCCACUUUUAAAUACACAGUCCUAAAGUUCUGGCAUGUGCUUGAAUCCUCCCACAAAAUACUGGCAGUCCGGAGGCCUCUGGAGUUUGCCUGCCUCCUCCCACUCAGCCACCGUACAGCUGGGGGGGGGGGGGGAGGCAGCGGGUGGACCGUUUGGGCAGCACGGAGCCUGCACAUACACAAGCCUGCAGGCGCUGUGGUGAGUGCCGCCUGGCAUUUUGUCACCCCCCUCAGUGGUGACAUGCGGAGUGGCCUGCACCUACUGCAUGUUGGCAUACAGCCAAGGAAAUGGGGGCAAUUGGCAGGCCCCCAGCUGGCUCCAGCCCACCGUCUGGUGUGCCAGGCGAUCUCCGGUCCUGGGUGCAGCAUUAGCAACCCCAGCUUCAGAAGGUGGAGCAUGCUUUAAUCAGCAGAGUAAACGCUGCGCAACAGAAGUGGCAGGGAGAGGCUGUGUUCAGCAUAUUUACAAGCAGUUUAUUCAGCAUACAUCAGGACAAGAGGGAAACAGGUCUUCUCUCCUUCGUGUCCAAGCAGGCAAGCAUAAGCAAAAUCAAUUUGUUGUUGCUGUUUAGUCGUGUCCGACUCUUUGUGACCCCAUGGACCAGAGCGCACCAGGCCCUCCUGUCUUCCACUGCCUCCUGCAGUUUGCUCAAACUCAUGUUUGUAGCUUCGAGAACACUGUCCAACCAUCUCAUCCUCUGUCGUCCCCUUCUCCUUCUGCCCUCCAUCUUUCCCAACAUCAGGGUCUUUUCCAGGGAGUCUUCUCUUCUCAUGAGGUGGCCAAAGUAUUGGAGCCUCAGCUUCAGGAUCUGUCCUUCCAGUGAGCACUCAGGACUGAUUUCCUUAAGAAUGGAUAGGUUUGAUCUUCUUGCAGUCCAUGGGACUCUCAAGAGUCUCCUCCAGCACCAUAAUUCAAAAGCAUCAAACAGAAGUUCCCAGCAAGCUGUGCUGGAGCGUAAACAGGCAUGUGACACACAACAGUCAUGCCUGUACUUAGGGUGGAACAGAAUAUCCUAACACUGCACUCCCCUUCCUCCGCCCCUGCCAGAGGCACCCACAGAACCACUAAGGGAGAAAGGCCCAUGGAGGUCAUUGAUUAAGAAAGGAAGGCAGGGGCCUGGAGGGGGCCUAACUCGGAGCUGCCAGAGAGUUUUAGUGUGCCAGCAUGCAUGCAUGUGAAAGAGUUCUACCUAUCCAAGGACCGGAACAAUAGUUAUAACUGAUGAAACAUCAGCCAAGAGAUUGUGGACUAUUAACCACCAAUCUGCUUAAUAAGAAAUGCUUGCCAGGGCCCCUAACAACUUACCACCCCGUAGUCUUGCUUUGAGCAGGGCAUCUUGGGUUUACAGAAGCUGCUGGGGCAAUGGCAGUGGCGGGCGAGGGGCAGUGGCAGAGGCAUGGUGUGUGUGUGUGUGUGUGUGUGUGUGUGUUGGGGGCGGGGGGAGAACGCCCUGGAUGUGGGUGAGAAAAUGUUGGAAGGUAUGUAACAAUAUUAGACUCUGGCACCAAUUGUCACUUACUGUUAGUAUCAACAUAGUAGCCAAAUGACACAGAAGAUAACGCACACAUCGUGGAGGAAACUGAGAUGCCCAUUUAGGGUUUGGGGUGAGAUGUGGGCCCAGGUUUUGCCCUGGCAAUGCCAGGUUGUUGUUCUUUUUGCUGCUGCAGCCAAGAUGCUGGUGUUGGAAACAGAGGAGAGCUCAUUCACAUGCAAAGGAGGUUGCUUUCAUUAUUCCUGCAGCCCAUUUCCUAGGCAUUCCAGAAGCAGCGAGGUGUGGUUGGAGCUAAUUAGGUGAACCAUUACCUCCCAUUAUUCACUCUUGGGGGUGUAACACCCCCUUGUCCCCCCUUUUUUUCUAUUUUCAGGGAGGCUACUUUGAGCUAGGGAUCAGGCUAUGCAUAUUUGAAAUCCACAAGAAGCUAGAAGUGUCUAGCGUGCCAUGUCUGGUAAACCAAGCCGUGGGCUGACAAAGCGUGAUAUUCAUUUAUUUUAUUUAUUUAUUACUUGAAUUAUUGAUAUACCACUUAAUGCCAUUGUAGGCUUCUAAGUGGUUUCCAAGUAUAACAACAGUUGGCACAAACACCGAAAUAUUAACACCCAUCAUCAAACGACGCAAUAAACCGACCCUAUUAAAAACAUUUAAAUAUAAACACUCGUAAUUAAAAUAUGCAACCAAACAAUCCCGCUAAAGCAAUGUAGGAAUUAAAAGCAGGAUUGAAUAGAUGGCAAAUUAAAGAGGUUUCCCAUUCUGUGCUCUGGGCCAUGGGUUCCCCUCAAAUAAAUGGACAUCAGACAACUUCUGGGCCAGAGAGUUGUCCUUUAAAAUCAUAAAAUGGAGUUGGCCCUCCAGAUGUUGUUGGGCUCCAUCACCUCUGAUCUUUCAGGAUGCAGGUGGGGCUGAUGGGAAUUGGAGCCCAACAGUAUUUGGAGGGCCACAGGUCUCCUAGCCCAGAUUUUGUGACAUUCCCUUAUUUUGGAUGCUAGUAAAACCCUUUCCAAGGGACGCGGGUGGCGCUGUGGGUUAAACCACAGAGCCUAGGACUGGCCGAUCAGAAGGUCGGCGGUUCGAAUCCCCGCAACAGGGUGAGCUCCCGUUGCUCAGUCCCUGCUCCUGCCAACCUAGCAGUUCGGAAGCACAUCAAGUGCAAGUAGAUAAAUAGGUACCACUCCGGCAGGAAGGUAAACAGUGUUUCUGUGCGCUGCUCUGGUUCGCCAGAAGCGGCUUAGUCAUGCUGGCCACAUGACUGUAAACCGGCUCCCUCUGCCAAUAAAGCGAGAUGAGCGCUGCAACCCCAGAGUCAGUGAUGACUGGACCUAAUGGUCAGGGGUCCCUUUACCUUUAAAACCCUUUCUGAUACAAUGGAAAUUGGUGGACAUGCUUGAAGGGCUCACCCAGAUUUCAUUUUGUGCUGCGUUUCUAGGCACAGAUCUGUGCUUGUCCAAGCCCCCACCUUUCCUCUCUCUCUUUUUGCCUUGGUGCUUUCCCUGCGAAAGCUCGCUCUUUAGCGUUGAAUUGUAGUGAAAGCGCCCACAAUCCUGGACAUGACCUGGGGUGUGUUCACAGGGCCACAAAGAGAGGCUUGAAAGGCCAGAGGCUCAUCGCUCCUACCCUGAACCUUCUUUGGCCCUCGUUUUCUUGUGCAUUUCAGAGCACUGCAUGAAUCUGCCCUGAUUUAUUGGACGUCUUCUGUUGGGAUUCUUUAGCAGUGGACUUCUCAUAAAGGGCUUUUGCCUUCCUGAGCUGUCCAGCUGCUCAUCGGUACAUGGUCCUCUGGGUGCUGUAUGGUUUUCUUUUUUAAUGCAUUGCGUCCAGCAAGCUCACAUUUGAGAUGCCAAUUACGAGCCGGUCUCCAAUAUGGCUGUGUUUUAACAAGCCCCAGAGUUGCCAUGUGCCGUGAACCUGUACAUGCUGUUAACAAAAGGCCACAGUGCCUUCCCUUUCCCCAGGCUUUCUUCUGCACAUGUAUAAAAACAAAAAGAUUUCCAAGGUUGACUUUGGACUCAUAGCAAUAAUCCAAGUUGACUUGCCGUUGGCUUUCGCCAUCAUUCACCCUGUCAAGUCUUGAACAGAGGCAAACUUUUGCAUUCGUCCACUGAAAAGGCAUCUCAGGGUAAUAAAAAGGUCCCCUGGGGAAGAAGGCAUUGCAGCCUGGGAGAGUGAUCCUCAGAGAUGACGGGGGGAGUGGUUUCAAUGAACUGCAGAAAACGAACCGCAGCACAACGGAAGCAGCACUGCAUGCAGUGUGUACAGGACAGCAUGGGAAAAGAUGACCUUCUUCCAUUACUUAGGAUUUCUGCCCAUGCCAUGCACCCUUCUCAGGCACCCCCACCCUCCCCAGGCCAUGGAGCGUGCAAGAAGGGAGCCACAUGAUCUUGUUCCUGCAGAUUCCAAACUCUCUGGGCAUUCCGCACCAACCAUUCUUGCCCGGAAAGUGUCAACUGAAAGUCUUGCCUCUUGAAGAUGGAGCGGUUUGAAGGAAAUAUGAGUCCUAAGAAGCAAGAAGAGGCUUACCUUGGUGUCUUCCUUUUCCAUUUUUUAACAAAGUUUUAUUAAGACAUUACAAUAAAAAAAACCUUAAAAAAGGAAAGGAAAGAGAAAAAGAAUACAAAACAAUGUUUUACAGAUAAAUCUUGACUUGUCCCGUGCAGAGAAAAGCUGUGUUACUUUUAUUGUUGUUAGCUGCUCUGAGCCCGGCUUCGGCUGGGGAGGGCGGGAUAUAAAUAAAAUUUUAUUAUUAUUAUUAUUAACCCUUCUAGCUCUCACCUGGAAGCUGGCCUUUCUUCUCCCACCUUCCCACCAUGGGAGAUCUUCUCUUCCCUGCCUCUUACACAGGGUCUUUAAUCAAGAGUCCACCAUAGUUCUUUCUUUUUCUACUGCAGGGCUGGGGCAUGUCUGGUCCAAGGGCCACACAAAGCCCUCCGAACCUUUCUAUCUAGAGCUAGGCACUGUCCCCAGGACAACACUUCCUGGCGUGAGCAGAGGAUCCCAGUGCCGGUGGCAAACCCCUAUGUACAGCGCAUGUGCGGUGUCACACGCAUGCGGUGUACGUAAUGACGCCACACAUGCACUGUACAUAGCAGUUUGCUGCUGGCGCCGCUCAAGUGCCAUACGGACAAUGCUUGAAUACCUCCAUUGCCGCUACAGCCACAUGUAGAGGACCCUCCGUUCAUGGCUGUAGCGGUGAUGGAGGGAUCCUGGCACUGGCUGUAUGGCGCUGGAGCGGCGCCGGCAAACCGCUAUGUACAGCGCAUGUGCGGCAUCGCUACGUACAGCGCAUGCCACACAUGCGCCCUACGUAGCGACGCCCUGCCCUGGGUGUCACGACACCUUCGUUCGCCCCUGAUAAUACCCCUGUUUAGUUAGUCAUUGUAAUCUGUGUAUAUUAAGGAGAAAUGUGUCCUAUGUAGCAGCUGUUCAGGAUUUCAGACAGGGAACAUUCCUCGUCUUACCUGGAGGUCCCUGUGUCCUUGUGCAUGCAGUGCAGAUGGUGUCUGGUCACGGUGGUUCAAUACUUCUGGCUGAUUAUCUCCAUGAAGUCCCAUAGCAGUGUAUUUUAAAGCCUACCUGAAAUUCCAUGGAAUGAUAGUUCCUUUGUAACAGGCCUUCUGCCGGGUUUCUCUCCAUCUUGCCAGAUGGUUCACUUGCCCUUUCUCCUGCCCCGUGCUGUUCACAAGAGUUCCAGACUCUUUAAAAAUGGAUCUGCAGUUUUAUAGUCCUCUUGAAAAAUUAAUACAAGUGCUUCAUGCUAGGCUGAGAGGAGGAAGAUGAAAAAGCAGGCAUGCAUGUGGUCUGCCCAUUACAGGGUCAUUUUUAUUGUUAUUAGUAAUACUAUUUAUUGGUCUACUUCAUAGACAACAACCUGAGGCCCCGUUUCAGCACAAGGGUACCCUUUCUUCAUUUCCCUGCCCCAAACAAGGCAGCAAAAUGGGCCAUCUCAGGAAAGAUCUCUCUGCCUGAGCCCUUGAGAAGUGCAGCGUGGCGUAGUGGUUAGACUGUUGGACUACAACCUGGGAGACCAGGGUUCAAAUCCCUACUUGGCCGUGUAGUUCACUGGGUGAGCUUGGGUCAGUAUUGGUCUCUCAGCCUAACCUACCUCACUUUCAUGGACUCGUUGGACACAGAGUAAUGGUGGGAGGAACCAGCUGGGGAACAUCAAGGGGAGAAGGCUCAGAGCCAGGGGAUUGGUGGUGGGAUGAUGAUGAGUGGUUGGCGGGAGAAGACUGUGGAGGGUGGAGAGAGGAGAUUUCGGAAGCUAAAGAGGUAAACAGGGCUUAGAGAGCUGGGAGAGUCUGUGGCAGAAGUCCAGAAUCAGAAGCAGGAGAGGAAGGAGUCCAAGAGGCAGAGGGUCUGGCUGGUGAAGAGGCACAGGUGUCUCCUGCUGCUGCGACAACCUCCUCUCCUUGCUGGUCUCCUAGAACCCGCAGAGGCAUGAAGUGGGAGGCGCAGAGGACAGGCAUGCUGGCGCAGUCUCAGAUUGCUUACAGAAACCCUGGGAGAGGAGGGCACUUAGGCAGCUGUGUGAAGGCAGGGAUCUUCUAACUGCCUCAUAGGAGUAAGACCUACCAGAGAGAGUUGGUGUGCUCAUUAGGCCUGGCACUUCUGUGCCGAUCCUGAUUUUUCUAAUGAAGAGUUAGCUUCACUUAACUCUGUGUCUCUUGAGACUCUUGAGAGUCCCAUGGACUGCAAGAAGAUCAAACCUCUCCAUUCUUAAGGAAAUCAGCCCUGAGUGCUCACUGGAAGGACAGAUCCUGAAGCUGAGACUCCAAUACUUUGGCCACCUCAUGAGAAGAGAAGACUCCCUGGAAAAGACCCUGAUGUUGGGAAAGAUUGAGGGCACAAGGAGAAGGGGAUGACAGAGGAUGAGAUGGUUGGACAGUGUUCUCGAAGCUACAAACAUGAGUCUGACCAAACUGCGGGAGGCAGUGGAAGACAGGAGUGCCUGGCAUGCUCUGGUCCAUGGGGUCACAAAGAGUCGGACACGACUAAAUGACUAAACAACAACAACAACUCUGUGUCAUUUACUGCUGGCUGGCUCCUGACACCAACAGCGCUGUUGCAGGGAUUAAAGGUAAAGGUAAAGGACCCCUGGAUGGUUCAGUCCAGUCAAAGGCAACUAUCGGGUCGUGGUGCUCAUUUUGCUAUGGGCCGGGGGGGAGGGCAGCAUUUGUCCACAGACAGCUUUUUGGGUCAUGUGGCCAGCAGGACUAAACUGCAACGGAACACCAUGACGGCAACCAGAGUGCACAGAAAUGCCGUUUACCUUCCCGCCACAGCGGUACCUAUUUAUCUACUUGCACUGGUGUGCUUUCGAACUGUUAUGUUGGCAGAAGCUGAGACAGAGCAACGGGAGCUCACCCCGUCACAGGAAUUUGAACUGCCAACCUUCUGAUCAGCUAUGAGGAGGGGGAAACCCAUGUAAGAUGCCCCGUUAUGCUCCUUAGAGAAAAUGGUGAGAUAGAAAUGCAAUGAAUGAAUAAACAAGGACUCCCUUUCCCACCCUUGGGCUGGUUGGACGAGUGGCCUGACUCAACAGAACACAACUUCAUGCCUUCAUCUGUCAGCACCGCUCAUUCAGGGAGGUUGCUAUUACAAACUCUGUUGGAGCGCCAGAGUGCUUGGCCUCCAUCAUUUGUUUGUUUGUUGCCAAGAUCCAUUAAUGAGCGGAGAAAGAGGGGGGAAGUCUUCACGGGGAAAGAAAACACACCUCCAGAACAUCGUGUUCCAGGGCCAUGUGCAGACUCCAUGCUGCGUCUAGGAAAUAACUUAUUUAUAGGUGAACGGUUAACAUGCAAUGGCUCUGCAUAUUUCAUAAGCUCUGGCGCUGAAUGGAGAUUAAUUAAGCCAAGGCAUGGCAAAGCAAAGGGUUGUGGGGAAAUGUAGGCUCCGUGGCAAUGGGAUGCGCAAGCGUGUGACACUGCAAAACCGGCACACGCCCCAGGCCUCUUGUACUCCCUCCCUGGGAGCUAAAUUAAAUUCAAUAAUUAAUAGAGCUUUAUUAGUCUCCCUCCCUCCAACGGCAGCCGUUUCCUAUUAAUCAACGGGUGUUUACAUGAGCAACGGGGGGAGAAGAUAGGAGGUAGCUUCAUACUGAGUCAAGCCAAUGGGCCAUCUGGACCAGAAUCCGGGAGCGUUUUUGGCCCAGUGGGGCAGAUUAUUAUCCACCCUGCCUCCGGCCACAGACCAACUUUGUCCUGCCCACCUGUCAAAGUUGGCCCAUGGGAUUUGGGCAGCAGAAGAUAGCGAUGAAGCAGGACUGAGCUCCCCUCACAAAUAAAUAAAGAAAUAAGAAAUAAUUACUUCAUUCAUAGAAUCAUAGAAUCAUAGAGUUGGAAGAGACCACAAGGGCCAUCGAGUCCAACCCCCUGCCAAGCAGGAAACUAUCAGCCCUGCGGGACUGUUUCCAGGCCACUGCUUCUACAUACCCUCCAAUAUUUCUGAUGAAAAUAGGGACCUCCUAUUUAACAACAAUAAUAACAAUAGUAGCAAUAAUAACUGUUGUUGUCGCCAUCAUCAUCAUCAUCAUCAUCAUACUAUUUAUACCUAACUGGGUUGCCCCAGCCACUCUGGGCGGCUUCCAACAUAUUCAAAAAAUAAGAAAACAUUAAACAUUUAAAAAAAAUUGCCCAGAGUACCUCAGGUUACAGACGCGUCAAGUUACAGACUCAACUAACCCAGAAAUAGUACCUCGGGUUAAGAAAUUUGCUUCAGGAUGAGAACAGAAAUUGCGUGGCGGCGGUGGGAGGCCCCAUUAGCUAAAGUGGUACCUCAGGUUAAGAACAUUUUCAGGUUAAGAACGAACCUCUGGCACGAAUUAAGUUCUUAACCCGCAGGCUUCCUGCUGUCGAAAGGGUCAGACCACCGGCUCCCCCUCAGCUGUAGGGCGGCAGGCAGACUCCUCGUUGCAAGGCAUAUGAUAUCCGCAAAAAAAGCUUAACAAUUCUGGCUCCCCCCCCAAAAAAAAUAUGAAAUAAAGUCAAACCAUUUUUACAGGCAAAAAAAUAAUAAAAUUCAAUGGAGGGCGUGUGUGUGUGACAAGAAAUUUUCCGCACCGGGUACCACCUGACCUUCCUAUGCCACUGGCAUGGGCUCCAUGAGGCUUCACAGAGUACGGUACUUUCUACAGCAAGGGCAGCAACAAUACUGCUUUAUUCCAGUGCUGUUUCGAGGACUGGCCACGAGAUGGCAAACUUGAGGCUAGCAGCGCGGAAUGCUAAAGCGAAGGGGUUUUGGGUGCGCCCGGGUUUAGCAGCAAUUUCCACAUUGACAGGGGAGACAAGCCAGACACGUUACCAGGAACAAGGCUCGCAAGUGCAUUUGCCGCCCCCCCCCCCCGCAUAAACAUGCCCAAGGUGCUUUGAUGAGCAUCCUUUCCCAUUAUGCCCCCACCUGCCGCCUUAACCUUUUGAAUGUCAAAAUAGACGGAGUCGCCUCCUUUGCAUUUUGCCCCGACGUCUUUCUGAGACCCCCCCCCACCCGCCCCCGCCCGCUUGCGUCCUGCCGAAAUGGAAGAGAAGAACUCAUUAGCAAGGCAAAGUAGAUAAUUGCAUGUUUUAAAUUUGCCUGCAACGUGUUUCCCACGGAGGAGCUUAUUUAUAGGGAGCCGGCUACAAUUUUACAAAUCAGGCUCGAAACUUUAUAGUAAGUUGAUCGGGGCUGCCCCCAAGCGCAGCAUCUUUUCAUGGCUGAAAGCAAGUAUCCAAUAAGAUACAAAAAAGUUGCCUGAAUCUCACAGCCCUCUAAAAUUGGGUUUAGAAUUUAUUACAUGUUCUUUCAAGAAACACAUGGUUCUCUCUCCCCCCGACAAAAAAACCCUCACAGAGUUUAUCAUCAUAAUACUGCCACGAGGCAGGUGAACACCUGCCCAGUUCAAACAGAAACAAUGGUGGAAGCAUGUAUUUUGUGGUGUCAAAAACUUAUUGCAGAUAAGCUUAAUAAGAGUCCCCAUGCAACUUCCCCUAAUUUGGUGCCUUCCUGAUGCUUUGGACUACAAAUCCCAUCAGCCCCAGCCAAUAUGGUCAAUUGUUAGGGAUGAUGGGACUUGUAGUCUAACAGCAUGAAAAAGACUAGGAAAAGCUGGUCUACAGCAGCAGCACUAUAGGACAGGGGUCAGCAAACUUCUGCAGCAGGGGGCCGGUCCACUGUCCCUCAGACCUUUUGGGGGGCCAGACUAUAUUUUGAAAAAAUAAAUAAAAAAUGAAUGGAUUCCUAUGCCCCACAAAUAACCCAGAGAUGCAUUUUAAAUAAAAACACACAUUCUACUCAUGUAAAAACAUGCUGAUUCCUGGACCGUCCACAGGCCGGAUUUAGAAGGCGAUUGGGCCGGAUCUGGACCCCUACCCAUGUUAUAGGGUUUCAGAGAGGUGAGUUUUCAGAUUCUACUUUGAGAUGCCAAAGAUUGAACCCGGGGUAUUUUUAAUAAAAUUAUAACAUUUUAUUUAUAUCCCGCCCUCCCCAGCCAAAGCCGGGCUCAGAGCGGCUAACAACAGUAAAAGUAAUACAGCAGUCUAAAAUCAAUUCAUUCUAAAAUCAAUUCAAAAUCAAAUUAAUGGCAACCAUUGGGCUAGAGUUAUGUGAGGAUUACCAAAGGAGGGGGUCAGGCUGUGCCUUGGCCAAAGGCCUGGUGGAACAGCUCUGUCUUGCAGGCCCUGCGGAAAGAUGUCAAGUCCCUCAGGGCCCUAGUCUCUUGUGACAUAUUUUUGUAUGCAAAACACAUGCUCUUUCAUUAAGCUAUGGCCCUUCUCUGUGGGUCAUGGAAUGGGAACCUGCAGCCCUCCAGAUGGUUGUUGGACUGUGGCUUCUGCCAGGUUCAGCCAGCAUGGCUACUGGUCAGGAAGGAUGGGUGUUGUGGUUCAAAACAUCUGCAGAAUGCAUAUAUUUUGUUAGAAACAAAAUACCAGUCACCCAUGGGCUUUCAGAUCAGUGAAGGAUGGAGCUAUUGCAUCGUGAAGCAAGACAGAGUGGAGCCACAGAGCUGAAGGAGACCUUGUCUGCCAUGUAGCCCAAAUCCCAGCUCAGUGCUGAAAAUCCUGAGUUAGAGCAUCUCCAACAGAUGGCAUCCGUUGAACCAGGCAUUCCCAAAAGGCAAACACAGGCACAAGGAUUUGCUAAACAGGGACAAAAGGAGCACAUUGAAUUGUUGCAACAUACUUACCUUUUUUUGCCUAGGCUUUCCCUGACCCAUGAGACUGCACACUGUUUUAUGGGUCUGAAUCCCCAAAUCUCUGUUUAAUUUGUUUUAAUUUGCUGUUUUAUUGGUUUCAGGUUGCAUGUUUGCUUUAACAGAUAUUGUUUUUAUAUUGUACACAGUGUACGCUGCUUAGAGAAUUUUGAAAUAGGAAACUUCCGUGAACCUGACUAUCGCACUAUCCCACAUGGUUCAAAAGCCACUCACUGCCUGCAAAGUGUUCCACGCUGUUGCCUUAAGUAGGCAGGAUGAGAUCUAAUGGCCUCCUUUGCAAGAGGAUUAAUUUCUGUUGAAUAUUAGGAGAAACUUGCUGAUAGUAAGGAGGAGUCUGAUGAUGCAACCAAUGGUCUGGAGCAGGGUUUCCCAAACUUGGGUCUCCAGCUGUAUUGGACUGCAAUUCCCAUCAUCUCUCACCACUGGUCCUGCUAGCUAGGGAUGAUGGGAGCUGUAGUCCAAAAACAUCUGGAAACCCAAGUUUGGGAAACUUUGGUGUAGAGCAGCGGUUCUCAACUUGUGGGUCCCCACAGGUUGAACUACAACUCCCAUCAUCCCUGAGCUCUGGCCUUGCUAGCUAGGGGUGAUGGGAGUUGUAGUUCAACAACAUCUGGGGACCCACAGGUUGAGAAAGGCUGGUCUAGACUGAUGGUGGGCUCUCCUCCAGUGGUGGCCUUCAGAAAGAGGCUGAGGAACGUUCUGCUGAGGAUGCUCCCAUUUUGGGUUUCCUACACCAAGCAGCAAGCUGGCUCCAAAUCUCAAGAACCUGCAUGGCUUUCUGGCCUUCUCCACCUGGCCCUCAGCACUGCCCAGGCCAUGCUCCUUCCCCAAGCCACUGCCUCAUUGCUCCAUGACAUCCUCUAGCAUUUUUUCCUAGCUUGAAGGUGUCAUUGAACUGCGAACCUCCUGCUUGCCUGCAUGGAGGAUGGGGAGUGGUGUGUGUCAGGCCACACCCACUUUUGCCACACCCACUACUGGUAUGAAGUCCCCAGGAAAUUGUCAUCGAGGGUAUGUGGUCUUCAGGCUGAAACAAAGGUGUCCCUACCCCUUAUUCUGCGAUUCUAAAAAGAUGUCAGGAGUUUUAGUUGCAGAACUAUCACAUCAGUCAAAGCAAGAGAUUAAUAUUUCCCUGGAUCCUGACCAGUAGAUGGAAAUAUAUAGAAACUCCAGCAGGUGCAAAAUGCCACGGCAAGACUCCUUACAGGGUCCUCACCAUGGGAUCACAUUCACCCGGUGCUAUACCAGCUGCACUGGCUCCUGGUGGAGUACAGGAUCAGGUUUAAGGUGCUGGUUUUAACCUUUAACACCCUAUAUGGCCUAGGACCCUCGUACCUAUGGGACCGCCUCUCCUGGUAUGCCCCAUGGAGGACCUUACGGUCUGCUAACAACAACACCCUGAAGAUCCCAGGCCCCAGGGAAAUUAGACUGUCCUCGACUAGAACCAGGGCCUUUUUGGCCGUGGCCCUGGCCUGGUGGAAUGCGCUCCCACAAGAGACCAGGGCCCUGCAGGAUUUGACAUCUUUCUGCAGGGCCUGCAAGAUGGAGCUGUUCUGCCAGGCCUUUGAGCAGGAUGCAGUUUGACUUACUUUCCUUUGUAUAAAACAAGCCUGAAGGAGGCUCCCAACCCGCUCACCGGUCCUUGUAUGAUCAGUUGGUCCUGGCAAUUAUUAACCGCUCUCAAUUCCACCCUGAUAAUUGCCACCUGCCCGGAUUUUAACUUGUCUGAAUUAAUUUUAAGAUGUAUUUUAAUUAAUUUAUGUCUGUUUUUAUGCUUAUUGUGUUGUUUUUAUGAUGUUAGCUGCUCUGAGCCUGGCCUCAGCCAGGGCGGGCGGGAUACAAGUUGCUAUUAUUAUUAUUAUUAUUAUUAUUAUUAGCAAAACUCCAUGGGUGUUGUGAUUGCCUUAAUAUGAAUCCAGGGGCAUUGCUUUGGCUUUUUUUAUUUUUAUUUUUAAAAACCCACCUCUCCUGGUUGGCAGUCAAAUCCACAUUGGGGAUUUAGAAUGAUCUGGGAAUAGUGACGUGGGGCGUCAGGCUUCAGAAAUCAUCAAAAGGAGCAUACUGGAUUUACAAUGUCCCGAGGAAAUUGGGAUUUACAGAAACUGAGAAAUGAGAAGACCAGAGAUGAGCUGAACUGGAAGUGCACUAGGCACCAUGCAAAUCUAGAAAGCUCUCAUGUUCAGCCAAGUUAGACCCUCAUUGAAAAUAAUAAUCAUAAGGGGACAGGGGCUCAGACCUUUGCUCCAGAGUUCGUCAGGAAUGCCUGGUAGUGAUGGCUACAACCAUGGAUGGGCAAAGCUGUCGAUUUUGUUUUCUCUCAGGUUCUCAGGUUCUCAUUUUUCAAACCCUAAGUUCAGCUCUGCACAUUUCCACAUCCAUUUGCCAUGGUACAAUGGUAAGGAUCACACCAGAAGAGCCCUGGGGGAGCAGGGCAAGGCCUGUCUAGUCCAGCAUUCGGUUCUCAGAGUGGCCAACAUCCAUUCCAAUAUUGACUCUUGCCUGCCCACAUGGCAAGCAGCCCCUGAAAGAUUGCUGACAGAGGAAUGCAACCCUCAGGCUGAAAAAAUGUCUGCCAUAAUGCCUGCACUGGUCAAAAUUUAGUUUUUGUUCUAUAGGCUUGGAAGGGACCUAGAGAUGGAGCUUGCAAAGAAGAAGGUCUGCACUUCAGAAUAUGCCUGUCAGGGACUCCUCCAGGGACUGGAGGAGAAAUGGUGGAGACAGCUCCCCCUUCCUUCUCCUGAACCUUCCUGAGAAGAGGAGGGCAGUAUAGAAUUACAACGGUGGUUUGCAGAAGGUCAUGACUCUGAGACAAAAGAGGGAAAAAGCUGGGAGAUAAUGGAAGAGGAGAGGGAAGCAGCAGAGCCGGAGCAGCUGGCUCAGGGCCGUCUUAAGCAUAUGCGGCGCCGGGGUGCACAGAUCCACCCAGCACCGCCCCCCCCCAGGUUGCAGCACCCUGCCCACCAGCAAUUCCCAGAGACUUAUUAAAGCCAUACAACUGUUGGGAUGCAGCCAAGGAAACGGGGGCAAUUUGCAAGCCCCCAGCUGGCACCAGCCCACCGGCCGAUGUGCCGGGCCAUCUCCAGUCCUUGGUGCAGCAUCAGCGACCCCAGCUUCAGAAGCUGGAGCACGCUCUAAUCAGCGGAGUAAACGCUGCGCAACAGAAGUGGCAGGGAGAGGCUGUGAUGAGCAUAUUUACAAGCAGUUUAUUCAGCAUACAUCAGCUCAAUAGGAAAUACAUGUCUUCUCCCCUUCAUGUCCAAGCAAGCAGCAGAAGCAAUAGCUAUACACAAAUCAAAGUUCCCAGCAAGCUGUGCUGGAGUGUAAACAGGCAUGUGACACACAACAGUCAUGCCUGUACGUAAGGUGAAAUGGAAUAUCCUAACAACAACUUGGUGGCCACCACUGCCUCCUGUGGGAGGAAGUUCCAUAGGUUAACUGUGCACUGCACUAAGUACUUUCUUUUCUCUGUCCUGAAUCUUCCAGUUUUCAGCUUCAUUCAAUGCCCCUGAGUUCUAGUGUUAGGAAAUGUGUCAGAAAACGGGAGGAGGAACAGGCAAUAGAAUGGGGUCCUGGUGCAAAUCACCAGGUGGACAUUCCCAGAGGAUUAACUGCUCACAACAUCCUUGUGUCAGGGAUUGGACUCAAGGGGACGAGAGGGAGGAGGAAUGGUGGAGAUCACCCUCCCCUUCUCCUGACGCUGCAGGAGAAGAGGAAUGCAACAUUGAUUGACAGCAGGGGUUUGAGGAGUUUUAGGAAGGUCACAGCUCAGAGAUAGAUAAACAGCAGAGUUGGGAAGUGUUAGAAGAAGGGGGAGGGGAGACAGAGGCAGGGCAGCCAGCGGACACAUUGUCACUGGAGAGUAUUUCUGGCCCCUCUUUCUCCUAAAACUUUGCAUUUGUUGACAGUGCAGCAACAAAGGACUCAGAGACAAUUGGCCACCGUAAGGGGAGUGUGGCGUUCAUAUGGAGCCCCCGGUCGUCUCACGGACUAUUGACCCGUACACCACUAAUCCGCUGCCACCAACCAGGUCCUCCCUGGUAAAUCACUUAGUCUCAGUCAGGUUCUCAAGUUAACAAAGAAGAGUGUACUUUAUUUCAGACACAAACAAACUUUAACUGCAUUCCAGACGUUGUUACUCUUCACCGUCUUAGUCUUAUUUUAUCCUGUCUCUAUCUCUUCUACCUCCCCUCACACAAGAACCAACUGCACUGUCUAUUUCCAACUUCUUUUCCCAACCAACCAACCAACCAACCAACCAACCAACCAACCAACCCACUAAAACCAACCAACUACCCACCAACAACUAACUCAAACCUUGGGCUAAGCCCUUUUAUAAACAGGUAGGCUCCACCUAUUGGUCUACAUUUUAACCCUUUCUCCCCCCCCAUACAGACAUUUUCUAAACGAAUGGGCAAACGCCACAGGGAGAUGCUGUUGCUAAGAAGGAGGGAGGAAAGCAUUUGGAGCAACGCCAUUGUCAGGGCUUGUUGCGUUCUGUUGUCUCUCGCUACUAUGAAUGAAUAAACUCAUUGAAAAGGACUCUACCUUGUUUUCUCUGCUCUUGCUGCAACCGGGGGAGGGAUAGCUUUCCCGAAGCCUUGACACCAUGCUUCUUGGGGACGUCAAUUUGGACAUGACCUUAGAGAAAGACCAUAGCUCAGUGCGGGGCCAGCUGGAGACCUUUUGGCACCUGAGGCAAGAGUGCUCCCUGCUACAUCUGGGGCCAUGCCCCAGUGGGGUGGGGGAAGCAUGCUGCUUGGGGCUGGUUGCCUCAGAUCACUUCAUUGGUGCUCCGGCCAAGCUAGCACAGAGCAGAUCAUGUGGCACAGCUUUUCAGCCACUUUCUGCUCCUCAGAAUUUGCCGCCCAAGGCAGCUGCCUUACUCUGCCUCAUAGGAGGACUGGCUCCGGUUCAGUGGCAGAAUUUGUGCUUUGCAUACUGUUACAAAAGUUGGAUGCCAUCCCCUCUCUCUGGCAACCUGAAGCAAGAUCCAAGGGCUUCCAGGUAUUCCCCCAGGGUCUGUCGUCCUUUGGGGAACUGAGACAUGGUGAAGACUGUUGUAGCUUUAAGAAAUAUGAUUUAUUCACCUAGUUUUGCCUUCAGUCUUCUUGGAGGGAGCCCAGAUCUUAUAGCAUAUUAAUUUCAAGAGGGUCUUGUACCCCACAGCAGUGCAGCCCUGGAGUCUGAGGCAUCUCUCACAGCCAGCCUUCAGCCAACCUGCCCAAGAUGGAUUGCUUCUUCCUCCUCCUCCUCCUUCUUUCCAGCAACCCUUACUCAAGACUCUCUUUUCCUGUCACCUCACACCCAGUUACCCUCCCAAAUCCCCAGUAUGUUCAUACCUCAGGGCAAGGGGGAAGGACAGUUCUCUUGCAUUGCCAAUGGCCCUGUAUGGAUUCUUAAAGGCCCUAGCUUGGCCAUGUCUUUUUUUUGCAUAGGUUAGCUUAGGAAUUCCAAUGUAGCUUGUAUUUCUCCCUUCACAUCUCCAAUAAUCAAAAUCCAACCAUUUGUUAAUCUCUAGGUUGUUUUCUUUUGGGUGGGGGGGGUCCUUCCUCCCAAAUCUCUAACAAUACAGAAAGUCCCUGCCUCAACCCCCAGCAUCACCAAGAACAAUUGCUAAGAACAACCCCUGUCUGAAACUCUGAAGAGCCUCUGCCAGUCAGAGUCAAGAAUACCAAGUGAGGUGAACCCAAGGCUUGACUUGCAUAAAUCAGCUUCCUCUGUUCCUGAAUUUCAUGACCCGAACUUCUGCAUCUCCUUUUCUGCAACCCUUUCCAAACUGGUGCAGUCAGGCUCAAUUUCCAAGUCAAAUGGAGAGGCUUAGCCUUCCGUUUUGGCGAUCGAAAGAGACGCAGAAUGUCAAAAAGAGUUUUGGAAGCCAGAGCUCAGCAAACGGUGAGCAUAAGCAGUCAGGAUUUGAUUGCUGGAGGAGUCUCUCCCCCCCGCGUAUUCACUUCCUCGGAUGGGUUUAAGGUUGCGAUAACAAAAACAGAGGGUGAAAUGAUCUGAUCAGAUGACGCUAAGAAGAAAGUAAAUGAUGUGGCAAAGACGCGGGCUGGGGAAGAAUAUUGAUGACUUGGGGGGCUCUCAGAGCAUACGGGGCUGUGGCAAUGUUUAUGGAUAAAGAGCCAGGCAGUAGCAAAAGCUGACAGGCUGGCAAACACGGCUGCGGAAGUGGGAGAACGGAGGCUUAGCAACAGAGCAGAGGAGAGAACAACGGGGCAAGCGUCAGGAUUUAUUGCAGAGAAUCACAGAAUGGCAGAGUUGGAAGGGACCCCAAGGGCCAUCUAGUUCAUCCCCCUGCAAUGCAGGAGUUGCAGCUAAAUAAUCCCCAAAAACCUCUGUUUUAAAAUAUGGUUACAGUAGUGGGAAUGGUGAGGCAAAAGAUCCUGGGCCCAAGCACAUGUGCAUAUUGUAUAAAGGUGCAAAGCCCUUCUUUUGCACCCAGUGAAACAUAAACGUGCAGAGUUUUAAAAAAACUAGGGAAUGGCGCGCCACCCGCGUGUGACUCCUGAGCCUCCCCCGAUCAGUAAAAACAAAGGGGGAAGGGGUCAGGAGAUCUGUACCGCCGGAUGUCCCCGGUUCCCCUUUGGCAGUGGCGACGGCAGCAGCAGCAGUCAGCAGCCCGGAGCCAGCCUGGUAUCGCAGUUGGCUCUGGCUGGCUUCAGGAAAAAUGGCGGGCGCCACGGCAGCGAGCAGCUCCUGAAGCCAGCCAGAGCCAACUGCGCUACCAGGCUGGCUCUGGGCUGCUGAGGCUGCCACUGCCACGAUUCCCGGGGACAGAUUUGCAAAUCUGGGGACAUCCCGGGGACGGAAUUUGUCCGGGACAGAUUUGCAAAUCCAGGGAGUGUCCCCGGGAACUGGGGACGUCUGGUAACCCUAUUUUAAACCCCCCAACUAAGGAAAGCCCACCAGCUUCUGAGGUAGCCCAUUCCACAGUCAAAUAGCUCUUAUAAUGAGAAAGUUUUUCCUAACAUUUAGCUGAAACCACCUUGCAGUUUGAACCCGUUGGUUUGGGUCCGUGGAGAAAACAAGCUUCCUCCACCUUCUAUGCGACAACCUUUCAGGUACUUAAAGAUGACUAUCAGGUCUCCUCCCAGUCUUCUCUUCUCCAGGCUAAAGAUGCCAACCUUUCCUUGUAAGACUUGGUUCUGAGACCCUCUAUCAUCUUGGUCACCCUCCUUUGCACACGUUCUAAUUUGUUGAUAUUAUUAUUAUUAUUAGAAUUUAUGAACCACCCUAUACCCGGAGGUCUCAGGGCGGUUCACGGAAAAGUUCAACAUAAAAACCACAAUAUAUAUGAUCAAAACAACAAUACCAACCCAAUAAUACCCGUCAAACUUUGGUGCUUAGAACUGGACACGGUACUCCAGGUAGGAUCUGACCAAGGUAGAACAGACCUGGCACUAAUGCUUUUUGAUUUCAAGAGCAAAAGCUUUUAUAUAUAUAUAAAAGAAUAGGACACUUUAUUUUCUAUUCUUUUAGUACAUACCUAAAGCAGCUCAGCUGCUUUCCCCCACCUGCCCAGAGCAGGAAUCAUGCUGCAAAUCUUACCUGUCCAUCUCAGGCCACCCACCCAAGAUACUGUACACCCCGAGGGCUCUUCAGAUUCAAUUGCCCUUCGUGCUUAAGUGAUCUCAGAGAAAACGACAAGAGCGCCACUAAUACUAAAAGUCCUCUUAGCUAAUCCAACUAAGGGUGGGCAAGGCAGGGUGUUCCAAGGAGAAAAAGGAUAACUUCAGGAAGCGAUUAUUUAUUUAAGAAAUGUGUUUAUUAUAAGCGCUUGCUUCAGCCUCCAGAUCCCCCUAUGGCAUUAACCACACAUGUAAUUGCUUUAGAACUAUUUGAAAAUCAUUUGGCUAUUUUAACCAUGUACUUUAUAUUUUAUGAUUCUCGAUCUAGGUCACCUUGUGAUAUAAGGCAGCCACACACACACACACACACACACACACACACACACACACAAAUACACCCCUCAUUGUUCUACCCUUGUUCCAUCUCCACCACCCUCACCCACCCAACAAGUUUCUCAUUCCAUAAUUACAUUUCCCACCACUUGAUGUCCCUUUUAUUUUUUUAUUUCGUGCCUUUAUUGUUUGUGUUAAGAUUUUUAUUAAAGUUUUUCCCCCAUAAUGCACUAAGGUAUAGAAAACUAAAACAGCUGCAAAAAGUAAAAAUAGAAUACAGAGUCCUCUCCUAAAGGGGUGUGUGUGUUUGUGUGUGUGCAUUAUUAAAUUUCUGUCGUACACUUUAGAAUAUUCAUUUAAGCAAACUUAAAAUCUCAGUGACUUCCCUUCUUCUCUUUCCAUGGUUCAUUUUGCAUAUCAAAAAUCCCUGCAUAUUUUACAUAAAUUAAACCAUUCAGUAUUCCAUUAUUACAUCCAUCAAAACUUGUUUGUUGAAUUUAUCUUAAUGCUGCCAACAUUUUCUAGUGUACACGUGUUCCCCCCAUAUAUUCAAUAAUCAUUUCCCAAUCUUCUUUAAACGUCUGUUCUUCUUGUUCUCUUAUUCUAUAUGUUAGGUCCGCAAGCCGCACAUAUUCCAUCAGUUUAAGUUGCCAAUCUUCUUUAGUUGGGACCACACUCAUUUUCCAUUUUGGGGCUAACAAAACACGGGCCGCAGCAGUGGCAUACACAAAUAACCUUUUUGACACCUGGGAUUGUCCAUCUGAAUUAUCCCCAACAAAAAGAACUUUGUUGGUUUUUUUGUGUGUGGGGGGGAAGUACUUUUAAACAUUUUUUUCAAUUCGUUAUGAAUUAUUUCCCAAUACUCUUUUACCCAUUUACAGGUCCACCACAUAUGAAAGAAAGUACCCUCAGCCUCAUUGCAUCUCCAGCACUUAUCUGAUUCAGUCUUAUACAUCUUAGCAAGCCUGUUGUUGUUGUUGUUUAGUCGUUUAGUCGUGUCCAACUCUUCGUGACCCCAUGGACCAGAGCAUGCCAGGCACUCCUGUCUUCCACUGCCUCCUGCAGUUUGGUCAAACUCAUGCUGGUAGCUUCGAGAACACUGUCCAACCAUCUCGUCCUCUGUUGUCCCCUUCUCCUUGUGCCCUCCAUCUUUCCCAGCAUCAGGGUCUUUUCCAGGGAAUCUUCUCUUCUCAUGAAGUGGCCAAAGUACUGGAGCCUCGGCUUCAGGAUCUGUCCUUCCAGUGAGCACUCAGGACUGAUUUCCUUAAGAAUGGAUAGGUUUGAUCUUCUUGCAGUCCAUGGGACUCUCAAGAGUCUCCUCCAGCACCAUAAGUUAAAUACCACCUGUAAAUCAUUUUCAAGUAGUUCGCCUUCAAAGAAUAACAUGUUGCAACAGAAGGCAGUGGUCUCUCCCAGCUCUCACCUGGGAUCUUUCCUUUCUCCUCACAUCCUCUCACCUUGGGAGACCAAGAGGGUCCCUACCCCAACCAUCUACUACCCCCAUGAGUGUGAAGUCCCUGGACCCUAAUAAAGGCCCCGAGCAAAAGACAACUUGAUUUCCCUUUAAGACCAUCUCAGAACUUCCUCCCAGAAUGCCUGUGUGAUUCUGUAGCCUUUUCAGACCCUUCCCAUUGGCUGGGUGCGCGUUGCUCCCGGGAGGGAGGGAGGAGUCAAUGGACACUGAGGGUUGGUUCAGAGAAAGAGUUUAUUUCUGCUUUCUGGAUAGCAAAAAGGCACUGCGUGAUCAAUCACAGCAAGCACACUUAAAGAGCAGUUACAUACAGCUUAUAACCCCUUCAAGUCCCCAUUCCCCCUCCCCAGGAAUCCAGCCUCAUGAGUUUGUACACGUAAGUUUGCAUCCUUGAGCAUGAACAGAGAUUCCUGUUUCUGUACUCUUAUCUUGGGGUAAAAGGUCACCUAACUAUAUAGGAAUACUCCUGGUGCCAUCCCCGGGCACGGGGGCUGACAGGCCUGUCUUGCAAGGUCUGUGUGUCAGCGUGGUCAGGAUAGUUACAACCGAUAAGAUAAGACCCAGAUCUGCCAUCCUGUCUCCACUCGGAACUGACAAGACCGUCCAUUAAGCCUUCAUGGACUGAUAAAGGAGAAGGCAGUUUAUACAGCUGGGUUUGUGUUAUACACCUCAAACUAAUGGAUUUUAGCUAAUGAUCCUUGAAGAAAGAAUUUGGGAAUUUUGGGGCCCGCUUCGGGUGACUGCACAGUCAGGUUUGGGUAACCUGUUCCUUCAAUUCUGCCUCUUUUUUCCCCUUUAAAACUUUCCCGCCUGUCCCACAAGUAGGGAAAUUCAAUUCCAUUCUCAUCUAAAGGUGAACUUAGCGAAAUUGCGCUUUCCAAAAUAACAUGUGAACCAAAACACAAUCCCCCUUGGGACUUUGUACUCCUCUAAAUUUUGCAAUGGACUUCUCCGGCCAAGUCUUGUUUACAAAAAGGUGUGUGUAAAGCAUGCAUAAAAAUAUCACCACCAUCAUUCAUGUCAUUUUAAUACCACUUUAUAUUUUAAAGAAAAUAAUAAUAAUCUCAAAGCCGUUUACAACCUACGUUGAAACAACCUAGAGUAAAACAUCACCGAAUAAAGUCAAAUAUAAAGUAUAUGUUCAAAGCAACGUAAUUAACAGGAAGCUGAAAUAUUAUCGUAAAGAUUUCAAAAUAAAACGUUACAAAGGAGGUCAACUGCAAAAUACACAUUUAACACAGCCAAGUUAACUUUUUAAAAAUCUUAAAACAUUUCAAUAGAAAACAUUACUAAAGGAAGUUUAAAAAACACGCUAAUUUAAAAUAGCAUAAUUAGCAAGAGAAUAAUUUUUUUUCUUAAGCACAGAACAUAAUUGCUGCUGUUGCUGCCAAUCCUGCCAAUGGUUUCUCAUGGCAGGCAGUGGCUGUGGAAGCUCAGGUUCAAUGACCCGGGUAUGCACUAUGAGACCACCAAGAGAACUCAGCUGGAAUCACUUAGGGCCCCAACCUUCCAGGCCAGGUGGGAAAGGGCCUGCAAGGCAGGGAGCAGGUCCUCUAGGGGCCAAGAUGCAUAUAUUCACGAAAAACAACAUGCAAAAUGCAUUCCAUUAGGGAAAAGUGCUUUGAACUGGGUCAAAACAGUAUAGAAAAAUGUUUUCAAGAUUAUUUUUUUUACUAAAAUGCAGAUGCAUCUUAACGGGGAUGUGCAACUUGAUGCAGGCACCUCACCCGGCCUCAUCACAGGGCGGUGGCUGAGGAGAAGGUGAUGGCCUUAUUGCACAUCACACUUAGCCAAACCACAGCUUAGUGUACAUUUUUGAGUAUACAGCAGGGUGGCGCUGUGGUCUAAACCACUGAGGCUCUUGGGCUUGCUGAUGAGAAGGUCGGCAGUUUGAAUCCCCGUGACGGGGUGAGCUCCCGUUGCUCUUUCCCAGCUCCUGCCAACCUAGCAGUUCGAAAGCAUACCAGUGCAAGUAGAUAAAUAGGUACCACUACGGUGGGAAGGUAAACGGCAUUUCCGUGUGCUCUGGUUUCUGUCACGGUGUUCCGUUGCACCAGAAGCAGUUUAGUCCUGCUGGCCACCUGACCCGGAAAGCUAUCUGUGGACAAACGCCGGCUCCCUUGACCUGAAAGCGAGGUGAGUGCUGCAACCCUAUAGUCCCUUUGAUUGGACUUAACUGUCCAGGGGUCCUUUACUUUUUCCUUUUACCUAUAUAUAUUCUCCAGAGGAGCAGAUUGGUCUUUGCAGGUCAUUCUGCUCCUGUGUUGUGCUCAGCCAAUGUGUCAUCUGAACCUGGUCUAGCUCUUUCCAGACUAGGAGUGAAGGAACCCCCCCACACACUAUAAAUAUGUCAGAAAUUAAAUCGUUAUAACAAAAGAAAAAAAACCGCUAUGUAAAAAUUGCAUAAUUUUCUUUUGCUCUGCAGCGCCAUCAGGUGUUGCAUGUUUACAACACAUUCAAAGUUUUUUUAAUUUUUUUACUAAUGUAACUGAGUCCGAAGUAUGACCUGUUUCCAAGGUUUGGCCUACGGUUUAUGGCUCAUGGUUUGUUCAGGAGAGUGAAACCCUUGGCCCACAUUCGGUCAACAAAUUAAGUCAAACUGCAGAUUAGGUCAUAGCUGUCAACGUUUUCCUUUUUUUAAGGGAAAUUCCGUUAUUCCAUCAUUAUUUGCUUUUUAUUGAAAUUUUCCACUGAAAACAAAAGGCAUAUAGCAAAAGAAAAAGAAGAAAGAAAAUAGACGAACAAAAAAAAAAAGUAAAAAUAAACACUCUUAUCCAUCAAUGUUAAGUAUCGUCCACUUAUUUACAUUGCGUUAACACGCAUCUUGACCGUUUUAAGGGAAAUUCCGUUAUUCCAAAUAGGAUUCCUCACAAGAAAAGGGAAAAGUUGACAGCUAUGGAUUAGGUUAGCUAAGCACAGCACAACAGCUGAAUGACCAGAGAGGAGCAAAGUGGCUGCAAUUUCCUUUCUGGGAGCUCACAUGCUCCCACAUUUGUGUUAAGCCAUGGUUUGACUUAACACAGGGUUGGGGGAUAUUUUUCAGCCCGAAGACUCUAUUCCUUUCUUUUCUUUUUUAACUUUUUAUUUAACAUUCAAACAAUAACAAUAACUAACACAACAUUCACUAUUCACUACAUUCAACCAUCCUUAAUAAUACAUAGUAUUACAAAACGUCACAACAACUGGAUUGACAUUCCAUAUAUGUUUUAACUUUAUCUAUUUUACAUAACAAAGAAGAUAGAAGAAGAAAAAAGAAAAAAGAAAAAAAGAAGAAAAAAAGGGAAAGAGAGAAAGGCUAAAAAAUAAAGGAAAAAUGGAGAAAUAAAUAAAUAAAUUUGACUUCCGAUUAGACUCAUUGUAUUGUUGUUCCUAUUAUUGUUUCACACACAGUUUCAAAUAACCAUUUAUUUUCUCUGUUCUUAUCAAAAAAAGGAGUUGUUAUCUAUACUUUUUAAUUCACAAGAACCAUUCGAGUUCUGCCAGCAGAUUGUUGGUGUUACAAUAAUUUUUCAAAUACUCUUUAAAAAUUUUCCAUUCUUUUUGUACUUUCUGUAUUGGAUACCCUCCGACUCUCCCUGUCAUCGUACCAACUGCAGAUACUCCAUCCUUUGGACCCUCCACUCAUUUCCGAAGACUCUCUUCUGUGGUGGGCAACUUUCUCCAGUCCACAUGCCACAGUGGUGGGCAGAGCCCCAAAUAUUGAUUUUACCUUUGUAUGGUAAAAUUCAGCAUCCUAAAAAGCAGAGACAUCACCUUGCCAACAAAGGUCCGUAUAGUUAAAGCUAUGGUUUUCCCAGUAGUGAUGUAUGGAAGUGAUAGCUGGACCAUAAAGAAGGCUGAUCGCCGAAGAAUUGAUGCUUUUGAAUUAUGGUCCUGGAGGAGACUCUAGAGUCCCAUGGACUGCAAGAAGAUCAAACCUAUCCAUUCUUAAGGAAAUCAGCCCUGAGUGCUCACUGGAAGGAUAGAUCCUGAAGCUGAGACUCCAAUACUUUGGCCACCUCAUGAGAAGAGAAGACUCCCUGGAAAAGACCCUGAUGUUGGGAAAGAUGGAGGGCACAAGGAGAAGGGGACGACAGAGGACAAGAUGGUUGGACAGUGUUCUUGAAGUUACCGGCAUGAGUUUGACCAAACUGCAGGAGGCAGUGGAAGACAGGAGUGCCUGGCGUGCUCUGGUCCAUGGGGUCACGAAGAGUCGGACACGACUAAACAACUAAACAACAACCAUGGUAAAAUUUGCACAGUCCCCCCACCCUCCAUCUAAGCAAGGAAGAAGCACCCUCAGGGUUCAAGGACAAAUGCCAGCCAGGCAAAAUCCAUGUGGGGCUGUAGCCUGGAGAGAAAGAGUAUGGUCUGGGGGAGAAUUCUGAAUCAGGCUGAUGCAUAUCUGCAGCUAAAAGGCAGAACGAGGACAGAAAUAAUAACAACAAAGAACUGUGAAAGCUGAGGACAAAUUGUAGCGAUGCAACCGGGAUGGUGAGAUAUGGGGCAUCUCUCUCAGGACAAAAAAGUGCACGCAUUCAUUUUCCUGAGAGCUGCUGCGAGAAGCUACAAUGCCUGCAGCCUUGAUGAAUGUUGCUUUUGUCUUGAUCCCCGCGCAGAAUAUAUAAUGUCCGGAAUGCAGUGGGUGUUUAUACAGGGCGGGAGGUAUAUAAAUACGGAGGGAGUUUAAAUGAAUAGUUUUGUUUGUUCUGCACUUAUCUAAUUCAAUAGCUUCUGGGUGAGCAAUGACUCUCCGUAACAAGAGCGCAAAAGCAGCAUUAGGAUAAUUGGCUGCAUCUCCCCCUGCCCUGUGGUGCAUAAUGCAAGCUCCAAACACUGGCAAGUGCUCUUCAAAUAGGCUCCUCUGUACCGGAUUCCUAAAAGCAGGAGGCAAUCAUGCCUCAUCUUGCUCCCCACCUGCACAAGCCCCGAGAGGAAGAGGAGCAGGUUGCUUGUUCAAUGGUUGUGCUGAUAAGUUGGGAGAGGAAGGAGCGGGUGUGUCGCUUUUUUUUGGGUGGGGGGAGACUUCUGGAUCUGCUACUGUCUGGAGGUUUUGGUGGCAAGAAGUGCGUUCCACCCACUUCGGCUGGUGGUCCAGCUAUGCAGCAGUCUGGGCAAGGACAAACUAACUUCUGUGAGCUCCGCCAGUGGCAACAUCUGGGAAUAGAUGACAACAAUGCAUUGUGAGUGGGGCUGCCUUUGAAGCCUGGCUGGGCAGAAACUGCAGCUGGGGCAGAAUUCAGUGGCCAGGUUGCUCACCGGGGCAAGACAAUCUGAGCACCAAUCUAGGCCUGACUGCGUUGGCUGCCGAUUAGUUUCCAGGCUCAAUUCAAAGUGCUGGUUUCAACCUAGAAAGAUCAGGAUCCCAAUUCUUCAAUGAUUACCUCUCCUCACAUGAAUCAACCCAGACCUUGUGUUCAUCAUCUGAGGUCCUUUUGUGUGUGUCUUCUCUGAAGGAGAUUUGGAAGUCGGUGACAACAGAAUGGGCCUUCCUUGUAGUGGCUCCCUGUUAUGCCUGGUGCCACCACUGUCUGUUUUUCUAUUUAUACCCAGGCUUGUGGCUCUUAAUUUGGGGGAUACUUAGGUAUGCUUGUGAUCUCUUCUUCCACUCAUCUUUUUAAUGGGGUGGGUUGAGUGAGAUCUAUCAUUAUCAUCAUCAUCAUCAUCAUCAUCAUCAUCAUCAUCUCCCUCUCUCUCUCCCUCUCUCCAUAUACAGUGGUACCUCGGGUUAAGUACUUAAUUCGUUCCGGAGGUCCGUUCUUAACCUGAAACAGUUCUUAACCUGAAGCACCACUUUAGCUAAUGGGGCCUCCUGCUGCCGCCGCACCGCCAAAGCCCGAUUUCUGUUCUCAUCCUGAAGCAAAGUUCUUAACCUGAAGCACUAUUUCUGGGUUAGCAGAGUCUGUAACCUGAAGCGUAUGUAACCGGAGGUACCACUGUAUAUAUAAUAUAACAGAUAUAUAAUAUAACAAAUGGGUAUUGUAGAUUCUUAUUUUCAUUCUUAUCAUAGAAUUGUAGAAUUGGAAGGGACCCUGUGGGUCAUCUGGCUCUCAGAACUGACUCUGGGUUCCCAUCUUCUACCUUAUUCCAGACUGCUGCCCACAAGCCCAGCUCUCGCUAGAUCUUGUUGGACUCCAGUUCCCAUCAUCCUUGAACCAUGGGUCAUGAUGCCUCGGGGCUGAUGGGAGUUUGAGUCCAACAACAUCUGGAAGGCCAUAGGUUCCCCAACCUUGGCUUACUCAAGUGUAAGAAGCAAGGUGCUGCAGUUGAUUGACGGUUGGUUUGAUCCAACAGCUUAUGAGCUGCUGUUUUUCCAAAGCAAGCUAGUGCGAUGAAUAUAGAGAGAGACAGCCUGUUUUGAAAAGAUGCUGAAGCUGAGACUUAUUUCCAGGAAGAAGCCUUUGCAGCCUUAAUUAUAGCAUUCUCUUCACAGCGAAUGCUGGAUCCUCUCUGGAGGGGCUGAAGUAGCAGGGGAGUCUUUGGAAAGAGCUGCUUUAUCCUGCAAUAAUCUGUUUCCCCUGUUAUUACUGACAGAAUUAGUGUUUGCUUAUCGGUGCCUUCUUUUACGAUUCAGCAGCUGCUGCUUAAUCCCACCGUGAACAUGUAAUCUUCCUUUUCAGGCGACCCAAGUCGCCGGUCCAGAUUAAAGAAUAACAUCCCCAACCCUUGUCACCUUUCCCAAGUUACAUCCUCAGCUGCUGCGACAUGGAGCGCUAAUCCGGAGAUCACAGGCAAAGCCGAGUUCCACCAUCACGGGAAGGUGACAGCACGAGGUGUAUCAUAAAUAAUUCUUCUCCAGGGGGUGGAAGCAGGAAGGGAAUUAGUAAAAACCCUCAAUCAGAGGCAUAGAUCCAGGUGCGCCAAAAGAAGCAGCACUGACUCUCUCUCUCUCUCUCUCUCUCUCUCUCUCUCUCUCUCUCUCUCUCUCGCUCUCUCAUCCCACCUUUUCCUCCAGGAGUCUAAAAUGACAUACACAACUCUUCUGUGUCCUGUUUUAAACUUGUGAGGUGGGCUUGUCUGAGAGGUCAGAGUUGUCCAGUGAGCUACAUGGUAGAGUGGGGAUUUGAACUCUGGGGGUGGCGCUGUGGGUUAAACCACAGAGCCUAGGACUUGCUGAUCAGAUGGUCAGCGGUUCGAAUCCCCGCGACGGGGUGAGCUCCCAUUGCUCGGUCCCUGCUCCUGCCAACUUAGCAGUUCGAAAGCACGUCAAGUGCAAGUAAAUAAAUAGGUACUUAGCAGCUUGAAAGCGAGAUGAGUGCCUCAACCCUAGAGUUGGCCACGACUGGACCUAAUGGUUAGGGGUCCCUUUUACCUUUACCUUUACCUCCCAGGUCCUAGUCCGAUACUCUAACCACCACACCACACUUGAAUCCAAUGUUCAAAGCUGCACUUAGAACCAUAGAAUUGUAGAGUUGGGGUCCACAGGGUCAUCUAGUCCAACCCCCUACAAUGCAGGAAUAUCAGCUAAACAUCCAUGACAGGUGGCCAUCCAACCUCUGGUUAAAAACCUCCAAGGAAGGAGAGUCCACAACCUCCCGUUUCCCUGUCGAACAGCUCUUACUGCCAGAAAGUUCUUCCUGGUGUUUAGUCAGAAUCUCCUUUCUUGUAGCUUGUGUGUGGCUUGAGCCAGUCAUCUCGUGCAAGGCUGGGGGGUAGACUGGCCAUGAUCUACUGCCUGAUCUCUGGGGGACUUGAAGUAGAAAAGCAAAGAUUUCUAACUGCCAACUGUUUGAUGAGAGCAAGGGCAAAACAGCUUCUUCCCCCAGCACCCAAAAUUAUAUUGCUGAAAGGAAGAAAGCCAGAACAAGGAAACUAGGAAUGCUUUUGAGUGAGGAAGGACUAUGAGCCCCUUUCCAUUCUGGUACUCAAAACAGAUUCCUAGGAGCAGAAUUCUUUCAUCCUGGCUGUAGCUCUUUUGCACCUGUCUCUGGCUGGUAGCUCUUAGGAUUCUAGUAAAAAAGCAACAGCAAUAGGGACGCGGGUGGAGCUGUGGGUUAAACCACAGAGCCUAGAACUUGCCGAUCAGGUCGGUGGUUCAAAUCCCCGCGACGGGGUGAGCUCCCGUUGCUCAGUCCCAGCUCCUGCCAACCUAGCAGUUUGAAAGCACGUCAAGUGCAAGUAGAUAAAUAGGUACUGCUCCAGCAGGAAGGUAAACGGCCUUUUUGUGCACUGAUCUGGUUCACCAGAAGCGGCUUAGUCAUGCUGGCCACAUGACCCGGAAGCUGUACGCCGGCUCCCUCGGCCAAUAAAGCAAGAUGAGCGCCGCAACCCCAGAGUCAGCCACGACUGGACCUAAUGGUCAGGGGUCCCUUUACCUUUACCUUUACUGGCUGGUGGUUCUUAGGGUUCUAGUAAAAAAGCAACAACAACGUAGACCCUACAAGCUUAAAUUUUGCCCAUUCCUGAUCUAGAGGCAGAUUUAGGGGAGUGUGACCGGUCCUGUUGCAAUGGGCACCAAGUUUUGGGUGUGCUGAGGGGGACACUUGUGUGGUGUAGUGGUUAGAGCAGGAAUGGCACAAGGACCACCUUAAAGAUGGCCUAACCCUCUGUGGGCCACACCCUCUCUCCCAUGUGCUCCCAUAUUCAUGCACCAUACAUUCAACACACACAAACUCACAGGUGCAGACCAGACCGAAACACCAGCAAACACAACUCUCUCUCUCUCUCUCUCUCUCUCUCUCUCUCUCUCUCUCUCUCUCUCACACACACACACACACACACACACACCUAUGUGUGCAGGCACAAACCACACCCAUCCUCACCAUUUCAAAUAGCAGUUGCUGAGAAUCACGGGUGGGGAGAGUUGGGCUCCGGUCCACCUGGUGAGUUUCCCAUAGGGAUCUGCUUGGCCACCGUGAGAACAGGGAUGCGGUGCUAGAUAGGAUUUGUCUGAUCUGGCAGGGCUGCCGUUCAUAGCGUCCCCUCUUUGCUCUUGCCGAUAUCCAACAGCGCACUCCAGAUUUGGGUUGGAUCCCAAUGCCACGGAUGACGCACGGAGAUGCGAGAGGUGGCAGGUCAGCGAUGUAGGCUGCGGGCAAACGCGGCGUAUCUGGGAGGGAUUGCAUAAAACAUUCCGCUCGAGGCUGAGCUGACCUCAGCGGCCUGGGAAGUGUAGCAAAAUGGUCCUGAAAUGCAAAUCCACGGUUGUUAUCUUGUGCAGAAAUAGAGUUCAUAGAGACUUCCGCCUCCAUGCCUCCAGCAAUUACACAGGCGUCGGGGGAGAGAGGUGUCUGUUUUGCCUCUGGGAUAUCACAGGAGAGGGGGACGGUAUGCACAUUGAACUUUCGAACCAAGAGCAAAACCUUGUUAAUUCUCACACUGCUUUCUGGGAGAGCUUUUAUAAAACCACAAGUAACCUACUAAAUGGAGGAUGCACCAGCGGUGGGUCAUUUAACUACUUUAGCUACUUACCUACCGCAAUGCGCUCUAUGUGGAGCUGUUUUCGCAGAUGGAAAACUACAGCGAUGCAUGAAACUACGCCCUGUGCCAGCAUAUGGCUCCGCUGGGCAGCUGUCAGGGCCCCCGUGAAAAGUACCUGCCUGCCCGGGGCUCCCUUUGAAAGAUUUCUUUCUGCUGCUCGGAUCAGCACUGGGCAGCAGGAUCUGGUAGCUGCCAUUUUUAUUUUCCACAAUGCCCCUUGUGGCAUUGGGGGGCGUUGUGGAAGAAGCAAAAUGGCUGAUCCUAGCUGAUCAGAGUGCUACUGCUUCUGCCACUACCUGGGCACCAGAGACAUGAGUGGGCAUGUUGGGCAGCUGGCUAAGAGACCCCUCAAACCCAUGGCUGCCCCACUGCAGAAGGCAGAGGUCCACUCCUUGAAGUGUGUGUGUGUUGGGGCAUGUGUGGAGAAGCAGGAGUGCAGCAUCGCCACCUGGGAGUCCUGUCCUUUGAUUUUAUACCCGUCAGGAUGCUGUCAGCAGCUGCUGGCUGGUUGCCCAGGAAAGUAUAAAGACAAGGGAAAAUUUCUUACCUUCCUUUCUUAUUUCAGUCUUUACAGAGAGAGGCUAUAGAACCCAGCCUCUUGGCUAAUAGCAUUGUCCCAAGUGAAUUUCCACCCCCCCGUCUCUCCCACUUCCUUAUUCAUCUCCUCUGUGGGUGUUGCUACGUGCCCUCUGUCUUUGAGCUCUUUGCUCUCCUACUUUUAAGGCUCGCCGGGUUCUGGGAGAUGGAGGGUCUGGAAUGCUUUCUAAUGACAAUGUGUCAGCCGGGUGUUGUUCUGGCUCUCCCAUGAUUUCCCAACUUUCCACCUCUGAGCUGCUACCUCCCUCAAAGCCCUGAUGUAAAUCUGUACUACCUUCCUCUUCCUCCUCCCUGGAAUGGUCAGGAUGGGAACGCGGUCUCCACCAACCCUCCUCUGCCCAGUCCCUGACAAUAUCUUGCACAAGUCCAAAUGACAGUGGGAUUCAGAUGAGAUUUCAACACUGUAUACAGGGCAUACCCAGGUGGAUUACAGCCCCACUGAGCAUGUUUUUUAAAAAAUGCUUUUAUUAAAUAUUAUCUUGGUUUACAAAAGUACAUCCAUUGUCUCUGUUUUCAGAUCACAAAGUCCUUUCUACAGGUCAGUUAUAUUUGAUGUGAGACAUUAAUGUUGUAGAUAACACAAGGCUGUGGCAGUAAACUUUCAUUCUUUUACAUAGUGUAUGUGCAAGGUUUUUGUGUCAGUGCCACGUGUUAUUCAUUUGUUAGUUUUCAUUGGCAAUAAGAGAGGUUAUGGGGGGUGGGCUCAGGGCCUGGUUGGUUGCUCUCAGUUGUCUGCAGUGAGUUUUGUUUCAUGUGUGAGGGGGGUGGUUGUUGGGUCAAGUUGGUCAUAUUGAUUUGUAUGCUGUUGAUGGGUUCUUUUGUGGUCUUGUUAGGCUGUGUGUUUAAUAAAGGGGAGCUACACUGGGCACUCAGCUAAAUUAGUCAAAAAACAGUGUUUUGAAUGCAUUAUAAACAUACAACACCAGAUGGUGCUGGAGAGCAAAAAAUAAUAAUCCAAGUGAUUUUCCAUAGUCCUCCCCCCCCCUUUGUUAUAACAAUUUAAUUUCUGGCUUUUUUAUAGUGGGUUUUUUCCCUGUGUGUGUAGAUCCAUCCUGGGUGAAGAUGUCUUCUUUUACUUGUCCCCAUGCUAGUCCCCAAUCUCCACAUGUGGUGGGAGUGCCCCCAAACCCAACCCUUUCGGACAUCAGUCCUACAAGAAAGAUGCAAAAUAACUAGACAGGUAUUAGAAGCCACCUCAGAACUGGCCCUAUUGAAUAUUUUCCAAGACAACAAUGCAUACUCGCACUACAAAGAACUCAUAAGCCACCCACUCUCAGCAGCCAUGAGCAUCAUAGCUAGACAGGAGGGACCUAUCAGGAGUGAACAUGGACCACUGGUAGCAAACCAUAUAGGAAACAACCCCACUGGGCAUGUUCUGAGGAAUUUGGCAAAGUAGGUCCCUUGGCUUGGUCUAGGGCAGGGGUGAAGAACCUCAGGCCAGAUGGCCUCCAUGCCUCUCUAUCUGGCCCUUGGCACCAUCUUCACCCCACACUCUGUCUCUGUCCUUCAGGUAUGAGAUCUGGCCAUGGAGAAAAGGCAGGCAUGCUGUUCUGGUGACGUAUAGAUCAAAUCUGCCAUGUGAACUGUCUUUGGGAACAGUCAGACUUCCUUGGGGGUGGGCUUCAUUCUUACGCACCAUUUCGCCAGCCAAGCAUCGUGUCAUGUUUCACUGAUGCUUCCCUUGACAGACAACAGCCUAUGGCGUGGUUGUUCCAUACAUUCUCUUUAAAAACCUGCUGGUUUUGCUUUGCUGAGGCUGAUUGACUGAGAAAAGCUCAUUAAAAGGCUUGAUCAAAUAGCAGUGCUGGUCAACUCUACACCUGGCUGUCAAAGACAAGUCUGAUUUACUGUUUGUUUGUCGGAUGGGAAACUGGAGGAAAAAUAACGGGGCAACGCAACAAAAGAGAUUCAGAUGCUGGUGUUUGAUCCCAGCUAGUGGAGCAGUACUCUGAAAUUAUUUAACUUGGAGACAGCCAAACUGGUGCCCUCAACAUUGCUGAGCUCCGGCUUCCAUCAUCCCUGAUCACUGGCCAUGUUGGCUGAGGUCGAUGGAAGUUGUGGUCCAAUAACACCUGGAGGGGCUUACCCUCAUUAUUCCUUAUUUAACUUUCCUAGCUCACCUGCCUCACCUAAAGACUCCAAGCCAUCAAAUGUCAAUGCGGAUCGAAAAUUCUGAACACUGAUUCACUUACUGAGCCCUCCUAUCGUCUAAUGUGCAGUCUAGCCAAAGGUUUAUUAAAGGGCAUUUGAUGGAUCUAUUGGCCAAAUGGGAUACGGAAAACAGCAAAGGUAUCUAGAUUCUCCACCACCUAUCCUGUCAUAAAAACUGAGUUUGGAAUAGAGAAAUAUCUGGUUGCCUUUGCACGGAGUUUGCAGGCUUGAGGUUGCAGACAAUGAAAACCAACUUCCUGGAAGGGCGAUAUAAAAAUAUCCCCAGAGAACAAUUGGUUUCUUUAAGUAUUUAGCCCUCAGAAUUUCUUAUAGCUUACAGUACAACAUACAGGGUGAGUGUUUUAAAAGAGGCCCUGUAGAACAUGUGUACUCAGUAUCCAUGGGGCCUCUUUUAAAGGACUCAUCCUGUAUAAGGAUUGGUGUCUGCAGCUGACUGACAUCCACAGAUACAGCGGCGCUGUUCUGGUUUUUUUAGAAACAUUAUUUUAAACAUCCUUUUCAAUUCAUUAUAUAUCAUUUUCCAGUAAGCUUUAAAUCUUACUACAAGACCACCACUUAUGAUAAAAAGAACCUUCUUUCUCUUUAUAUUUCUAACAAUUAUUUGAUUUAGAUUUAUACAUUUUUGCCAAUUUACUUGGUGUUAGAUACCAUCGAUAUAUCAUUUUCAUAUAAUUUUCUCUUAGACCACAACAUGCUGUAAAUUUUAUAUCCAUAUUCCACAAUCGUUCCCAGGCUUCCAUGUCUAUAUUAUGACCAAUAUCUAGUGCCCACUGUCUCAUUGAAGAUUUUACUUGCUCAUCCUUUGUCUCCCGUUCCAAUGACAUACAUUUUAGACAGCACUUUGACAUUACAUUCCAACAGGUCUCUCUCCAGUUGUAAUAUUUGUUCCCCAAAUCAGCCCUGCCCUGAUUCUAGAAUGCCAGCAAGGUGUGCUCAAAUCUGCCUUGUCCCAGAAGCUCACCAGGCGACCUUGGGUGAGUCUCUCCCUAUCAGUCUAAGCCUCCUUGCUAGGUUCUUGUGAGUAUAAAAUGCUGCAGAAGGACAGAAAAGUGGCUGCUUCCUUGAUCAUGAUAUACAUGCUGGUGGCGCUGAGCUCUAAACCACUGAUCCUCUUGGGGUUGCCAAUCAGAAGGUUAGUGGUUUGAAUCCCUGUGAAGGGGUGAGCUCCUGUUGCUCUGUCCCAGCUCCUGCCAACCUAGCAGUUUGAAAGCACGUCAAAGUGCAAGUAGAUAAAUAGAUAGCGCUGCGGUGGGAAGGUAAACAGCAUUUUCAUGCACUCUGGUUUCCAUCACAGUGUUUCAUUGCACCAGAAGCCAUUUAGUCCUGCUGGCCACAUGACCCGGAAAGCUGUCUGUGGACAAGCGCCAGCUCCCUCGGCCUGAAAGCGAGAUGAGCACUGCAACCCCAUAGGCACCUUUGACUGGACUGAACCAUCCAGGGGUCCUUUACCUUUUUACCUUUUACAUCAAUGAACAAAGAAGCUUGUGUUAGGUGAGAAUAAAUUAUUGUCACCUCCUCCCCCUCCCCCUCCCCUCAGCCUGGAUUCAUGAAGCCGUUGCAGGGUAGUUCCCUGAACAGGAGACUGCAUCUUCCUUUUCUGUUUGUGUUACCUUUCUGGAAUAGAGGAGUCUUGUUGCUAUGGCGGUGGGUGCUCAGAAAAUAAAAAAAGAAAGAAAAAAAAUCCGCUCAAAUCCAGGCCUGCUCUGCUGCUUGCCUUUUGCAAUAUCGAAAUGGGAAGAGUCCCUUUUAAAUUUACACUCGAUGGCAAUCUGGAUGAUUAGGUAUAAGAGCACGCAUAUCCGAGGGAGGGAGAAAUUGCACAGUGCUGUCAUGUAUGCCUCGCAGUUUUCCGGGGAAAAGGCCCAAGGUAAUCACUCAGAUUAACAUCUCCUCUCUGGCUCCUUACCUGUGGAACUGUUUACUUCACCCCCUCCAGUUCCACAGUGGGUGUGAAAUCAGAAAUCCCAGCUUGCUGAAUUAUGCAUGAGCCCUCGGUGAAUAAUGGCACCUCGGCUCAGAGUGGGCCCGCUUCGCCUUCGCGUUCACCUCCUCCCCGAUUUCAUGGGGAAUGUAUGCUGCAAAACACCAGCAAGGGCCCUUGAAAGCAUUGAGUGGGCUGGGAGAGGGGCUUCAGGGGCUCAGCGACAUUCUCCAUGCAGGACAGAGGCAUAUAUGAAGAAGCUCACAACUGCCAUCUAGUGCACUAUUGCCCACACAGGUGGGCAGCAGAGCCAGUGUGGUGUAGUGGUUAAGAGCGGUGGACUCGUAAUCUGGGGAACCGGGUUCGCAUCUCCACUCCUCCACAUGCAGCUGCUGGGUGACCUUGGGCUAGUCACACUUCUCUGAUGUCUCUCAGCCCCACUCACCUCACAGAGUGUUUGUUGUGGGGGAGGAAGGGAAAGGAGAAUGUUAGCCACUUUGAGACUCCUUCGGGUAUUGAUAAAGAGGGAGAUCAAAUCCAAACUCUUCUUCUUCUCCUUCUUCUCCAAGGUUUUGGACAGGGUGUCUUUUUCCAGGCUUACCAGGAGAUGUUGGGGAUUGAACUUGAGACCUUCUGUAUGCAAAGCAGAUGCUCUACCACUGAGUUAUAGGCUGAGUUAAGGUCCUGGGCAAAGGGGUCCUUCAUUUGCAUCCCCUUCCCUCUCCAAAAGCAAAUGAAGGCCGUAUCAAGGUCCACAGAGGCAUCUGGUCAAUGUUGGAGAGGGUAUUUUGGAGCAGAUGGAGCCACAACUAAAUCUUUAUGUUCCAAUAUGAAAAGCAAACAAGCCACAAAUUUCCAAGUUGACCAGAACUUAAGGAAAAGAGCAAGCCCUCCACAGAACAACUUGUGCAGCAUCCUACAUCCCAUGGUGGUCAAAUAGAUCUCUCUGGGAUCUGUCAUAAUGGAAAUUGUCAGCAGGCCACAAGUCAUAUAGGUAAUUGUCCUCCCCUUGCUACCCGACAGUUCUUGCUAUUCGGAAGGAAACUGCCUUUGAACAUGGAUGUUCUACUCCACUACUGUGAUUAAGUGGCAUGGCUGCAAUUAUCUUCUGUGAAUUUGACUAAUCCUCUUCUCAAGCCAUAUAAGCUAGAGGAGAUGCAGGGGCGUAAGAAGGGGAGGCGAUGGGGCGGUCCAUCCCGGGUGUCAUCUGGGGGGUGACAAAAUCCCCCUUGGGUGGAUCGCCCCGCCCCUGGGCGCCUCUGGGUGCCGGAGCGGCUAGCUCCGCCGCUGAGGAGAUGCACACAAAACAGAGCGCCUCCAGUUAUAGACUUGGUGUCUCUUGACCAAGCCUUCCAGGCAGGCCUGGCACUAGUGGUCAGCCAGGCUGGGCACUAUCUGAUGGUCCCAAUGGCUCAGAAGUGAGGCUCUCACCAGCCCAUCAUGGCUGUGCUGCCUUACAACCGUCCUUGUCAUCAGCACCACCAUCCUUGCAGUAUAAACAUUGGGCAAUGAAAUGCAGAACCAUGGCCCAUAGAUCUAUGAAACCUAAGAGCCAGGGCAUUUUAACCUAAAUUAAUUCAGUUUUAUGUGCAUUUUUGACACAUUCUGUAGAGCUGAGCGCUCAGAAUUUAGAGAAGUGCAGAAACCAAAGGCAAGGGAACUCUGAUCCACAUGGCAGCCCAGGCCAUCUCUUACCAUUGACUUGUGUGAAGCAGGCGCUGGAAGGCACUCAAGGCAGCCUUCUAGCCAGACCUUCUAAGUUCUCCUGAAGUACAUAGGAAGCUGCCUUACAUCCCAUCAGACUAUUCAUCCAGCUCUGUAUUGUUUUUGUUUUUAUUCUCCUUUUCUAUAUUUAUAAUAUUUAUUACAUUUUCUGUUUUACAAUUUAAAAUAUGCAUUUCACAUCCUUAAGAUGUCAGUGACUUCCCUUCUUCUCUUUCCAUGGUUCAUUUUACAUAUCUGUCAGGGGUUCAGGAGCAGAGGCAAGGGCAAGGGAGGAAACAGAGAGCGAGGGGGAGGAGGCAGAAGAAAAGAUGAGUGAUGACGACGACCCGAGAUCUCCGAGUCUUUCCAGUGAAUCAGAAGAUUCACAGAAAGGAGCACCAGUGGCCAGGGCAAGGGGGAGCCUAGGGGACGCCCCAGGAAGAUAGAGCCAGAGGGGACUCAGAGGGGAGCAGUUGGAAAUCGGGACCAGCGUCACCGCCAGAGAGCAGGGAAGAGGAAGGGAGCCAGGGAUCAAGCGCUGGCAGCUCACAACAGGGGGGAGGGCACGAGUCAGGAGUGGCCACACCUCCAUCGGGGAGCGAAGAAACGGUCAGACGGAAGGUGGAAGGUUGGGCGCGCGCGCCAAGUUCAAAUGCACAGGAAGGUGGCACAGUAGGCAGCCCGGAAAGGGAGCCAGGUCCUAAAGCCCGCCGAAAGGAGGGAGAAGAGUCAGGGGGGUCAGCGUCAGCGUCAGAGGAAUCCCGGAAAGAAGAGACCCCAGGGGGCAGAGGGACCCAGAGAAGAACAGUCAGGCGGAAAAGGUGGAGCAGGGCUAGGAUAUUAAGUUGGUGUACAAGGGGCGGAGACUCAGACGGAGCUUCGCCGGUCUAACCAUGAGACGUAGAGUUGCACGCAGCAGUUUGAGAAUGGAAACUGUAACUCAAUAAAGACUUUUGUUUAAUGAUCGCUGGCUAGCGUGAUCCUCUGUGAGCUAGGAUCUGGAAGCAGCUCUGACAAUAUCUUAUAUCCCUGCUUAUUUUACAAAAACUAUACCAAUCGGUUUUCCAUUAUUACAUCCAUCGAAACUUGUUUACACUGUUGAAUUUAUCUUAAUGCUGCCGGCGUUUUCAGCUGUACACAAUUAUUUCCCAUAUAUUCCAUAAACGUUUUCCAAUCUUCUUUAAAUGUAUGUUCUUCUUGUUCUUUUAUUCUAUAUGUUAAGUCUGUGAGUUGUGCAUAUUCUGUCUACUUAAGUUGCCAUUCUUUAGUUGGGACUGCGCUCGUUUUCCAUUUUGGGGCUAACGAAACAUGGGCCACAAUAGUAGCAUACAUAAACAAGCUUUUUUGACACCUGGGAAAUUCAGUCUGAUUUUUUUUUUUUUUUUGCAGGGGAGGGGGAAAGUACUUUUAAACAUUUUUUUCAAUUCAUUAUGGAUCAUUUCCCAGUACUCUUUUACCCUUUUACAAGUCUACCACAUAUGAAAGAACCUCUUUGUAUCUCCAGCACUUAUCUGAUUCAGACUUAUACAUCUAACAAGCCUACUCAGAGUUAAAUACCACCUGUGAAUCAUUUCCAGGUAGUUCUCCUCUGUAUUGUUUACCCCGGCAGAGGCUCUCCAGGGUACCAGACAGGGGUCUCUCCAAGCCUUACCUGGAGAACCCAUGAAGAAGAAGAAGAGUUUGGAUUUGAUAUCCCGCUUUAUCACUACCCGAAGAAGUCUCAAAGCGGCUAACAUUCUCCUUUCCCUUCCUCCCCCACAACAAACACUCUGUGAGGUGAGUGAGGCUAAGAGACUUCAGAGAAGUGUGACUAGCCCAAGGUCACCCAGCAGCUGCACGUGGAGAAGCGGAGACGCGAACCCGGUUCCCCAGGUUAUGAGUCUAUCGCUCUUAACCACUACACCACACUGACCCUUCUGCACAACAGGGCCGAGCUGUGUGCCCUAUGUUGCCUGCUCAGCUUAAGCCAACUUGCCGACCUCAGAUACUAGUUCAUUGGCAUACAUGGCAGUCCAGUUGGCCAGGGACAGACUUCAGUCUUUCAAAUUUCAGUGGCAACCUGUGCGAGGACAAAAUCUGGCACCUCUCGCCUUCCAUUCCACGCACGCACCAUGUCAUAGUGAGGUGCCCCCUUCAGCUUGGCACCCAAUGUGCGGGAACCAGCCUCUGAAUUGGCUUCUGCAUGUGGAGUGGAGGAGAACAACCAUCCCAUCCAUUGCUUCAGGCAGCAAAAUGUCUUGGGCCAGCCCCACUUAGAUUCAUAGCUGUGGCACAGGGCAACCUGCCUGCCUGAAGUCUAGCAGCUGCAGGAAAGGUCACGGUUACAGCUGCCUGAGAGAAGGAGGUGCCACUUAGCUGACAUCAGGUUCAUAAGGUUUCAUGAAAUAAUAAUAAUAAAUAAUAAUAUUUUUUUAUUUAUACCCCGCCCUUCCUGGUUCAGAAAACUGGGCUCAGGUCGGCUAACAACAAAUUGAAAACACUUAAUUGAUGCAACAAAAAACAGCAUAAAAUACAGUAUAAAACAUGAAUAACAAUACAUUUAAAAUUCAAAAAUCAAUUUAGGGGGGAAAUCCAACCAACAAACAUUAGAUGAUCACCAGGGCUGGCUGGCUAAAUUAGUCCUAUUUGAGCCAGCGAGGAGACCAGGGGAGAAUUAGCUGUGGGGUCCCAGAGCGGGUAAUCUUCAUAAAAAGGGGUGGGGGAGGGAAGGGGAAUGAAAGAUCAGACUAAGUUCAAACUGAAAGCCCGGCAGAAUAGCUCUGUCUUACAGGCCCUGCGGAAGGAAGUUGGUUCCCAAUGGUUUUCCCCCCCUCAAAAAACACAAAUGACCUGUUAUAAAAGUUGAAUAUCUGUCUAUCGGUUAAAGAUGCAUCGACUCCUUAGCUGGCAUUUUUUUGGUCAGGGAGGAAGAGAAUUCAGUUUCUCCCCCGUGAUAUGCCUUUGAUGCUGAUGGCGGCCACUGAGGAGGAGGGGACAUUGCCGUGAUAAGCGACACUUUGUCAAAAAGCCCAUUUGCCGGUAGCAGGUUAAGAGUUAACCCUAGCGUGAAGAAAACAGAAGAAGUGUUGAUGGAUUUUGGAAUAAACUCUUCGCCCUGUCCCUGUCACGCAGCAGGAAAAGGGCAUUCUGAGUAAGCGGCUGAUCAAAAGGAAUUAUGCUGUUGCAGAGUAAUCUAUAUUAGCACCACUUAUUCACAGGCUCCAAGAUCUGACAGUGGAAAAUUAAAGAGAGCGCUCUAAAUGGUCUUGGACUACCUCAGAUCCUUUUAACUACAGAUGCUGAGUGCUAAAUCUCGUAUCAUGUAUAACACAUGUUCUUCCUGUGAUCUUGCAAUCCCUCGCCUCACAUCAUCAACAGGGAGAUGGGAGAGAGCAGGCCAACUCAACAAGAUGCUGCCAUCUCGCUCGGGGCUGUGAGACUAGAAGAUGAGGCCUGCUGGAUCAGACCCAAAGUCCAUCAAGUCUAACUUCCUGUGAGUCUAACUUCCUAGCAGAGUCUUCUGGGGAACCUGGCUAAAAGGGCUUGAAGGUAGGGAGGAGGGAUGAAUUUGAUCUUGUUUGCAUUUAAAGGCGCAGCUAGAAUUUUGCUGGCCAAGAAUUGGAAAUCACAAGAAGUACCAACAGUGGAGGAAUGGCAGAUGAAGAUGAUGGAUUUUUCGGACCUAGCCAACCUGACUGGAAGAGUCUGCGACCAGAAGGAGGAGGAGUAUCAAGAGGAAUGGAAGAAAUUCAAAGAUUGUUUAGUUAACUAUGUUAAGAUAAAUUAAAUAGAAUUACUUGCGAGUAUCAGAUUGGCCUAGGAUUUAAAUAUGUGAUGUUGUAGAAUACAGUGGUACCUCGGGUUAAGCACUUAAUUCGUUCUGGAGGUCUGUUCUUGACCUGAAACUGUUCUUAACCUGAAGCACCACUCUAGCUAAUGGGGCCUCCUGCUGCCGCUGCGCCACUGGAGCACGAUUUCUGUUCUCAUCCUGAAGCAAAGUUCUUAACCCGAGGUAAUAUUUCUGGGUUAGCGGAGUCUGUAACCUGAAGCGUAUGUAACCCGAGGUACCACUGUACUAUGGAUAAAAGUUAAAAUGAUAAGAAAUAAAGAGGUUAGUGGAUCAAGUAAAUUUUAUGUGAAACUAGUUUUGGAAAACUGCUACAAUGAUUUAUAUGGAAACUCAGCCAGGGGGAUUCGAGGAAGUCACCCAACAAUGAUAAAAAAAGUGGAAUUUUUACAGUUAGGAUAUAUGUUUGUUUGUUUGCUUGUUUUUUGAUGUUUUUUGUUUAUGUUUGUUAUAAAUUUGGAAAAUUUAAUAAAAUGUUUUGUGAGCUUGCGGAAUUCACGUUUUCGGAAACAACCUGGGAACUGAAACACAGCCACCCUCUGCAAUUUGCCCUUCUCUAAAUGAUGGAAUACAGUUGUCUAGUCAAGUAGCGUGCACAAGAAUGCAUAUGCCAGGGAGAAGUGUGCACCUAGUGAAAGGGACCGACAAAAAUGCCCUUUCAAUGCUGACAAAUUUUCACAAGGACUUGAGAAGAAAAUCGCAAACUAAUGUGGAGAACUGAGCUCAAGAUUGGAAAGUUGAGAAAUGGAGAGAAGCCAAAAUGGAUAAUCACCCAUCCCUACUUGACGGCAGUGACUCCCACAGUUACAUUCCAGCAACUAGGAUUCAAUGGCACACCAGUUGAAGACUCCAGCCCCUCCCAGCCCCCCAUCUCCAUUUCCCCAUUGAAGCAUAGCGAUGGACUCACCUGUGCUCCAGCGAAGUUAUGUUACCUUUUAAAAUUUCUCCAUUGAGGCCUGUGGGCUUCCAUCCUGGGAGCAUAGGGCAUUUUUAAAACCUCCAGACAAUGGGAGGGUUCUGUCUACUCUUCAUCAUUCCUUGACCAGUUAUUUCUUUCUGUUCCUCCCCCCACCCCUUUGUCAAUAUUUUGUUCUCAGUCUACGAACAUUCAAUGCCAUUGAGUUAUUAUAGGGAUUUUUUUUUGGGGGGGGGUAUUCCCCCCUGUUAAGUUGUGGGUGAACAUAUACAGUAUCCCCCUGCUGGCCCAGGGUGAGAACUUCAGUACAUAACACCCCCCUGGAAGCUUUUUCUUAAGCUUUUUCACAUCCCUGCAAAUCUCAGGGUCACCCAGAGUCUUCUGACACCUCCCUCUUGUGCAUGGGUGGUACAGUUCUGGCUAUAUUUGCAUGAGCACAGGACAACUGGAAAUCAGCAGUAUAAGGAAUAACAUUGCCCCUUGAACUGGGACGAAUACUGGAUACAACCCAAUAUUUCUAAAUUGCCAUAUAUAUGUACAAAGCAGCAGGUGCAAAUUUUACACAUCCUCUUUUCUGGUAUUUUGUAAGACUUUCUGAAUAAUAAAAAAAUGUUUUUCAAAAUGACAAUUUAGCAAAGAAAAACUGAAAAAACAUGGUGAAGAAAAAGAAAGAUAUACACCAGCUCACAUUAAGAUACAAUAACCAUCGGUACACCCAUCUUAACUGAAACAUACUGAUGAAUAUAAGCCAUCCAAAUUUCCAGAUAGGUAUCUACACAAAUAAACACUAUCAUUUAAAAGCCAUGCACCUCUCAGUAAUGAGGAAUAAAACGGUGACUAGUCAACCUGUGAGCUUGGUCUAUUCUUGAGGUUCUGUCAGUGGGCAACUUCAAGGUCACCAAAGAUCUCUCAUCUUAUUUUUCUUUAUAUUUAAACCACACUUGGAAUGGGCAGCCUUUCAAAUGGAGGACUACUGCAAAGAGAUGACUAUCCUUUGUAGAGUAAGACACAUGGCCAUCCUAAGUCAGGCUACUUUUCCAUCUUGCUAUCUACUCCAGGUGGUGGAGGCUGAUCAAGAAAGACAAAUGAGCUCUGCCCCACCAACCUCAGCCAACCCACCCACCCACCUUCUUAAUCACAAUGAGUCCAGAGGAUGACAUCCUCCAUCUCCCUAUCAUUGGCUCUGGCUCCACCUAUUAUUGGGCCUCCCUGUCUUCUGUCUAAGGUGUCUCAAGAGGCACCAACCACCACUGGCUCUAGCGAUGGAGAACCUAAGGUCCUCCAAAUGUUGUUGGACCACAACUUCCAUCAUCCUUGGUCAUUGGCCUUGGUGACUGGGGCUGAUGGGAGUUGGAGUCAACAGUGUCUGGAGGGACACAAGUCUCCAACCCUUGAUUUUCUUUGAUGGGAGAUCAGUCUGGAGCAAUGAACCGUGGGUCUUUUGCAUGUUCUAAAUCUGAGCCAUGAUGGUCUCUCCUCAAGUAAAUCUGAGAUGAGAGAGUAAUUGUGGGAGCACAUCAUGCACAUUCACCAUGAAGUUGCACAAAGACCCUGUGAAUCGAGCAAAGCACUCAGGCACAUGUCUGCGCAAGCAGAGAACAUGAGCACAGGAAUGGUGUUAGUCUAAUACCCAGCUUUUAAUUGCCAGUGUCUCCAACAGCUCACUCUAAUGAUACCCAAGUCACCAUGUCAAUUGUUCUGGCCUGGACGUUUUAUAAAUGAAAGAUUUUUUUUAAAAAAUAAACUGCUUCAGCUUUGCCUACUGUACAGCCACCCCAAGGCCAAGUCAUUAAAAUCAGCUUCAAUGGUAACACAAUGACCUUUCAUUAAAGAAACAGCGUCGUCUGACUCACCACCCGCAUUUGCAAGAUUAAUGGAAGACUUGUGCUUCCUCUUUCUCACGUCGGAGAUCUGCUGUUUUCUAAUUAGAAAAGAGAUGAAAUCAUCACUGCUAUUACUAAUAAACUGGACCCCCCUUCCCUGUUUUGCUGAGACAAUGCUUUCCUCCAGGUAUGCACAGAAUCCAUUAGCUCGAAAUCCACAUUUGGAAAAUUGACCCACAUUUUCCAAUCUGGACAACUUUCCAUUUUAGCAGUUAAGAAACGGAGGACACCGAUUUUGUUCUGCCUUGUUUAGUGACCUUUUGGGCUGAGAGUUGUUAGGAGACCUCUGUUCCUCUCCCAGAGUGGUUUAAGAAGCAAUCCCUCUUCCCAAGGAACUCUGGGAAUGGCACCUCUGUGUAAGGGACUCUGGGGGUCUCCUAACACCUCUCAGCCUCCUGAGCAAACUAAAGCUCUCAGGAUUCUUUUGGGGAAGCCAUGACUGUUUAAAGUAGUACAAUCCCACCUUAGAUCAAGUCUAUGCUGUCAGGUGCCAUAAGAAAGCUGCAGAGAUAGUGCAGGAUAGUAUGCACCCGGGAAACAAUCUCUUUCAGCUUCUGCCUUCUGGAAGAAGAUAUAGGGUUAUAAAGACCAGGACUAGCCGUGUGUGAAACAGUUUCUACGCAAAUGCAAUUCUGGUUCUAAACACAGCUUAAGGAGUCUCUAUAGUAUAUUGUAUUUUAAAAUGGGGUUUCAGAGUUUUUAGGGGUUUUUGAAUGUUUUAUGUAGAUUUUCAGUUUCAUUGUUCUGUAUGGGACAAUGACAAUAAAGAUCGUAUCGUAUCCUGCUUUAAAUGCAUAGUGCAGAUGGGGCCAAGGAUUUUUGUCCGCUUCACAGGUUGUGUAGUGGCUUCCUUUUAGCUAUGGCACAUCCCUUUUCUUAUCUGGUCUAUGUGUGUGACUGGCAUAGAGGAAGUUUGGAUGGUCGGUAGCCUUCUACCAGGGAAGAAAGAAAGAGAGAAACAGAAACACCAGAAUGAUCUGUCCUGCGUCCAGAUGAAACUUGCAAGAGCAGGCCAGUCUUCCGUCGUCUCCCCCCUUGCACUUUCCGCUCCUUCUUCCAGCUGUUCCCUUGUUCAGAAAAUCCACUGCCCUCAUUUCUAAUUCUGAUUUAAAUCCAAUGAAUAUUUUAAUAUCAAACUGUUAUUUCGCAAGGGAAGGCAAAGCUUCUCUUCCUAGCACUUCUUUUGCUCCUUUGUAAUCUUCUGGAAACUUUCCGGGGGGCUUCUCCUUCUGCUGGGUUUCCGAUUUUCAAGGUGGAUUUGGGAAGCAAGCUAGGUUUCAGGCUGAAGCAAAGCAUUUGGGCCUGAAAAAGGCAUAUCUCCUUCCUGUCUGGUUCAAGAUGUGAGAGGGCCCUCAGCAAAGGACCCUCCGUUGACCCUCUCCCAGGGACGGUCAAAUAUGUCAAUUUCAGUUUCUCAUCCCACCCCAUCCCAGUCUUAAGUUCAGUUCUCUGCGUUUCAACAUCAGGUUGGCAAAUUCGUUGUUGUUGUUAUUGAUGUUGUUAUUGUUAUUAAAAAUACUCCUUAAAAUUACAGGUAGGUAGCUGUGUUGGUCUGCCAUAGUCGAAACAAAAGAAAAAAAAUCCUUCCAGUAGCACCUUAGAGACCAGCUAAGUUUGUUAUUGGUAUGAGCUUUCAUGUGCAUGAACAGAAGAAGUGUGCAUGCACACGAAAGCUCAUACCAAUAACAAACUUAGUUGGUCUCUUAGGUGCUACUGGAAGGAAUUUUUUUAUUUCCUUAAAAUUAGUCAGCAUUUUAGUGCAACGUUCUCCUGAUAGACAAACUGUUGCUUGCAGUUUUGCCUUAAGUACACCUUUUUGCCAGAAUGGUUCAAAGAAAGAGGAAGUGGUGCUUGGACCACCUGGACAUGAGUUUGAGCAGACUCUCACCUCCAUUGUCCAUGAUCUUCUCCACUGUGACGAGUUGCAUUGCAUUUCUGUUUAAAUGGAAAUGCAUUGCAAUUCUGCUUCUAAAUUUGAGUCUAUAUCAGUGGCAGCUGGUACGCAUUGGAACUGGCAGAGCAGAAGGCAGGGAGGCCCAAACACAAGGUGGAGACAGAGUCAAGGAAAAGGCAGGGCCAACUGAGGACUCAGCUAAGGUAAAAGGUAUAGGGACCCCUGACCAUUAGGUCCAGUCGUGGCUGACUCUGAGGUUGCAGUGCUCAUCUCGCUUUACUGGCCAAGGGAGCCGGCGUACAGCUUCUGGGUCAUGUGGCCAGCAUGACUAAGCCGCUUCUGGCGAACAAGAGCAGUGCAUGGAAACGCUGUUUACCUUCCCACCAGAGUGGUACCUAUUAUCUACUUGCACUUUGAUGUGUUUUUGAACUGCUAGGUUGGCAGGAGCAGGGACCGAGCAAUAGGAGCUCACCCCGUCACGGGGAUUCGAACCACCGACCUUCUGAUUGGCAAGCCCUAGGCUCUGUGGUUUAACUCACAGAGCCACCCGCGUCCCUUGGUAGGAUAAGGGUAGACAAAAUUCAUAGAAAAAGUCCUUCAGGCUGAGCAGAGGAAGAGCUCGCUGUCUAAAUCCUGCCAGAUUUUUUAAAACUGUGGCUGCUAUCACCUAUACUACAGCUAUACUUAAAAGCAACGCUAGUGAGGCGCUCUCUCUCUCUCUCUCUCUCUCUCUCUCUCUGGGAGAAAUGCCUUCUUUUUCUUUCUGACACGACUGCAAAACAUUGCACCUGAAAGAAUAUCACCUCAAGAAGGGAUCAAGAGUGGAACAGCAAAUUUUGCCUCUAUGUUAUUUUCAGAAUCGUAUGAUCAGAGAAAAUCUGAAGUUGGCCUUUGCAAGCUUUUGGUUAUUCUGGAUCGAGUGAACCAGACUUUGGGUUCAGUCCUGCUGCAUUCAGAUCAAUGAGCGUUUUUGCCAGCAACUUCAAAGAGUGGGGAACAUUUGAAGAGAAAGUGCCGUGACAUGAGAAGCACACUGAGGGACGUCAAACUCUGCAUCUAUUUUUUUUUUUUUAAAGAAAUGUGGCUCCAUGGUUGGAGCUUUCUGGGAUAUGGGUUCCUGUCAGGGAACUGCCAUCGGAGCUAGAGGCGGAGGGAAGGCUCCAAAGGGAUGCAGGAGAGGGUCCCAGUAGGGAGAGAGGCAGCCCAUCUGCUGGGGAAGGAAAUCAGCGUAACACCAGUGGAGAAGGGGGGCAGAUGGGGGAAUCGGAGAGGAGGCUCCAAGACUCUUCGCCGGAGACCAGCGGAGAGAGUACGGGUACUCCGCUGCCCACACCCUCCCUGCGCAGAAGACUUCCGUGCAGGGAGAGUAGGAGGAGACUUGGCGUCAAACAACUUUUAUGCUGGAAAAGGUUUAAGAAAUGCCCACUGACGGAUUCUGCCAGCGACUGAGACAGUCACGAUGCUGGAGGCUGUUCAGUCAGAAAGGGUUAACCAGGUAACCUAGCCAGGAGUGGCGGCAACUUAUGCACGAGCAACCCCUAAACCCAUUACAGCAAUCCGUCAGUCCUUGACGUUGCUUGUGCGUAGCUCCAGAGAGGCAGCACCAUGAGCCAGACUGGAGGAGCCGGAGAGACGGAGCAAGCAGCUGCAGUGCAAGGUCUGGUGGAGAGAAACCGAGAUUUGGAACAGCAUGUAGCUCUCCUGACGGCGCGGCUGGACGAAAGACGAGCUCAGGAUGCUCAGGUCAGACCCACCCCCAUCGCAAGGAAGGUACCGGGGCUGGUACACAAGUUUGGGGGGAAACCCCAGGACUACAAUGCGUUCCGAACGGAAAUAGAGUACGCUUUGAAACUGCAGCAUGAUGACUUUGCUAAUGAGGAGCAACGGGUGGCCUACGUUGUGGGGCAUCUGGAGGAUGGGGCAAGGGAAUGGAUUAGGCCCCUUAUGGUGACGCAAAAUCAUGCCUUGAAGGACCUUAAGAAAUUCUUUCAGGCGAUGGAUGCGAUGUAUUCCAGUGAAGUCCAGCAAAGUGUGACUCGGCGAGAACUGAUGGGGUGCAAGCAGGGGAGCCAGUCAGUUAGAGACUACUGGUCGCGCUUUGCAAUGUUGGUCCACCGUCUCGGGUGGGAUCUGGACUCUGAACCUAUUCAAAUGUUGUUUGAGGAGGGGUUGUCCCCAACGGUGAAGGACGAGCUGUUCCGCGCGCCCCGCCCGCAGUCGAUGGAUCAGCUGACCAAGGCUGUGCUUGCGAUUGGAGUGAGGCAGGAAGCGCGGGCUCAGGAGAAACGCGAAGCGAGAGGGGAACGUUGCCAUGACUACCGCAUUCCUGAAAUACCAAGACAGCUUUCCCAGGACGCUGAGCCAAUGGAAAUAGGUGGCGCGCGCGCGAGGUUUCAAACUCCAGUGAAGGUCGCAAGAGGGAGGGGAAGGAGUGGAAAACCACCAAGAAGUGCUUCCUCUGCCAACGGCUGGGACAUUUUGCAAGGGUCUGCCCUCAAAGAAAGGCCUGGCAAGGGAUGGUGGGAGCUGCUGACUGUGAGGAGAAGGGGGACGAAGGGCAGGCGCAGGGAAACGACAGUGCCUGGCUGCCAACCAAAGGGGCCAGCAGCCAGGCCAGCAACCAAUAGAAGUGCCCCAGCCUGACCCCCCCAGGGCAGCGAUAGCCAUAGCAGUGGUGCUAGAACUCCCGAAUGGGCACCCAGUCAAGGUUGAGGGGCUGCUGGAUUCGGGCAGCUCCUGCAAUUUCUUUAGCAGGGACUUCGCUUUGGAGCACCAAAUACACUUGCUACCCCUGGAUUUUCCCUUGCAAGUGACCACCAUCGAUGGCAGGGAACUUCUGGGAGGGGAAGUGACACACCAGACCCCGCCAAUGCAAAUGAGGGUUUCCAGGCACACGGAGACCAUUGGCUUUCACGUGGUCAAACUGGCAGGACCCCCAAUAAUACUGGGAAUGAGCUGGCUGGCACUGCAUGAUCCAGUAGUGUCAUGGCAUCAGCGGUCAGUCACCUUUGGGUCAGCUUACUGUUUGGAACACUGUCUGGGGGAGGAAACCCCAAGAAUGACAGUGGCUAGGGUGGCUGGGCUGGAGGUGGAAACAAAGGGAGAGGUGCCACCACCAUACGCUGACCUAAAGGAAGUCUUCAGCGAGAAGGAAGCGGACAGACUACCCCCCCCAUAGGCCCUUUGACUGCCAAAUCAACUUAAUCCCAGGGGCUCAGCUGCCGGUGGGUAAGCUGUAUGCCAUGUCGGACAGGGAGAUGCAGGAGUUACGGCAGUUUAUUGACAAGAACCUGAAGAGGGGGGUUCAUAAGAGAAUCAAAGGCGGUGGGGGGCAGUCUGGUGUUCUUUGUGGACAAAGAGGGACUAACCAGCCCAGGCUGGUCGUGGACUACCGGGCCCUAAACUUGGUAUCUGAACCCGUGACCUUCCCAAUGCCCAGGAUUGACGACAUUUUAACACGGGUGAGGCAGGGGAAAAUUUUCACCAAGCUGGACCUCAGGGGAGCGUACAAUUUGAUCAGGGUAAGGGGACGAAUGGAAGACCACCAUGUUCACCCCCCUGGGGGCUUUUGAGUACUUGGUCAUGCCAUUUGGAUUACAAUCGGGCUCCGCCUGCUUUCAAGCAUUCAUGCACCACGUGUUGGGUCCCCUGCUGUACAAGAACUGCGUAGCCUUCUUGGACGACGUCUUAAUCUAUUCAGACAAUGAGAAGCAACAUGUCAGAGACGUCAGGGAAGUGCUAGAGAGGCUGCAGAAGCACCAGUUGUGGGUCAAGCUGGAAAAAUGCCAAUUUCACACCAGAGAGGUCGAGUUUCUGGGGUACAAGUUGUCAGACAAGGGACUGGCUAUGGACCCAAGCAAGGUGCAGGCAGUGCUGGAAUGGAAAGCCCCAAAAACCCGGAAGGAUGUGCAGAGGUUCCUAGGGUUCAGCAACUUCUACAGGAAGUUCAUCAAGAACUUCGCCCACCUAAAGGCGCCCUUCACAGAUUGUCUCAGUAGCAAAAGGAAGUUCGCCUGGACAGAAAGUGCCCAGCAAUCCUUUGAAAGACUGAAGAAGGCGUUCGCUUCGGAAGAGCAGCUCCUACACGUUGAUCUGGAGAAACCCAUGAGGCUAGAGACCGACGCGUCCGACAGAGCCAUUGGGGCGGUACUUUUGCAGCCAGGGAGGAGCAAGCAGGAAUGGAAGCCGUGUGCCUUUUUCUCGAGGAAGCUGAGCAAGUCGGAGCAAAACUAUACGGUGUAUGACCGUGAACUGCUUGCGAUCUAUGCGGCAUUUCGUCGAUGGCGCCAUCUUCUAAUAGGGGCGCAGCACAAGAUCCAGGUUUGUACUGAUCACAAGAACUUGGAAUACUGGAGGACCGCGCGAGUACUCAACCAGAGACAGAUUCGAGGGGCACAGGAGUUCUCCAAGUUUUCCUUCAAGAUCCGAUAUGUGCCGGGAGAGGAAAACGUAAGAGCAGAUGCUCUCUCCCGGAAGCCAGAGUACAUGGAAGGGGAGAGACCGCCGGAGAUACGACACGUGAUCCCCGAGGACCGAUGGGUGUGUGUGGGAGCCUUGGUUGGGAAACGAGAACUGGCCGGGCUUACUAGAAAUGACAUGUUCGCCCAAAGUAAAAUCAGGGAACUCCGAGACGGAAGAGAAAACCAUGGGGGUUUUGAGGAAAAGGAAGGGGUGCUGUACUAUAAGGGGGCACUGUAUGUACCGGGGGAGACCCUGAGGGGGAAGGUACUCAAACAACUCCACGACAACCCUACAGCUGGGCACUUUGGACAGCACAAAACCAUGCUGCUCGUCACCAGGCAGUUCUGGUGGCCAAGGGUGAGGGAGGAUGUACGGGAAUAUGUACAGGGGUGCGACCGCUGCCAAAGGGCAAAGGGGGAGAGGGCUGCCCCCGCAGGGCUACUGGAACCCUUACCCACGCCGGGAAGACCCUGGGAGGUGGUGUCCAUUGAUUUUAUGACAGAUUUGCCCAAGUCCAGGGGAACGACAGCAGUCAUGGUAGUAGUCGAUCUACUGACGAAAAUGUGCCAUUUCAUAGCUUGCUCACAUGCCAUGACGGCAGAGGAGACAGCCAAGUUGUUUGUGGAUCACAACUUCAGGUUGCAUGGAGCUCCCUCGAGGGUCGUCUCAGAUCGCGGAAAACAAUUUACUUCACGAUUCUGGAGGAAGCUCAUGAGCUUGCUGCAGGUAGAGGUGGGCUUCUCGACGGCGUGACACCCGGAAACCAAUGGGCAAGCAGAAAGAGCGAACAGUAUACUCCAGCAAUACCUACGCUGCUACGUCAGCGAGAGACAGAACGAUUGGGUAGAGAAACUAGCGCUGGCUGAAUUUGCGUACAAUAACGCUGAACAUGUGUCCACGGGAAUGAGCCCGUUCAUGGCCAAUUAUGGGUGUCACCCCAGGGCCUUCCCGGGGAGGGGGGGAGGAAGGGUGGAGUGUACCUGCGGCCGAGCAGUUUGUGGAAGAAAUGGAGGCAUUGCACCAGCAACUCAAGAUGAACUUGGAGCGGGCCAAGGACAUUUAUAGGAGGCAGGCAGACAAGCACCGUCGGGAGGGGGAUGCCAUACGGGUGGGAGACCGAGUGUGGUUGUCAACCCAAGGGUUGCCCCUAAAGGGAGGGUGCAAGAAGUUGCAGCCAAGGCGGCUGGGACCCUUUGAGGUAACACAGCAGGUGAACCCUGUGGCAUUCAAGCUCAAGUUGCCUGACAGCAUGAAGAUACAUCCGGUGUUCCAUAGGUCCCUACUCUCACCGUACAGGGAGGGGCGGGAAUUCCCAGGGCGGGAGGGAGGAGUCACCACCCACCCGUGGGUAGAGGAGAGGGAACUCCACCACCAAGCCACGGAAAUACUCAAUUCAAGGUGGCGAGGGCGCCAGGUGGAGUACUUAGUGGCUUGGGAAGGAGAACCCGAGUCAGAAAACACUUGGGUCCCCGCUGAGGCGGUCAAGGAUGGGUAUCUAGUGGAAGAAUUCCACAGCCUGUUCCCAGACAAACCAAAACCACUAGCGAGAUUCUGGGAGGAAGAAUUUGGAACCACAGACGACGAGGAGGAAUUUGUGGGUUUUCCUGCCUCCGAAGAGGAAGGAGGGGAAAUGUCAGAGGGAGAAGAAUCAGACUGGGAGGCCCACCCCGCGGCAAGAUAUCGGAGCGGGUGGGAAGCAGGUUUUGAAUCCUCAGAGGAGAGCGACAGCUCCUUCAGGGGCUUCCCUGCAUCGUCGGCCGAGGAAAGGGACGAGGUUGGAUCUGAAGGUUGGGCUGGGGGCGGAGGGGGUCCUGGGGGGGAGGUGGAUGUCAGGGAACUGCCAUCGGAGCUAGAGGCGGAGGGAAGGCUCCAAAGGGAUGCAGGAGAGGGUCCCAGUAGGGAGAGAGACAGCCCAUCUGCUGGGGAAGGAAAUCAGCGUAACACCAGUGGAGAAGGGGGGCAGAUGGGGGAAUCGGAGAGGAGGCUCCAAGACUCUUCGCCGGAGACCAGCGGAGAGAGUACGGGUACUCCGCUGCCCACACCCUCCCUGCGCAGAAGACUUCCGUGCAGGGAGAGUAGGAGGAGACUUGGCGUCAAACAACUUUUAUGCUGGAAAAGGUUUAAGAAACGCCCACUGACGGAUUCUGCCAGCGACUGAGACAGUCACGAUGCUGGAGGCUGUUCAGUCAGAAAGGGUUAACCAGGUAACUUAGCCAGGAGUGGCGGCAACUUACGCACGAGCAACCCCUAAACCCAUUACAGUUCCUUAGGGUGUUUUCAGGAAAGUCUCUUAGAAUGUGGAUGCCCAUGGAAUAAAAGGAACCUGGGAGGUUGUGGCAAAUGUACUAAUUUUCAAAAAUGGUUUAAUUUCAUCUAUUCAAAAGCUCUUUAUCACACAACACAUCAGGACAUGUUCUGCUGGAAUAUAAUUGCCAUUAUAUUGGUGGUCUUUGCCGCCAAAUGGCUGUGUCUCCAAAGUUUUUAUACAUUCUACCAGUUCUGGUUCAGGUGGAUAGCCGGGUUGAUCUAUCAUAGUCAUAAUAAAUAACAAAAUGAAAUAUGAAUUUUCAUCUUUCAUCUUGUUAUUUAUUAUGACUGCCAGUUCUGGUUGGUGCCCAUUGGCAAGGUGGAAACAGGGAGACCAAAAGUAGGUGGAGGCAGAGCCAAUGGAAGGAGGAGCCGACUAAGGGUAGAUCUACACUUGUGGUUUAUAAUAUUAAGGAAGGGUUAAGGAAUGAAUUUCACAAUGUAAUGUAUUUUGAAUAAUGUGCUAUUAAUAAUGUGUUAUUAAUAUGUGACAACAGAGGGCGCUGCAGAGCAACCAGCCACCAGCAAUAUGGAAACUGUGUUGUCAAAGGUAAGGAAUGUUUUUAAUUUACCAGUAUGCCCUGUGACAUUUUAGGACAAUAUUAUUUAAUUUAAUUUAAUUUAAUUUAAUUUAAUUUAAUUUAAUUUAAUAAUUUAAUUUAAUUUAAUUUAAUUUAAUUUAAUUUAAUUUAAUUUAAUUUAAUUUAAUUUAAUUUAAUUUAAUUUAAUUUAAUUUAAUUUAAUUUAAUUUAAAAUAAUUCAUUUCAUUUAUAUACUGCCCUAUACCCAGAGGUCUCAGGGUGGUUCACAGAACAAGAUCAGCAUAUAGAACCACAAUAUAUAUAAUUAAAAUAAAAGCAACAACCCAAUAACAGCCCCCACAAAAAGCCACAUUUUAAAAGGGCAUAGGAUGUCCAUCAGAUCAACCAAUGGCCUGGUUAAAAAGGAACGUUUUUGCCUGGCGCCUGAAGGUGUAUAAUGAAGGUGCCAGGCAAACGUCUCUGGGGACAGCAUUCCACAGAUGGGGAGCCACUGCGGAGAAGGCCCUGUUCUUGUGUUGCCAUCCUCCGGACCUCUCGAGGAGGAGGCACAUGAAGAAGGGUCCUGAGCCGUUUAAGGCUUUAUAGGUCAAAACCAGCACUUUGAACUGGGGCCGGAAACGAAUUGGUAGCCAGUGCAAUCGGACCAGAAUUGGUGUAAUAUGUGGUGUAAUAUCAUUCUAAUAAUGUUUAAAAGGUCAGUGUCAAUCCAGCCUAAGCCUCGUUUUGUCCACAUCUUGCCCCAUGGAGGACCUUAAGGUCCAUAAAUAGCAACACCCUAGUGGUCCCGGGCCCUAAGGGAAUUAGAUUAGCCUCAACCAGAGCCAGGGCCUUUUCAACACUGGCUCCAGCCUGGUGGAACGCUCUGUCUCAUGAGACCAGGGCCCUGCAGGAUCUGGUUUCUUUCUGCAGGGCCUGUAAGACAGAGUUGUUCCGCCUGGCCUUUGGCUUGGAUCCAAUUUGAUUCCCUCCCCCUCUUUCUUUUUCCUUUCUCCUCCUGUGAUGAGGCUGCAUUUUAAUAUUUUAAUGUUUCAAUAUUUUAAUGCUGUAUUUUAAUGUUGUUUUCAAGUUGUAUUCAUUCAACUUGUUUUUAUUAUUGCUUGUUAGCCGCCCUGAGCCCGGCCUUGGCUGGGAAGGGCAGGGUAUAAAUACAAAUUAUUAUUAUUAUUAUUAUUAUUAUUAUUAUUAUUAUUAUUAUUUUCUUCUUCUUCUUCUUCUUCUUCUUCUUCUUCUUCUUCUUCUUCUUCCCUGCUGAGUUCUCCAAAGGCAAUGAUGAGACUAAGGAGGAAACUGACAUCCAGUGCCACCGCCGGGAUUGCAUGUAAAUAAGAAGGCAAGCCUGUUGUCUUUGUCCAUGGAGUUUUCUUGGCAGGGAUACUGGAGUGACUUGCCGGUUCCUCCUCCAGGUGGAUCACGUUUGGUCAAAACUCUCCACUAUGACCUGUCUAUCUUGGGUGCCCUGCACGGCAUAGUUCAUAGCUUCUCUGAGUUAUUCAAGCCCCUUCUCCACGGCAAGACAGUGAUCCAUGAAGGGGAGUCCCAUGGACUGCAAGAAGAUCAAACCUCUCCAUUCUGAAGGAAAUCAGCCCUGAGUGCUCACUGGAAGGACAGAUCCUGAAGCUGAGGCUCCAAUCCUUUGGUCACCUCAUGAGACGAGAAGACUCCCUGGAAAAGACCCUGAUGUUGGGAAAGAUGGAGGGCACAAGGAGGAGGGGACGACAGAGGACGAGAUGGUUGGACAGUGUUCUCGAAGCUACAAACAUGAGUCUGACCAAACUGCGGGAGGCAGUGGAAGACAGGAGUGCCUAGCGUGCUCUGGUCCAGGGGGUCACGAAGAGUCAGACACGACUAAAUGACUAAACAACAAGAAGGCGAGCAGCUGGGGGUUAGCUGACAGCAGACUGAGAUUGGUGGGUCAUUGCCCCAUUUAUCCUAAGAGACCAGCCUCCAUUGCUCUCUGCUCAGGAUUACAGACUAAUCCUUUGGGAUUGGUAGGACCAUGUGACGAAAGGACAUCAUCCCCAGCCUUAUGGGGGUGUCUCUAUGCAAAUUGGCACAACUGUCCCGAAAUAUGACAGUUCCGAGGAAUGUUGAUAAUAAGCAAAAGUCCUGUUUAUUGCCACCAGUAACCCGGUUCCCCACCCCCUCUGGCAACCUUGCAGAGCUCAUGUUCCAAGUAAUCAAUCAUCCAGUCGAUGAAUCUUUCUCCGCCAUAAUGUAAUUGAUUGCAUUUAAAAAAUAGCAAUAUUGUAAAGAUUAACAUAAUGUGCAUGAAUACACAAGCGCAGUCACAAAACGCUCGGACUCAUUAGGUGUGUGAAGUCUGCUUAAUAUGACACUGAUGAAGGCCCUUCUCCUGAUUGCCGCGGGAAAUGGGAAUUUGGUGGGUGGCCACUUAGGAAAGGAUAAAGAUUUGCAUAUUGUGCCCAUUUAUAUCCAGUGCAUUAGGGUGAAUGGAGCAUUGCUUCACCAGCCUCAGUCAGUUCUUAGCCAACUUGCAUCUACCUGCCUACCUACCUGCCUGGGCUGGCAUCUUCCUCUUCCUCCUCCUGAGCAGGGGUGCCAACUUGAAUAAAAUGUUGUGGGGGCCCAGGUAAGCCCCCCCCCGCACAACCAAUCACAUGAUGAAGUGCACACGCGCCAUUUGAAUGUGAGCAUCCAUCAACUUUGUGGGAGACCGGCCCCCUCAAAUAUUUCACUGUGGGGGCCGAAGCCCCCAUGGCCCAUAGAAGUUGGCUCCUGUGCGCCUGAGUCACAGUGUUCCCCUGAGAGAACUCAGCAGGGAAAAGGAAGAUGGAGACAAUACAAGGCUUAGGUGGGAUCUAGACACAUGAAAAACUGCUUUUAAAAAAAGCGAUUGAACAAAUACAUUGAAUUUUCCAUAAGGCUCACCAUCGCCAUCUAGUGGCCAGACUGGGGUGGGAAAAUGCAUUUCAGUCACCUCCAGGCUUGACUACUGUAAUUCGCUCUACGUGGGGCUGCCCUUGAAACUGUCCCAGAAACUCCAGCAGGUGCAGAAUGCUGCAGGGAGGCUCCUCACAGGAUCUCUGCCAUGGGAGCAUAUUCACCCAGCUGCACUGGCUCCCGGUGGAGUACAGGGUCAGAUUUAAGGUGCUGGUUUUGACCUUUAAAGCCCUUUGUGGCUUAGAGCCCUCGUAUUUACGGGACCGCCUCUCCUGGUAUGCCCCGCAGAGGACCUUAAGGUCCCUGAAUAAUCAUAGUUUAGAGGUCCCGGGCCCUAAGGAAGUCAGAUUAUCCUCCACCAGGGCCAGGGCCUUCUCAGUAAUGGCUCCAACCUGGUGGAAUGCUCUGUCCCAUGAGACCAGGGCCCUGCAGGAUUUAACUUCCUUCCGCAGGGUCUGUAAGACAGAGCUAUUCUGCCUGGCUUUCAACUUGAACGUAACCUGAUCUUUUAUUCCCCUUCCUUUCUUCCCCCUCCCCUUUUUAUGAAGAUUACCCGCUCUGGGAUCCCACAGCUAAUUCUCCCCUGGUCUCCUCGCUGGCUCAAAUAGGACUAAUUUAGCCAGCUAGCCCUGGUGAUCAUCUAAUGUUUAUUGGAAGGAUUUCCCCCCUAAAUUGAUUUUUGAAUUAAUUGUUAUUCACGUUUAAUACUGUAUUUAUGCUGUUUUUUGUUGCAUCAAUUAAGUGUUUUAAAUUUGUUGUUAGCAGCAUGAGUCUGGUUUUCUGAACCAGGAAGGGUGGGGUAUAAAUAAAAAUUUAUUAUUAUUAUUUAUUAUUAUAUUAUUAUUUUUUAUGCAGAGUUUACCCCAGUAUAAGCAAUUUUCUGCACAUGAUUUGGCUGGUACCUUGUCACUGCAAGGUAGCCAAGAAUGGUGUUUUCUCUCUCUCCUUCCAUUAAUUUUUUCCCCCAGCACUCAGCAGCCGCCGUGAUUGUCUGCGCUUCCUGAGCUGAAAAGCCCCAUGGAAGGAGUUACUUAAUGAAAAUGUCCCCUGAGCUUUAAUGGAAGCAUGGGAACGCAUAAGCCUGGGACUGGCCCCCUGAAUGCUUCUGUUUUGAAGGGAAGUCUUUCCUUUUUACCUGUUUCAAAAACAACAUCUUUCCCCACUGCUUACUCAUGGACUGUAGUACCAUAAUAAAAAUUCAACAGCGUUCUUAUUAGAUUUAAGUUUAAAGUUAGCUACGUUGAUACUGCUCUUGUUUUGGAUACCCAAACGCUUUGCUUAUGCACUUCUUAAAUGCAGGGCAUUGAUUUUCAGCCUCCUUAUAUGGAACUGAACAUUUUAGUCCAUGGGUAGGGAAACUAAGGCCCAGGGGCCGGAUCUGGCCCAAUCACCUCCUAAAUCUGGCCCGCAGAUGGUCUGGGAAUCAGCAUGUUUUUACAUGAGUAGAAUGUGUCCUUUUAUUUAAAAUGCAUCUCUGGGUUAUUUGUGGGGCAUAGAAAUUCAUUCAUAUAUUUUUUUCAAAAUAUAGUCUGCCCCCCCACAAGCUCUGAGGGACAGUGGACCAGCCCCCUGCUGAAAAAGUUUGCUGACCCCUGGUCUAGCCCUUCAACCAAUAUACUUCUGAGCUGACUCACACGAUCAGGCAGAGGGAGAGGGAGAGGGUGACUUCUACUGGAACAUAAAGUGCUGUUCUGCGAUGAAAAAAGAACGUUGAACGGUGGCGGUUGUGUUCAGUAGUAGCUGGAGAUUAAUUCUGACAAUCACCCUUCAUUAAUGGAAAUAUAGCACCAAGAUCAUAUUGGAAAAUGCCCCUCCCCCAAACUAGAAAAUGGCAACACUGAACAGACGAAUUGAUAUUUGGCAUAUUUGUGUAGGAUGGCAGCCGUCCCAAAAGGCAGGGUUUGGAGCUGUGCUUUUUUUUUUUCUAGAAAAAGAGGUGCUGGUACCAUGAAGUUGUUACAGUAAGUGUCACACUUUUAAAAACACACACACACACAGGUGCCAGUACUUUGAGUACCCCCUGAAAAAGCACUGGGUAGGAGAGAGAAUGGGGAAUCCAUUGGCAAACGGAGGCGCCAUGAUGUCAGGACAGGCAUAUGAGGCAGAACGACAGGGUCCUAUUAAGUAGAACAUGUAGGCGGGCUCUCAAAUGCAGCAAGGCCAGCUUAUCAAAAUUUGCUCUUGCACACUUGAUCCCUCCUUGUAGUGAUAUUCUUUCAGGUGCAACCAGUGGUGUAGCAAGGUCAGGUGGUACCCGGUGUGGAAAAUUUCUUGCCACACCCAGACUUUUUAGAGCGCUCCUCCAAGUCCCCAGAUGUGUCUCAAAUGCAUGGGUUAGAUUAGAAAUGGGGAUGAUGAGAAUGGAGGCUAACAUCUGCCUAACAUCAAUCUACAAAUGGCUGACAUUGAAUCUGCUCCCCCGAGGGAUAGCCCCAUUGAUCCUCUGUGAUCAAUUCUGGCAGACUGCAGUCCUGAACACCCUCCAGAAACUGGGUUUUGCCCCUCAAGCCCUUCUAAGUCUGGGCUUGGGACAGGCAAAAGCUACAGUCAGGCAAAGAAUAUUAGACACCGAGAGACAACAGGACUGCGCAAGGUGCCCCAACUAUAAAAUUGGAGAAAUUGAGAGAUAUAUAGCCGCACCGGCAGCAUAUCUCUUCUUUCUCGUAUCUAGAAAUGCAAGAAGGGCCUUUACACUUGCCAGAAGCUCGGCUCUUCCCUCGCCGGUCCUGGAUGGAGCCUUUAGAAAAGUCCCGUAUGCUCAGAGACUUUGCACCUGUCCAUUGGGAGAGAUAGGAAGCCCAGAACACUUGUUCUUUAGAUGUCCCUUGUGUUUUUUUUGCACAGCCAGAGUUCUUGAGCUUUUUGGGGGGAGCCAAAGUUGUUGAGCGCCAAAGCCUCUCUCACACUGCUGCGCAGCAUUUCGUCACCCCCCUCGAAGGUGACACCCGAGGCGGUCUGCACCCACCACACCCGCCUAGCUCUGCCUCUGCGUGCAAUGUUUUGCAGUCGUUUUUUAAGUGUCAGAAAGAAAAAGAAGGCAUUUCUCCCUCUUGAAGACACCCACCCACCCACCCUUUGCUUUGAAGUAUAGCUAUAGUACAGGUGAUAGCAGCCACAGUUUUAAAAAAUUCUGGCAGCAUUUAGACAGCGAGCUCUUCCUCUGCUCAGCCUGAAGGACUUUUUCUUUGAAUUUUGUCUACCUUACCAUACAAUCACAGAAUUGUAGAGUUGGAAGCAUGACCCCCUAAACCUGCGGUCCCCCACAGGUUGUUCAGCUGCAGCUCCCAUCAUCUCUGACCCAUACCCUCCAACAUUUCUUCGAUGAAAAGAGGGACAUCCUAUUCCAUAACAACAACAAUAAUUUUAUUAUUUAUACCCCACCCCCCUGACUGGGUUGCCCUAGCCCCUCUGGGCAGCUUCCAACAUAUAUUAGGUAAAGGUAAAGGGACCCCUGACCAUUAGGUCCAGUCGUGACCGACUCUGGGGUUGCGGUGCUCAUCUCACUUUAUUGGCCGAGGGAGCCAGCGUACAGCUUCUGGGUCAUGUGGCCAGCAUGACUAAGCCGCUUCUGGCAAACCAGAGCAGCGCACGGAAACGCCGUUUACCUUCCCACCGGAGCGUUACCUAUUAACUACUUGCACUUUGAUGUGCUUUCGAACUGCUAGGUUGGCAGGAGCAGGGAUCGAGCAACAGGAGCUCACCCCGUUGCGGGGAUUUAAAUUGCCGACCUUCUGAUCGGCAAGUCCUAGGCUCUGUGGUUUAACCCACAGCGCCACCUAGCAAAACAUUAAAUAUUCAAAAACCUCUCUAUACAGGGCUGCCUUCAGAUGUCUUCUAAAGGCUGACAGUUACCUAUCUCCUUGGCUCGGGGGUUGGAUAACUCUAUACCAGGCAUAGGCAAACUUGGCCCUCCGACUACAACUCCCAUCAUCCCUAGCUAACAGGACCAGUGGUCAGGGAUGAUGGGAGCUGUAGUCCCAAAACAGCUGGAGGGCCGAGUUUGCCUAUGCCUGCUCUAUACCCUCCAUCAGCAAAUCAGAAACUGGAGCGGCUUCUGUAAAUCCGGGACUGUCCCUGGAAAACAGGGACACUUGGAUGGGCUGCUGGCCUAUGCCGGCGGGGGCUGAUGGGAGCUGCAGUCCAAUGCCCUGUGGAGGGGCAUAGGUUCCCCACCCCUGAUCUAAAGAUUAGAGCAAAUAAGAGCCGAGUCUAAAAUUAUACAACUGCCCCGCUGAAAGCCAUGCCGAACAGCAUAAGGUAUCACUGCAGAGCCAAUUGCGCAGGGUGUGUGUGUGCAUGCAUGCCCACCUUUCCCUUUUGCUCUGUUCCCCACACCUUCGAGCCCUUGCUGCUGGCAGCCGGGAAAGCCUUUGCAAAAGCAGCUGCCAGUCUCCUUCGACAAGGCAGGCAGGGAGGCCGUGCGCAUUCCCAUUGCUGCCCACACGCCGGCUGCAUUUGCGACGUGUUCUGCCGCUUAAUUGCCUGCAAUGGUCUUGAUUUACUCUGAUGGCAUCCAGACGAAGGGCCUUGAUGGAACGCGCCUCAUUAACCAUUCUGCAAAGCACUUUGUAUCUUAUCAGUCGGCAAUGAAGCUGCCCGAACACCAGGCAGAUUUGCAGCGUUAUAAGGACAUGAAUAGCUGGGAUUUUACAAGAUUGUUGCGGGGAGGUGGAGAACAAAAAGGGACUCUACAUAGUGCUUUUUUUUUUUUUUUAAGAUUCACCUUGGCUGAUCUGAAGGAAGAGUAACAUGGGUGUUUUUGAUGAGCUCUUCUCGCUUGAAAUGGAUUAGCCCCAAAUAACCCAUCAAUUCCCCCUCAAAGUCAGGAAAUAGCUUGGGUUAUUUCCACAGCAUCUUUCCUCCCACCUCCAAACUGCUUUCUCCUUUCUGUCCCAGAGCUGGCAGUUGCUAAAGCAGGGCUUAUCCACCUCCAGAUGUUUCGGACUACAACUCCCAUCAGUCCCACAGAGCACAGGCUGUGGUAGAGGAAUGGCAAGCAAAUAAGCAGGUGGAAAGAAAGAACCGAACUCAGGAGGGUCAUUCCCAGACUGCUGGAAUCAGAGCCUGGGAACAACAAACUUCAGCAACAUCUCAAUGGACCUGGGCCUUAAGCCAUGGCUUUUCCUUUGGGUUUGGGGGCAAAUUGUGCUUCAUCUGAUUUGCAAAGUGUGGCAAGCUAUGGUUACUGUGAACCAGGGAGAGCACAUCAGGGAGGGAUGAGAGGUGAAGGAGCAUGUGUGCAAGCUCACUGCUUGUUCUAGUUGGCCAGAUCAUGAUUUGGAUGUAACAUGUCAACUGGGCCAAAGGGUUCUUCCAGGUGACCACAGAUUCAAUCACACACCAGCAAAAUCAGGUUGUGCAAGUAAAGGUGACUUGGAGCUUUUCUACAGCAAGCUAAUUUCCACUCCCCCACCCAAAUUGACAUUUUGCAAUAUGGAAAGUGGUGGGGAAAUGGAAAAAGUGGGAUAACACUUCCUUGAUGCAAAGGUGCCUACCUUUAUAGGCACAUGGGAAGCUGCUUUCUACUGAGUCAGGCGGUUGGUCCAUCUAGCUCAAUUGUCUACAACUGUCAGCAGUUCUCCAGGGUUUCAGAGAGAAUAAUAAUAAUAAUAAUAAUAAUAAUAAUAAUAAUAAUAAUAAUUUAUUUAUACCCCGCCCAUCUGGCUGAGUUUCCCCAGCCACUCUGGGCGGCUCCCAAUCAAAUGUUAAAAACAGUACAGCAUUAAAUAUUAAAAACUUCCCUGAAGGCCUUCAGAUGCCUUUUAAAGAUAGGAUAGCUGCUUAUUUCCUUCACAUCUGAAGGGAGGGCGUUCCACAGGGCAGGUGCCACUACCGAGAAGGCCCUCUGUCUGGUUCCCUGUAACCUCACUUCUCGCAAUGAGGGAACCGCCUCGGCGCUGGAUCUCAGUGUCCGGGCUGAACGAUGGGGGUGGAGACGCUCCUUCAGGUAUACAGGACCGAGGCUGUUUAGGGCUUUAAAGGUCAGCACCAACACUUUGAAUUGUGCUCGGAAACAUACUGGGAGCCAAUGUAGGUCUUUCAAGACCGGUGUUAUGUGGUCCCGGCGGCCAGUCCCAGUCACCAGUCUAGCUGCCGCAUUCUGGAUUAAUUGCAGUUUCCGGGUCACCUUCAAAGAUAGCCCCACGUAGAGCGCAUUGCAGUAGAGAAGACAUCCCCAGUCCUACCUGGAGAUACCAGGGUUUGAACUUGCGACCUUCUGCAUGCAAAGCAGUUCCUCCACCUCUGAGCUACUGCUCUUCCCUGCAAACAAAUCAGAAUGAAUGCUCAGUCAAUAGCUGAUGUCGUCUAACCUCCCUGCAAACAAAUUGGAACGAGGGCUCAAUUAACAGCUCAUCUGGAUGGAGCUGAAGUCUUGGCACUUCCUUUUCCUACUUGCAGGUUCCUACUAGAAGGGUUGCCGAUUUCAUAACAAUAAAAAUAACAUCAACAAUAGACUCAGUUCUUAUUGAACUGUUUUUGGAGGUCCUGUAGAGGAUUCCCCAAAUAUUUUUUUUGGUGUUUCUGAGUAUGAUAGAACGUUCCUCUUGUGAGCGGGUGGUAUCAUUUAGGCUACAUAAGGAAUGACAUUCAGAGAUUUGAGUUUGCUUCUUAAUAAAUAUAAAUAUAUGACAUUUUCUCCAGGGAAGUCAAGGUAGCAUCUAAGAUUCUCCCUCUCCUCAGUUUUAUCUUCCCAGCUGGGACUGAAUUUUCGUUGUUCAGGAGAUGAGAUUUAAGGCUCUUUGAAGGGGAACUGCAAUCAGAGUCAGUCCCAGAGGCAAGUCAGCAGGAUGAGCUCAUGGUUUCUGUGUCCUUUGUAUCCGAGGAUGUUCUGCUGCCGUCCUCUGAUUCGGAGGACCCUAUUGCAGCGGCCCUCCAUGGAGUCAGAGUCUCCUCUGCUCAGUCAGAACAAAAGAUUGACAGAGCAGACUGGUUCUUACCUAUGAGGUUUAGUCCUGCUGGCCACAUGACCCAGAAAGCUGUCUGCGGACAAACACCAGCUCCCUCGGCCUGAAACAAGAUGAGUGCCACACCCCAUAGUCGAAUUUGACUGGUCUUACUUAUCAGUAAAGGUGGAGUUUACAGUGGAAGCGGAACUGCUGCUCCGGAGACCUUCAGCCAAAGGCCACAUUUACACCAGACAUUUAAAGUCCUAUCAUACCAUCUUAAGGAGUCUUGGCUUUGCCCAAAGAAUUCUGGGAGAUGUAGUUUGUUAAAGGUGCUGAGAAUUGUUUGGACACUCUGCUAUCCCCCUGACAGAGCUACAAUUCCCAGGGUGGUUUAACAAUCAAUCCCUCUUCCCAGGGAACUCUGGGAAUUGUAACUCCGUAAGGGGAAUAGGAGUCUCCCAAGAACUAUCAACCCCCUUAAUAAACUACAGCUCCCAGGGUUCCUUGGGGGAAGCCACGACUCCUUGAAGUGGUAUCAUAGCCUUUCAAAUGCAUGGUGUGAAUGUUGCUGAACAACAGGAGGAGAGUGUUAUUUCUUUAUAGCUCUUGCAUGCAACCAUAGCACCAAGAACCCUGUGAGCUGAGUUAGGCAGAGAGAGAGAGAGAGAGAGAGCCCAAGAUCACCCCAUGGGCUUCAAGGCUGAGUGUGGAUUUGACCCAGAGUCCACUAUACCACUCUGGCCUUACUACUCACAAUUGCUGCUGCUGUAGGAUGACAGAGACCAUAGUCAAUUCUGGCAAAGCUUUGCAAGCAGACAGUGAAUGACUGGUGUCAGGCUUCAGGGAAUCUGAUCCCCCUACCUCACGGCAGGCUGCCAGUAAUGGAAAAAACAAGAUACUCUUACCAAGGUGUUUUAUUCAAUAUUUACAGAGACAGACGUAGGAAGCAGUCUCUCAGAUAAUGGCGUUGCUCCGAGCAAAGUCCCACCCCCUCCGUCUCUCCUAUUGUAUGUCAUCCCUGUGUCAAUUGAUCUGUGCUUUCUGCCUCUUAGCUUUCUGUUCUCCUACUUUCAAUGCCCGCCAGAUACUGUGUGUGUGUGUGGGGGGGGGGGUCAGGGAUGCUUUCUGAAGACACCGAGUCUGUCAGCUGUCUCUCCCCUGGUUCUUCUUCUUCCUGCUGCUCUCUCAAUAUUUCCCAGAUUCUCCCUUCUGCAGCCUCUGAACUAUGACCUUCUGCAAAUCACUGUUGAAAACCUAUACUGUCCUCUCCCCGAGAAGGUUCAGGAGGAAGGGGGCAGUCCUCACCUUUCCUCCUUAGGCCAGUCCCUAACAUCCGGACACAUUUCGAAACCUUUCUUCUGCCCCUGCAUGAAUUUGCAAUGUUCGGAUUUCAGGCGACAACAAUAUAUUUCCCCCCUUCGACAGUCUCACACCUGUUCAUAUUUCAACUUUCAUGCAGUUGUUACACACUGCUCAAUUCUGCUUACAAGUUUGGAGAGCUGGGGGGAAAACCAUUCCUAUCCAUUGAUUUUUUUUUUUUUAAAGAAAACCUCUAACACACCAGAAUUUCUCUUUUCUGUCUCCUCUCUCUCUCUUUUUUUUUAAAAAAAGCAAAGCAGCUCUGCUCAGACAGAAUAAUCUUGUUAAAAAAUCUCAGCGGGGAUUGAACAUAAUUAAUAUGAGCAAAUUCUUUUUGGAACAAUCCCUCAUUCACCUGCAAAAUAAAUCCACAGCUGUCACACAGUUCAUUUCUCAAUCACAAUGGGUGAGAUUGCACCCGCCCCUUCCCACAGACAAAAAAAAAACCAACACAAUAAAUCAGGGCCAUUUCCCUCCAAUGCUGCCAGGCCGAUACAAUUAACACAGACAAAAACUGCAAGUACAAUAAAUCCUCCCUGAUCCCAACAGGUCAUUGUGCAGCUGUUUGCUGGGAGGAGGUGGUGGAGGUGGGGAAAAAGGAUUUUCUCCCUUGUCAAAGCUAUUCGUUGUUCCGAAAGAGCAGCGAUGGGCAGCCAUUUAAAGCCCAACCUGUCCUUUGUGAUAGGUACUUCUUCCGUUGAAUGAAGUUGCGCCACAGCUGCCUGACCCUCUCUGUUGCUUCACAGAUGAAAAGCAGGUUAAAAAGAAAAGUAAAGGACCCCUGGACGGUUAAGUCCAGUCAAAGGCGACUAUGGGGUUGCGGCACUCGUCUCGCUUUCAGGCCGAGGGAGCCAACGUUUGUCCACAGACAGCUUUCCAGGUCAUGUGGCCAGCAGGACUGCUUCUGGCACAACGGGACACUGUGACAGACCCCAGAGCGCACGGAAACGCCAUUUACCUUCCCGCCACAGCUGUACCUAUUUAUCUACUUGCACUGGCGUGCUUUCGAACUGCUAGGUUGGCAGGAGCUGAGGCAGAGCAACGGGAGCUCACCCUGUCAUGGGGAUUCAAACCGCUGACCUUCCAGUCAGCAAGCCCAAGAGGUUCAGUGGUUUAAACCAUAGCGCCACCUGCAUCCCUUUUAAAUGAAAAUAUAAAUCUGCUGAUAACAUGCCUCUUUUUCUCCCACGGAUCAUGAUGUGCAUUGCCUCGUCCAUAAUCACACAUUGCCGAAGGCUUCACUCCACGUCUGUUUUGCUGCACAUUGGGAAGAGAACAGUGGCGGCUGGUCCAUCAGAGCCCAGCAGGUGGCGCAAGCAGUCAGCUUCCUCUUUCUUAGUCUCCAUGUUGUCAUUAUGGAGCUCAGUAGGGAGGAUGAUGGAGACAACACAAAAAUUAGUGGGCUCCACCUAUCAGUAGCUCUGGUGCCACCUACUGUUGGCCUCCCUGGGGCCUGUUGCAGCCACAGAAGAGGUUGGCAGGGCCAGCUGUGGCUGUGGGUAGGCCUGGUGAGGCCUGUCACAAGUUCUGGAAUACUGAGGGGGGCCCGACCCCUCCUUGGAAAUUUUGGGGUGCCUCAGCCCCUUGGCCUUCCCUUCGAUGGUGUGCCUGCCUCCUGCCCUUCCACCACCACUAUCAACCUUGAUUUCUGGCGAGAUCUUGUGCAAUUUUGGUGAAUUGAAGCUGCUUCUCUGCCAGUGGCGGUGGCAGGUUGUGUAGGUCACCCAUAGGGGAGGGAUUCACCACACCUAAUGGCUGGGCGCCAUCUGCCACUGGGUGUGGAACCUUUUUGCAACUCCUUUCUGAGCAUAACUCCGUACCCGCCAAGACACCUGAUGAAAAUAGGGACGUCCUAAGGAAAAGCAGGAUAUUCUGGGAUCAAAUCAGAAAACAGGAUGGCUCCUGGGACUGUCCCUGGGAAAUAGGGACACUUGGAGGGUCAGAAAUUGCCACACUUGUCCAAGUUAAUUAGGCCACCCGUACAGUUAAACUGCACCUCUUGAAUAUUUGCAUACCACGCAAAACAGAAGCCACCGAGAAGGAAAAAGGCGAUUCUCAGUGCUGCAAAAGAAGACAGAAAGAAAGAAAUAGUCCUGAUAUUGAGUAAUCGCCCCAACAGGGAAAAGUAAUCAAUCAACCAUGUGACAGAUCUAUUAUGUACACAACACAUCUUGUUAUAAGUACAUCUUAUAAUAUAUUGCAGGGUGAUAAAACCAUGAUAUAUAAAAGACAGAGCUAUGGCAGUGUAGUUAUAGCGCGCAUAUAAUUGAUCUGUCACAAGGGUUAUUUUAAUUUAUUUUUCUCCUGUUUGGGUGAUUCUUCAAAAUCAGAACCAGGGCCUGCUCUCCAAGAUGCAGAAGACCAGCCAGAAGAAUAAGGGGAUAAGCAUAAAAGGGCCAUAAAACACAAAGCGAAAACCAUAUUGGUGCCAAGCGCAGAAAGUUAAGGAACCCCUUGGGGGUUCCAGCAAGGGAGUCUGCGAAGAGAUCUAGGAUGGUGUGAUAACUAAGAGUGCCAGAUCUAGGGGUAGAUGUAGCUGUCCCCAUCUUUUGACCUGACCUACCUCACUGGGUUAUUGGGAAGAUGGAAGGGGAGACUCAUGGACCUACAUGUCCGUGGAGAGGGAGAAAGAGAGAUUCUGACAGCCCUCUUGCCAGGAGUUUAUUAUGUGCAAUAUUGCACUACCAGAGCUGCACACAGCUUCCCUGCUGGCAUCUGGUACUGAUUUGUUGGCGCUGAAUGCCAGGCCUUUUUUCAGGUUUCCCCCCUGAGUUCACAGGAACUCAGUUCCGGCACCUCUCAGGUGGGUUUGGGUACCUCUCAGGUGGGCACCAUUGCCAUUCAAAAAGAACAAGGGAGGUGUUUACAGUGGGCCCUGCCACCUAUUUUUCUAGAAAAAUAGCACUGCCUAAUGCCACAUACAGUGGUACCUCGGGUUACAUACGCUUCAGGUUACAUACGCUUCAGGUUACAGACUCCGCUAACCCAGAAAUAUUAUCUUGGGUUAAGAACUUUGCUUCAGUAUGAGAACAGAAAUCGCGCGGUAGUGGUUCAGCGGCAGCAGGAGGCCCCAUUAGCUAAAGUGGUACCUCAGGUUAAGAACAGUUUCAGGUUAAGAACAGACCUCUGGAACGAAUUAAGUUCUUAACCCGAGGUACCACUGCAUAUUUGUGCAUGUUGAUGUUUCAUUGUGAUAGCUUUCUUGCUUUUUUCCCCUGAGCCAAGGAGAUAAGUAACUAUACAACCUUUAGAAGACAUCUGAAGGCAGUCCUGUGUAGAUUCCGGCCCCAGAAAAAGUCCUUUUUUGGUGGGAAAUCGUGGUGUGAAAUCACAUGAGAUCAUGGCAUCAAAAAUGAUCACUGUUCUUUUGUGAGGAAAAACGGGAUGUCCUGUUUUUUCCAGGACACCUGUAGGGUAUGUGAAGGCCGAGAAACAAUUGCUGCAGCUCGAGAAGUCACCAGUCCUGCAGAAAACCCUCUCCUGCCUGACAGAGGUAAUGGCACAAAGUAGCAGUAUUAGAUUCCUUGGAGUCCAAAGUGUGUGUUUGGAGUAAGCAUGCUUGAAAUCCGUGCGCGUCUGGUGCCGGUUUUACUCUUACUCUGGCUGUAUAUCGUGAAAGCAGUUAUACCUGUUAAUUGUUGGCUGAUUUUUAUCAUAUGUGGUGAGACUGCAGUAAGAUUAGAAAAUUUUGGGAAAUGAUAUACAGUAUAAUGAGUUGAAGAAAUUGUUCCAAUUAACAUUUGUUAAAAAACCAAAAACAGCAAAAUGAAUUGGACUCCUUGGCAGGUUUUGAAUAAACACUCACAAAUUUAUUAUUAAUAAUACAUAGACAGAUAAGUUAAGGAUCUUUACAAUUUUACAAGAUGCAUAGAAUUAUAAGUAUGGAAAAACCAGAGAGAGGGGGAGGGGAGGGUGGGUUUGGGGGGGAUGGGGGAGGAAAAAAAUUAGGGGAAAAACUUUUGGAUAUGUUUUAUUGUUAAAAUAUUAUGUUGUUAUGCUCAAUAAAAUUCUUUAAAAAAAAUAAUUGUUGGCUCAUAAAGGCAGCGGAACCCAUGCUAGAAAACAAGGUGGUCACCCGAGUCGUUCCCUCAUUCCCAGUGGCUGUGCAUGGUCUUUUGCUACAAGGGCAAGAGAUGGGAGUGAUGGCAUUGUGAUGCUCAGGGGCCAGGGGAGAAUGGUUUUUUGUUAGGGUGAGCCCAUUACUAAAGCGGGCCUGGAUGCUUUGCAACAAUUAAUGAGCAUCUGAGGAAUGCUGGGAUGGAGAUAGCCAGAGGUGAGACUGGUGUGUGCAUGCAGAAAUCCAAAUCUACUCAUUUACUGUAUCUCUUGGAUGGACCUAUAGAGAGUGUCAGGUGGAUCUGCUUCACCUUCCUAGCAAAGCUGUUUCCUUGUCAGGAUUGGACUCCUUCAAAAAUUCACUUUGGUAUAUCCCUCUUGUCUAUCCCACAGUGGAUUUGGUGUGUGUGUGUGUGUGUGUGUGUGUGUGUGUGUGUGUGUGUUGUGGGGAGGGCAAGGGGAGGAGAGAGACAAGGAACCCUCUGUUGAGAUCUUAAAGAGUUACAUUCAUUAAAAUCUUUCUCCCAUGGAUGCCAAACAGCUGGAGAAGCAGGUUUUAAUUACAGAAACAAAGGGUCGGACUGCACAGAGAUUUCAAGUGCUUUUUUGGUUCGGGGACAGUCUGUUUGCCUGGAAUUUUCCGAACAGAAAACUGCUGUGAACAAACCACCACCGCUUUAAAAAUAUUUACAUUUACUUUCUUUAGCAAUUUAUACUGCUACCUUUCCUAAUCAUUCGAGGCAGCAAACAAUCAAGGGAGAGGCAGACAAGAUCUUUCUCUCUCACACGAAAAUAUUCAGGAAUGUGCAUACGAAGUAUUAGUGGCUAAAAUAAUAAAGAAAAGUGGCAGGAAACAUUCACUGUCAACAGAAGGAGUGGCAGCCACUACUAGACCUACUUGAAUUUAACCCAUUGAAGUUGAUGAACAUGACUAUCUUUGGCUCAUGCAUUUCUAUUGGUCUACUCUGAGUAGAACUAGCAUUGAAGAGCACUGACUAAUGCAAGUAUGGCAAAUUUGCAUCCCUCCAGUGUUGGUGAACUGCAACUCCUGUCACCCCUGGUCAUUGGCCAUGCUUGCUAAGGCUGAUGGGAGUUGCAGUUCAGCAAAAUCUGGAGGGCCAAAGUUUCCCCAUACCUGGUCUAAUGAGAUCAAAGACCUACCUAGUCUAGUACGUUUCCCACAGUGGUAACCAGCAUCCUGUGGGAAACUCUUCUGAACCCGAGGGCUGCAUUCUCUUAUUGCAACAAGCCACUGGUGGGUGGAGCCAGAGGCAAAACUGUGAGGUAUAAUACAUGCAGACUUUAUCUUUGCACAGUCACCUGGAUUCUGCACAGACUCACAUGGCCCUCUCUGGCCUCCACCCAAGCAAACAAGAGGCAAUUUCAGAGUUCAGGGAUACAACCAAAUCAGGCUAAAUCACUUGCGAUGCAAAGAAUGGCUUGGAAAAAGAGGGUCUACCUGGGGUGUGUUCUUGGGGGAGCACACAGGUGGAGCUGUGAUCUAAACUACUGAGCCUCUUGGACUUGCCGAUCAGAAGGUCAUCGGUUCGAAUCCCUGCGAUGGGGUGAGCUCCCUUUGCUCGGUCCCAGCUCCUGCCAACCUAGCAGUUCGAAAGCAUGCCAGUGCAAGUAGAUAAAUAGGUACUGCUGAGACGGGAAGGUAAACAGCAUUUCUGUGUGCUCUGGUUUCCGUCAUGGUGUUCCAUUGCGCCAGAAGUGGUUUAGUCCUGCUGGCCGCAUGACCUCAAAAGCUAUCUGUGGACAAACGCCAGUUCCCUCAGCCUGAAAGCAAGAUGAGUGCCGCAACCCCAGAGUCGCCUUUGACUGGACUUAACAGUCCAGGAGUCCUUUACCUUUACCAUUUUAUCCUCUUGGGGGAGAGUCUCGAGGGUCUGAUGGAGAGGCUUGGAGGACUGUAUUUGGCCUCCAGGUUUGAGGUCCCCCAACCCCAGCCAUAAACAGAGCAUGGAGACAAAAGCUACUCCUAGUUUUGCACCCCAGAAGCUGGUAUUCAGUGGUGCACUGCCUAAUUUAAUUAAAACCCCAAUUAAGCAUGUGGUCAGGAGGGGGAGGAGGAGAAAACAAUGUUGACGGCUGCAUCUUUAAUUAGGGACUUUGUAUGGCUCUUCAAUUUUGUCUAAGGCCCAGAUCACUCCACGUCAGAAUGGAGCUUGCAGUGGAGAGACUGAACUCCUGGACUCCUUAGUGAACUGGAGGUGCCUAACCACAAACCUGCUCAUAACCCCAUCCAACAAUACCUUUUGUAACUUGCACAGCAACCCCCUCAAAAAGCCCUGUGAUGCAUGAAGGGCCAAAAUAAUGGGAACACUAAUUUGCCAAAGGUAUAAGAGGAAACAGAUACUCUCCCUGGUAAAUAGAGACAUUUGGAGUAUAUGGUGUGGCUAUCCAAGGUCUUUUGCCCAACCCUGGAGUUGAACGUGACGGAUCCUCUGUCCUGGGGGAGUUUCCUGUUCCUGCCUCUUUCUCCUGCUCAACUUGUAUUGCCUUCUAGAUGAAAUGUGUCAGGCUGUAUUAGCAGAGACUCCCCUGAUUCCCACCCAGGGAGCUUCUGUUGCAAAACAAAUAGUCCGGCAUCAGCAAAAUGUCUGGAAUAAUAAAAGCCAGUUGCCAGAAAAAGGAAGAUGUAACUCUAUAUUAAUGUUCACUGGACACCUUCAUAGCUUAUUAGUGGCUCUGAAUAUGAUAUCGGCAGUUUUUCUGUUCUGCCUGCCACACUGCAAAGAUUUCCCUGAGAGGAUUUGCGAUAGCAAGAGAUGGGAAAGGCAAUAGACCCUGGGAAGCCACUGCCUCUCUGAGUAGAUGGGGGAAGCCGAGAUGGUGCCCUCUGGAUUUUGUUGUAGUGUUUCUCUCAUCAAUGGUCUGACAACAUGGUCUGACCUGGUACAAAGCAGGUUCCUUCUCUCUAUGCUGAUUGUACCAAGAUAAAAGUGUUGUGCAUUUCUUGGAAGCAUCCAAAGGGCAGGCCUCUCCACACAGGAUACAUGAUUAAUGUAUCCAAUGAGAAGCUGCUCCUCGCAGGAAACAUAUUGAAAAGUCUGUUAAAUAUAAUUGCUGUACAUUGAAAUGGAAAAAUGGGUCUGAAUGAGUAUUGCUAAAGGGAACAUUGGAGAAAUUCCAUUGAGCUAGAGAGCUCUCUGAGCACCUAAUGGGUUGAUGAUUAACUGUUAGAAUAUAUCUCUGCUCUGCUCUGUCACGUGGUGUUUAACUUUAGAUCACAUGAGUAAUGUAUUCAGUUGCAAAUCGCCAUUGAGGGAGUCUUUGUUCUUCAGUUUCUGUAGAAGAAAGAUGUGCUAAUGUCUCUCCCAAAGAGAAAACAGCUCUAGGCUGUAAUGGAGGCUGUGGAGAGAGACUCACCUUUGAUUUCAAGUCUGUUUGGAGUUAUUGUAAGAAGCGGAGUCUGUGCUUGGACAUGCAUAUGAUUUUAUGCAAUGAUUUGGAUGUAUCAUUUAUUGUUUUAAGUCUGUUUGAAGAAAGUUCUGUUAGCAAAGCUUUGAAACCAUAUUUUGGGUCUGUACAAUUUUUAUUCCAAGAGGAGUCAGUUUUUAUUCAUCCUAUUGCUUCAAGCUGCACAAUAUUAAUAUCUGCAAUAGAAUUGGUAGGAAUGGGUAUGUCAAAAGGAAGGCCUAAGGUGGCUAUGUGUUUUAUGGAGGGCAGCCUCCUUUUUGAAGGGAAUAUUUAGCCUGGAGAAGAGAAGACUGAGAGGUGAUAUGAUAGCCAUCUUCAAAUAUCUGGAGGGCUGUCCAUGAAAGAUGGAGCAAGCUUGUUUUCUGCUGCUCCAGUGGGCAGGAAACAAAGCAAUGGAUUCAAGUUGCAAAAAGGAGAUUUCAGCUAAACAUUAGGAAGAACUUUCUGACGCUAAGAGCUGCUUUGCUUACAGGCUACUUUGGAAGGUGGUGGGGCCUCUUUCAUUGGAGGUUUAUAAAUAGAGGUUGGAUGGUCAAUUGUCGGGAAUUCUUUAGGUGUGAUUCCUGCAUCGCAGGGGGUUGGAUUAGAUGACCCUUGGAGUUUUUUUUACAACUAUGCAAUUCCAUGAUUCUAUGAAGAGGAAAGGAGUCUUCUAUUUGAAGGGCUGGCUGAUCCAAGUCUGGGUUAAAGGAAAAGAACUGAGAAGAGAGUGCAGGAGGGGCCUUGGAGUUGCUCAUUGACAGGGACUCUGGACUGAGCAGGCAAAGAGGUCACCUGGUCAUGCAGUCUUCCCUCAUAUGAGAUGGAUUGUGUUUCUAUUAAAAUCAUCGUGAUUGUUUCUCAUUCUACAUCCAUGCACAUAUAUGGGCUCCUUUGGGAGGAAGGGAGGGAUAUAGAUUUAACAAGAGGAAAUUUAUACAUACAAAUUAGUAUUUGUAAAUUAUAUGCAAAUCGUACAGACUUUUGCUGAUGGGUAAAUGGCCCCCCUAGGGAAGGCUUCGACUCCCAGGAAGGAGAACAAAAAGUAGCAAUGGAUGUGUUGAAUGGAAGGUAAGAGCAGAGGUGAAUUAUCUGGUAGACUCUGCCUUUGCAAGAUGCAACAUGGGACUCACAACACUAUUCAGAGCUGGGGAUUACUCUGGGUGCAGUAUUUUAUUUAUUUAGAUAAAAUCUUGGACCACUUUCCCAGCUUGCUUAAGAGUGCUCAAAGUAACCUUUUUCCCCUGGAAAUUUUUUAAAGCAUCCAUUAAAACAGAAAACUCUUAAAACUGCUGAAUGGCAAAUUAAAAUAACAGCAGUCAGCAAAGGGGAAAGAAACCAUACACAACCCCUUUUAAAAACACAGUGUUAAUCAAUGGAGAGAAGUGGAAGCUUUUCCUCUAUUACCGUAUUUUUCGCUCUAUAAGACGCACCAUACCACAAGAUGCACCUAGUUUUUGGAGAAAGAAAACAAGAAAAAAAAUAUUCUGAAUCUCAGAAACCAGAACAGCAAGAGGGAUCGCUGUGCAGUGAAAGCAGCAAUCCCUCUUGCUGUUCUGGUUUCUGGGAUAGCUGCACAGCCUGCAUUAGCUCCAUAAGACACACACACAUUUCCCCUUACUUUUUAGGAGGGAAAAAGUGAGUUAUAGAGCAAAAAAUACGGUAUGUACUAAGCACUCCAAGUAUAUUUCAUCCUCCCUCCCUCCUUUAAAGAAGAGUCUUAAGGAUUACAGGAACAGAAAUAGCAGCCCAGUCCAGCUCUUUGAAUGGGCUUAUUUCACUUAUGCACUUAUUUUCAGCUUGGGUGCACAAGGCAGCUUGUAAUGGCUACUCAUCUCCUCCCCUACCCCCCUCUUUUGGUGCCUCCUUGGGACUAAUAAGUUGCUCAAUGAGGUUGGGUCAAAUGUGUGAAGGAUCCUGGGGCUCCCUGGAAUGUACCACAUAGAACAGUGGUAGGCAAUAAGGCGCCUCUCCAAUUAUUGUUGGGCUCCAAAUCCCAUCAGCCCCAGCAAGCACAGCCAAUUGUCAAGGAUGAUGGGAGCUGGAGUCCAAGAACAUCUGAAAGGCCACAGGCUCCCCAUCCCGGGGGCACACUGAACCCAGGAUCUCAGCUGAGAUGCUUGUAUGUAUGCAUAAGGAGCACUGGAGCAUCUGGAGAAGACAUGUAUGCAAUAGAUGUGCUGAAUUCACACAAGGGUCAGAAAAUAUGGCUGGAGAUCAUGAAGAAAGAUAAAUUAGCUCUGCUCAGUACAGCAUCUCCCUUUGAAGAGCACCCCCCAGCACAUGUUCAAACAUCCCUCCACAACUACGAGGAAACAUUUUUCAACAAACAAAUGGAUAAACAAGCAGUAAAGUUAAGAAUCUCACCAAUUAAAAUUCUGUACCAGAUACCCGAUUCCACAUGGAAUUCCAUGCUUGCAGAAUCACGUAAGAUGAACAGCUUCACUAAUAGGCAAUGGCACAGCCGCCAGCUGUUUGUUCAUAGAGGUGGUCUUUCAUGUACGAUGCACCAGGAUAUAGGAUUCAGAACACCUGCCUACAUGUCUCAAAAAGUCAUUUUAAUUAUGAAGGGGUUCCCUCUCUGCUUUACUGCUUCCAGGACUGGCCCAAGGCAAUUUUCUGUCUGAGGCUAAAGACAAGAUGGAACUGUUUUCCUCACCUUCCACUUACAGAAGCUGACCAGAAUGUCAGCUGAAUCUUACUUUUUGACGCCCGCCACAGUGCUGUGUCUUCUUGAGGGGAUCUGGCUUAAUGUAGGUGGGGCACACAGGUCUGUUGUCCAAUGCGCCAUUGCUACUUGACAUCUGCCACCUGAGAUAGUUCCUUUGUUCUGCCUAAUGAGAGGGCUGGCCCUGUACUUUUAUAGCCAGUUGGUCAACACUUCUAGCAAGCUCCUUGGGAUUGGUGAUCCUGAUUGGGUACUCCAUAGCACAGCUGAUGCCUGCUGAAAGUGGGAUUGGUGGGAAAUGCCAAUGUUGAUUGGCUGUUAUUUCAAGCCCACAGAGUUCCUCACUGAAGCCUGCUCAAAGCGUGGCUUGGGGUAAGUUGUGAUGUAAGAAAGCCUUGUUUCCUGCCCUGCCCUGUAUUUGUCGCAUGCAGCACCAUUUCCAUUCUGCUGCAGUCUGCCCUCUGCCAAAAACAACAUUAUUUGUCUCACUGUCUGUGGUGGCAAAAUUACAGCAACUUACAUAUGUAAUUGGGACAUGGGUGGCACUGUGGGUUAAACCACAGAACGUAGGGCUUGCCGAUCAGAAGGUCGGUGGUUCGAAUCCCCGCGACGGGGUGAGCUCCCGUUGCUCGGUCCCUGCUCCUGCCAACCUAGCAGUUCAAAAGCACGUCAAAGUGCAAGUAGAUAAAUAGGUACUGCUCCGGCGGGAAGGUAAACGGUGUUUCUGUGCACUGCUCUGGUUCACCAGAAGCAGCUUAGUCAUGCUGGCCACAUGACCCGGAAGCUGUACGCCGGCUCCCUCGGCCAAUAAAGCAAGAUGAGCACCGCAACCCCAGAGUUGGCCACGACUGGACCUAAUGGUCAGGGGUCCCUUUACCCUUUACUUUUACAUACGUAAUUAAUCACAUAUAUUAUGUAUGUUACAUUAUGAUCACCUCCUUCGACCCCAGGACUUUCAGUGCAAAGGGGAAAUGAUGCAAUUUGAGGGAGGGGGGGAACCCACCACAUCCCAUUAAGUAUCGUUUGCUGAUUGAAAGCAGCAACAGCAGGAAAUACUAAUUGGAUUCGCCAGAUUGAAUUCUCUUCUGGAGAAGGGGCGAAUAAGGGAACAUUGUCACUUUCCACUCCGGUUUCUUUUUUCAUCAGAAUUCCCCAACUUCCCUUGCUGUAAGCUGGAAUUGCUGUUGGCAAUCCAAAGGAUCUUCAGCUGCAUAAAAAAUAAGCUUGGGUCACAUAGUGUCACGGUGAGAGCCAGUGUGGUGUAGUGGUUAAGAGCGGUGGAGUCGUAAUCUGGUGAACCGGGUUCGCUUCCCUGCUUCUCCACAUGCAGCUGCUGGGUGACCUUGGGCUAGUCACACUUCUCUGAAGUCUCUCAGCCUCACUCACCUCAUAGAGUGUUUGUUGUGGGGGAAGAAGGGAAAGGAGAUUGUUAGCCGCUUUGAGACUCCUUAGGGUAGUGAUAAAACAGGAUAUCAAACCCAAAAAACUCCCCAAACUCCAAAAAACGGUGACCCAACCCACCUGCCAAAAUGGCCCCCUGGCCAGAGUCUGCUUUGCAUCCCUCUCCUGUAGAGCCUUAGACUGCUGGGGAAGGAACUGGGUUGAGAGCGGUUGGGAGGGCAGGGACCUUCAGUCCUCGCAACUGCUUCAUUAGUAGGCAAGACCUACUGGGAAGAGUUGCUGUGCUCAGUAGGCCUGUGCUGUUUUGAUUUCUUUGAAUAAAGUGUUAACUUCACUGACACCGGUGUUUUUUAUUGACCUACUCCUGACUCCAGCUGAGAUCUGUUAACCAAAUAAGCCAAGGAUUAAACUGGGUGUAUCCUCUACAUGCAAAACAUGCGCUCUGUCACUGAGUAAUGUCUGCUUUGCACAAAAACAGACACCAGCAGGAGUACCUUAGCUGCUGACACAUCACUAAAAAACAGGGAAUGCAUGGGGGGGAAACACCACCAAAGAGGAAAGAGAUUUGCAUAAAAUUUGCACAAGUUAAUUCAUAUGUAUAGCUACAAAUUUAGAAGCAAUUGUUAUAAUUCAUUUAGGAAUUCAGUGUAUCUCACUGUAGUGCAGAAGACUGGUCUAUGUGCCUGCCUCUUC